rnacentral:lncRNA from 1 species
CCCAACAAUGUUUUGUUGUCCAAUUAACUGAUUUUGCGACAUGUUAGUGGUAUUUGAUUGUUGCCCCAUUAGCUGCUGUUGUGGAGGCAAUAGUGGCUGCUGCAUCAUUGGUGUUUGCUGCUGAUGAAUACCAGCAGACUGUUGAGGUUGUUGCUGCUGCUGCCUAAGGACUGAUUGUGGAUGUUGCUGGUGCAUUGGUUGUGUUGACUGUUGAACAGAAGAUGGUUGGUUCUGUUGAAGGCCAGAGACAGUUUGCAUCAUUGAAGGCUGCAUAACAGUUGAUGUUUGCAAACCAGAUUGCUGAGAAGAUUGCAACUGAUUUGGCUGUAACAAGUUUUGCUGCUGCUGCUGCUGCUGCUGCUGCUGUUGCUGCUGGUGGAUGUGAGAUUGCACAAGUGAGUGUGGAUGAUUUCCCUGUUGAAGCUUCUGCUUUAAAAGCUGUUGUUGUAUCUGCUGCUGAUAAAGAUACUGCUGAGGAUUUUGGGACUGCUGCUGUUGCUGUGACGGAACAACCUGUUGCCUGCCUGGCAUUUGUCUCUGAGAAUUGACAAACAUAUUGGAGGGAAUCCCUUGUCCCAUUGAAUUCCCCACUGGGUUCUGUGAAACACCAGAGAUACUCUGCAUGCUAGCAUUCUGUCCAACAGUGUUUGAGAUAGUCUGGGUUAAACCGGAGACAGAAGGCAUUGCUGAUUGUAAACCAGCAGAACUUUGAACUCCAUUAGAUGACAAACUAUUCUGCAUGUUCUGUGAUAACUGCUGACGUGCUUGAGGCUGAUUAGUGGACAAUGAGAUAGGGAGCGACUGCCCUUGGGUGUGAACUUGAGGCUGCAUACUAUGAGAUGCUGUUCAAGAUAAAUGGCAAAAAGGAAAACCAUGUCAAAGGAAAAAAAGAAGGCACCGAACAAGAAAACAAAAUGAAACAAUGACAGUUCACAUGUAAAGUUAUGAGGGAAAUAAUUAAGAUGGUUUUACCUCAAAGCAUAAAAGUGUCAUUUGACAAUUUUGGGGUUGGGGGGGGGGGGAGCAGAAAACAAAAAUAAUCUGUAAUUUUUUUGAACAUUCAUCAAUUACUCAACUUUUUUAUUAAAGCAUGGUAUAUACAUAGCAAUAUGCAGCAAUAAAAUGUAAAAGAGUUUGAUAACAAUUUAAAACAAAAGGUAAGGAUGUUUAGAAAUUCAAUGCUUGGCUGCAUUAUUACCUCCUGGAUCCAGGGUUUUGUUACCAUUGCCAGUGGGUAUGGUAUUUUGAGACUUGGUCUCCAUUGUAAGCAUCUUCAGAGAUAUUUUACGCAGAUAAUCAGACUGAAAUCAGAUAUCAAUGACAAAACAUUAGAUCUCUGCGCAAUCCAUGUUACAAGAGAAGGGGGGAAAGGGAUUUAUGCUCUUUCUAAUAUGCUAGGCUCUUUGUAUUUGCAUCUUCUGUGAGGAUAUACUUCUGUGUCCUCUCUUUUUAUUCAGUUAUUUAUGUAUCGAUUCGUUAUUUGCAUUUUGCACACUUCCCUUGUACUUGAAAAGGACCUUGGUCACUCUAAAUAAAAAGAUGAGAACUUCUUCUACAGAAUGACCAGUGAGGAAGUGUGGACACACUACACACACAUGUGUACAUGCAUAAAUCCACAAACUUAUGCAUGUGUAUAUUCAUGACUAGAGAAUAUUGAAAUUAUUGAACCUAGCAUUAGCCGAAUACCUGAUUGGUGGCGGCAGUAUAAAUCUUUUCCUCAAACCGUACGGCAAUUUUCUUGAGUUCUUGUAAUCCUUCUUGACCAGAAAACGGAAGAUGCCUCUUUAAUGUCUCCAUUCUACACAUGUAAAACAUUACAUUUAAUUUUUAACGACAAGGCAGGUAUAGAGAAGUUAGCAGCAGUGAGAAAGAACCGUGAACUCAUACACCACACCAAUAUCAGAAAUGUAUACAACGGAAUCAUUAGCAAAAGGUAAAAACAAAUAAUGAUAUAGCCAAGUGUCGUUCAAGUAAUAUAUGGCAUCAACAUACAGACAUCUAUUUUUACUUCCUUUCCCCGUAUUAUUCCAGAGGUACAGGGUAUAGGAGUUCACUUGGCCACCCUUCUGUCUAAAAUUCUAGUUACGAGCUUCAUGGUUAAUUUUCUUGAACGGAAGAACCUUCCAUUUAUGGCUAUGGCUAUGCUCCAAGUAUACAAAUGAAUUAGUUGCAAACCAGGGGAACUUGUGAAAACAUUACAAUAGAAUUUACUCUGAUAAGAAAACUUUAUACAUGCACUGUAAUUGACAAAGAAAAGAAGAAAAUCCUUUUAAUUUAUGAAAAUGCAAUGAGUUAACCUUAUCUCACUUGCAAUAUAUACUCUACAGUGCUCAUUGGCUACUGCAAGUGCCAACAGUAGCUGUCUAUAUGAAUUUGGAUGUAGAGAUAUCACCAAAACAUUCAACUUUAAUUACUGAGAAACUAGGAAACCAUGCACUAUUGUAGCUAAAUGAUUUUUGUCAGCUGCUUUUGUACUUUAAGAUCACUAUCAUUUCAACCCUGUAGAAGUUAAAGCAAAUAGAAGGCUCAAAUCCAACACUAUUCAUUUAAGUUCAGUUGCAACUCAAGGUUGAAAUUGAAACACCAAUGCUCAUAGCAAUAGAUUAACCUUGAAAUUUAAAGCGGACAAGCUUCAUGCAGCCAUCCUAGAGGUCAUCAUCAAAAGAAUAUGUUACACAAGAAGUUCCAACAAAAAUUACUUCCCAGCACUUUUUAUUCCCUCAAGUUCACUUCUUGUGAGAAACACGUGAAAAAUGAAAAAGACAAAAACAGAGGUGUAUGAUACUUGAGGUUGCCUCAUGGCAGUCCUGCUGAUUUUAAUUAACCUUUGCUUUUUACUAUUUUGCAGCACUUGCACAUAUUAGGAAACAGAUACUUACAUUUUGUUGACUAUUCUUUGCCGUGAGUCAGGCUGCAAUUGAGUUCUCCAAUCACCUGUGUCCAUCACAGGUUCUCCACCUGGGGCAGUGGCCUCCAAUUAUUGGCAUCCAUGGGGUUUUGGCCAACCAAAAUUUUUUUUAAUUAUAUUGCACGUUAGAAUAGACCCUGAAAAAAAAAGUCCAGAACAGAAGAGUAAGAGUCAUGAAAAUUGGAAUAUCAGUUUAUUCAGACUUGAAUAGAUUUAAAAAGAACUUCCAUCUAAUAGCAUGUACUUUAUUAAAGAAUUCUGCCAAAUAUGGAUGCAUAAAAUCUGAACAGCCAUAACAAAUAUACACGACCAUUCAAGGCAAGGUGCUAGGAUCUUGGGUAUUCAGGUAUACAGGUAUUAUAAGCAAGAUUUGGGCCUGAAUCUUCAUGGUGCUUCUAAAACCAAGGAAGCAAAAAACUAGCCAGCUAGUUCAUAACUUGCCGCACCAACAGAUGGUGAGUGUUGGUAAACCAAGCCAUACAGAAACUCAUGGUGCUUCAAUUUUUACUUGAUGUUUUCUAGCAACACUCGUGAUGCAUCAUUGAUGCAAUGUUUACAAUGACAAACUUGCAUUUGUAUUCAUUGUGGUUUUAGGUUCACAGAUUCUGAUCAAAUAGAUAUUUAAUGUUCCAAAAACAUUGUAUACGCAUUUAAAUGCUUUACUUCAAUAGAUAGAUUAAGUUAUCUUUCUAGAUAUCAGUAUAUCACAUCUUACCAAUUUAGAUUCAGCACAGGACCUUUUUCAGGUGCUUACCAAUUUUUACUCGCAACCAAAUACAUACCGUCAAACCCCAACCCCCCCCCCCCAACUCCAGUUCUUGUUAUUUAUGUAUGAAUUAACUUUUCUGAAAGAAUAAAUGUUGUGUGGAGGAAAUAGUGUAAAUAGAAAGAGGAGAUCCCCAAAAGAAUAAAGAAGAAGAAGAAAACAAAACAAAGUCAUAAAACAAGGCUUUUCAAUCCCCGAUGAAUAUCAGCAGUCUAAAUACCCCAGCAAAUAGAACAUGAAGAGAUAAGAGAUUGUCUAGGAUGUUUUAAGCUAGGAAAAUGAAGAAGAAAACGACAAGCAUUAACCAUGAAUAUUUCAUGUUAUCAUCAACUCUAAAGAGCAGACUGAUAAGAAUCAACUUAACAACUCUUGUUGAAAUAAGAUUAAAUUUGCAGGCACAUCUUUCUCGGAAUAGACAACACAAUAACCUGACCAUGCUCGACCUUGAGGUAAGUUAUAAAAUGUUCUUCCUAACUAGAUGCACAGGUGCGCCUUUGGGGUGAAGUGAACUAGGUCAUUUGUUUUACACUUUCACAUGCUCUUAACUUUCAACUCAAUCAAUCACAAUACAGUCCUUGGUUAGGACUAACUGUCCUGCUCAAGCUUUCACCUCAUACUCAAGACCAGCUGAGCAGUCCUAAAAAGAAAGAUAUAUCAUGUAGGGUUAUCAAGGCAGACCUAUUAUUUUUAUUUUUUUCACGUUAACAUGACCAAAUUAUAAAUUUUAAAGUUCUUUUCUUUCUUUCUUUUUUCCAUGUGUGAGCGAGCAUAAAACCCAAGGAUAUCGUAUUGUUGUUAAGAACACAAUAAUUUUGAAGAAUUCAGUAAAUUCUAAAAAAGAAGAAUCCACCAAACAGCUCAUUUUUCGGCCAUUCCAGCAGUAAUAUCUCUUCCACUCCAGCUGCUGCAUAAACUAAUUAACAAAUUAUCGAUCGAGCCUAAAAGAUUUGAAUUGAUUUCUAUUCUCCACUAAAAAAUAAAAUAAAAUAAAAUAAAAUAAAUUUGGGUUCAAGAAUUCAGGGCUUGAUUAUUACAACAAUAACUGUGAGAAAAAUCGGAUAAUAUCAUGUAAAUUAAGGGGAAAAAAUUGAAAAAGAAAUUAUUAGAAUCGGCUGAUUGUGCGUUUCUUUGAAUUGCGUUCACGAGCAGCAGCGAUUUCAUCGGAUCCGAUUAUAUAUUUUUUUAAUUUACUUAUUAAAAUCGAAUUGCGUUCACUAGCAGAGAUUUCAUCGGAUCGAUUAUUUUUUUUUAAUUACUUAUUAAAAUAAAUUUCUGUCUCUGAGUAAUAAUUACAAUAAAAUAAAUGAAAACACCAUAAAUUUUAAAAACAAAAACAUGAUAGAAAUAGAAGCACCUGGCAGAAAUCUGAAGCCUUCUUGGCGGCGGCGGUUUCCGAGAGGCGGGGAGGGAGGGAGGGAGGGAGGGGAGCUCGGGCGGGAGAGAUGGAAUGCUGGACCCAAGUGAAAUGGAUGACUUUAUUCUUUUCCAGAUUCCUUCUAAAAAAAUUAACGAGUAAAACUAGCUCGCUCGCACGCACGCAUAUGAUAAUUAAAAUUUGAGUUAAAUUCUAUUUAACUAGUGUCUGUAUUUGUGUUAAACAAACAGAUUAAUCCCUCAAGUUCAUUUAAAUAACUAAUUGAUCCUUGAAUUACAUUUUACCGUUAAGUUAGCGGCACAAACUAAGGAAAUAUUGCUGAAAGCUCAACAUUUUACUAAGAAAAAUUAAUGAAGGGACCGCAUUGUAAAAAUAUUUAAAAGUAUAGGGAUUAGUUAGAAUAGCUAGUUAUCACUACCUCUGAGAAUUAAUGUACAGCUCAGCAUUUUGUUGAAGGGACGGGCAAAGGUACAUUUAUUUCCGUUAACUUUCUAAUAUUAGAUCUUGCUUCAGUACAAUUUAUUAAAUUUAUUUUAAUAUAUUAAAUAAUAUAAAGCACAAAACAAAUCAUAAUAAAAUACAAUAAAAACAAGUUGUGAUGUAUUUGUUGCACAUGGCAAUCUAUAAAUGAAGUGUUUGGCCUCAAUUUUUAAUUUUUUUUUAGAUUAUUUUGAUGUAUUGAUAUUAAAAAUAUUUUUUUUAAAAAAAAAAAAUUAUUUUGAUGCAUUUCAAAAUUAAAAAUAUUUUAAAAAACAAUUAAAAUUACACUCUUAAACACCCUUAAAUUAUUUGAUAUAUACUUUCGAUAUGACAAGGAUUCAUCACUGUCUUGUCCAAAGUUUUCCUUAGGAUAAAAUUUGUAGAAAAAAUAUUUUUUUUUAAUUUUUAUAUUAUAUAUUUAUCUCUUAUAUAUCUUUUAAUUUGAAAAACUAAAAUUUGACCAAUUUUAUUAAAAUAGAUAUGUGCAUGUAAGAUUUUAAUUGCAAAAUCUUUUUGAUUUAAGAACUAGAUUGUUCUAGAUGACAAAGAAAUUCUAGUAAAGACUAAAAUAUCAUAAAAAUAAAAAUGCAAAGACUAAAACUAAUGAUUGAAAAAAUAUCAAUAAUAAAAACAAAAUUAUUUGAACUUGUCUCGUGUGCAUCGAACAUAGAAUAAGAACAUAUAUUAUCUAGUUCAAUUCAAUACAAUCUUAAAUAUUGUUUAGUAUUUAUAUUGUCAUUUUCAAACCAUAAUACCUAACGCGUUUUUAGUUUCAAUUUACAUACAAACUCAUCUAAUUAUAUUUUUAUUGUUAAAAAAAUAUCAUAAUUUGGAAUUACAAAAAAAUAUUCUAUUGGAAAAAUGUUCUACUAAAAUAAAAAAAUGUGGAAAUAUACUUGUAUAUUAUAAAUUAAUAAAAAUACAUCAAAUUACUGAUAAUGUCAAAAUGUUGCAUGGCACUUUAAUCACAUGUCUCCUCCUCCUCUUCCUCCUAAAACAAAAUGUGGAAAUAUACUUGUAUAUUAUAAAAAAAAAUGUGGAAAUAUACUUGUAUAUUAUAAAUUAAUGGAAAUACAUCAAAUUACUGAUAAUGUCAAAAUGCUGUAUUGCACUUUAAUCACAUGUCUCUUCCUCCUCCUCUCCUUGCAAUUGUGUUUCAAAAUAUAUGAUAAGAGAAAGGCUUGAACAUGACAACGUACAUGUUUCUAUAUGCUAUCAAAAGGUAAUAUUUGAUUACAAUCCUGAACAAAAGAGACGAAAACCAUGAAAAUAAAGGAAACAAAAUAGAAAAAAUAUGAAAAUAUAAUAAUAUAUAGUAGUAACUAUUUAUAUAUCUUAUUUGAUAAUGAUAAAUAAAAAAAUAAAUAAAUAAUUAUUUUAUCUUUAAUAUGUAUUAUUAUUAAACUUAUAUAUUUAUACAAAUAAAUAGAUUUUUUUUUGCUUUAGUUUGAAUUAAGUGUUAAAAUUAAUAAUAUUAUGAUAACUCUAAUUAUAAAACCUACACUGGCCUAGUGGAUCAAUUCGGGACCUAGUCGUCUCUAGGCUUGGAUCAAUACAAGUUUAAGAAAAGAUAGGUGAAUUAAAAAACCUUGUUGAUUCAGGAUAAAUCACAGGUUGACUUAGGAUAAAACACUGGGCAAAACUCAUUGUUUUUUUUUUUUUUAAUUUGAUCAAAACAAGGUUGUGUUGAUUCUCAUUUUUAAAAAAAAAAAAUUGGGUCAACUCGAGUUGACCCUCCUAACUCAUGACCUAGGCUUUGCCUCAAAUCGACUCUUGGAUGGAGUUUCAAAACUAUGAUAAUAAUUAUUUUUAUCCAUGCAUUAAUCCUCCUAACCCAAGACUUGAGCUUAUGUCAGGUCAAUCCCUGAGUUGAGUUUUAAAACUAUUGUUAUAACCACUUUUAUUUUUACAUUGAUCCCGUUCAACCAGAGUUGACCCUCCUAAUUUGUGACUUGAGCCUUGCCUUAAGUCAACCUUUAAGUUAAGUUUUAAAAUUAUAAUAAUAACCAUUUUUAUUUUUUUGUUGACUUGGGUCAAUGGUCAACCCAAACAAUAACUCGAGACUUGUUCCAAGUCAACUCUCGUGUUAGAUUUUACAAUUAUAAUAAUAACUAUUUUUAUUCUUACCUUGAUUUAGGUCAAUAAAGAUCAUAGAUUUUACUCCAAGUCAAUCCCCACGUUGGGUUUAAGACUACAAUAAUAAUUAUUUUUAUUUUUACAUGUCUUAGUUAGGCAAUUUUGGAAUUGAAAGUUUUUUACAAUGAUAUUUUAUGAAUAAAAAAUAAAAAAUAUUGUUUAUAAAGAUAUGUCUUAUUUGUACUUUCUAUUUUGAAAGUCCAUAAAUUCACUCUAAAAUUAUCUCGUAAAAAAAAUAUUUUUAUAUCUUUUUUUUUCAACUUAACACAUUUUUGUCUCUACUAUCUUCAUUCUUUUUAUCCUAAGAUAAUAACUAAAUGCUACACUAGAGUUUAAUAAUGAUAUAAAUGCGAACAUCUUAACUUCGUAUAAUCAAAUGAGUAAAGAAGAAGACAUAAAAGGGAAGUUCAUGGUAAUUUUAUAAAAUCAUAGUUAUUAUAUCUUGGUUAAAGCUUGAUUCGGCUAAAAUCCUAGAUUAGCAAGUUAUAGGUCAACCUACUAAGUUAGUGAGUUGACUAGUAUAUCAAUUAUGAUAAUAAAUUAUACAUAUAAUAUUAAAUCUAAAUGUUUCAUACAUGUUGGUUGUGGUGGGUUGGUAAUUUUUUUUUUGUCAAUUCAAAAACACCAAGAUUCAAACAUUAUUGUAUGAAUAUUUUUUUCAAAGUCAACCUUUAAAUCAACUAGGUUUUAAAUUUUAGUAGUUAAAUUCACUAAUCAAUCAUUUGAUUUAUGUGAUAGGCCUGCAUUUAAGAUGAACAUUUACCAUAAAUUAAAUGUAUCUUAUAGUAUUAGACUUGUUAUUAUAAAACAUGUUUUCGUUAAGGAGUUAUUGAUACUCCAAGUGAAAAAUUAUGAUAUAAAACCUUGAUAAAAAUACGCUUUUAAGUACUAAUCAAUGUUCUACUAGAAUUUAGGAGAAGCAUAGAGAGUGGGACCCGACUUCUCACGUGCAAGUACAACAGGAGUUCAAGGUAAGGGUUGUCCCCUUGCUUCUUUAAAAUGUUUAAAUUCUUGUAAAGCUAGUAUGUGAUAGACAUUAUGUGUAUUUUGUAUUAUUGUGUAUCAUGAGAAAUAUGGCCUAUGUGAACAUUGCCUACUGGUAGUAUAAAUAUUGUUGCGUGAAAGUUACUAACAAGUAGGAGAAAUAUUAUUAUUGUGUGAACGUUGCCAAUGGGCAAGAAAUGUUAUUACAAUGUGAAUGUUGCCUACAAGCAGGGAAACAAAUACUAAUUCUAUAUGAAUGUUGCCUACGGGCAAGGAAACAAAUACUAAUUCUAUGUGAAUAAUACUUACAAAAAGAGAAAUUAUAUUAUUAUAUGAAUAUGUCCACCUGGUGAAUAUGACUAAAGAAAGGAAAGAUACAGUGAAACAAACAUGGAUUUGAAAUUUGAAUUUUGUUCAUAGUCUCUGGGAUUCGGAGUUCGGAUAUGGGUUUAUAUUAUGUUUAUAUAUAUAUAUAUAUAAAAGAAGAAGAAAAGAUCGCCUAUGGACUUGAUUAGCCGACCUCGAAUAGAGGCAGCUAAUGAUGUUAACAAAUAUUGUUAGCAUUGGCAUGAUCUUGAUGGAAAUAUAAUGAAUAUUGAACUUGAUUAACUAUUUGUAUCACUAAUAGUUAAUGAUACUGAUGAAUAAUGUUUGUAUCGACAAGCCCAUACUAACUUGAUUAACUUUAUAAGGAGGAAGUUAAUGGUGUAAGAGAACUUGGCAUCAGCAUUUCCGAAAACAUCUCCAAUUAUGAUGGAGAGUAAUUGAUUGAGUAUUUCAGGUUAGAAAUGGCUCAAUGGCAUUGAUCGAUUAAGUUGGUGUCGGCAUUGCUAAGGAAUUGAUUAGUUUAUCUAGGUAAGGGUGACUAAUGACACUAAUAGGAGUUAUUAGUGUUGGCAGUGAUUGCCUUAGAAUUUGGGGCGGAAGAAAAAAGGGUAAAUCAUACAAAAGUUAAUGUGUGAUAAUCGAAAAGAAAACCAUAAGUAGGUUGUGGAAGGAUAGGUGUUAGAUGUUGUAAAGGAUCUUCUUUUGCGGAUCAACUAUGAUUAUGCCCUAUCAAGUGGGUACACAUAUGCGUAGUUACAUGUAGUAGUGCCCCUCCAUUAUCUGGUUGUAUUUUAUUUAUUUAAUAUAAUUAUUCUUUUAUUUUGAUGUUCAAGGUCUUUCUCAUUCCUUUCAGGAGUAGUGUCCUAGGUGUCUAGUUCUUUUGUAUGAAUUAGGGAAUUAGGAUUUCCAAUUCUUUUGUAUAACUUAGGGUUAACAUCUUUAUUUCUUCUGUGUGAACUUGGGAUGAAAUGGAUGUUGUAUUUUCUUUAGAUAAUUAUAUGAAGGAACGAUGUUAGUGUUCCUUUAUCUUAAUCUUAGAGACCUUUAGAAUUUUAUGCUUGUAAUAUUAAUGUUAUUAAUUAAGUUUAUUACUAUUAGUUUGUGUUGUAAAUUAUAUGUUCGAAAUGAAUCCCUGGAUUUGCAAUAUAUUAUGAAUAAUAAUAAUUAUGGUCGCAAUGCGACAUGGAUAUGCAUUGAUGAUGGAAUAAACAUGAGAUAUGUAUAGGAUGAGUUGUUGAUAACUUGGGACAUCUCGGUAUAGGGGAGACUCAGCUGAAACUUUGGUAGAAAUUUUGUUACAGUGUAAAAAAAAAUACCUGUAUCUUUACGUACCAAAUUGAGGAAUUAAUUUUAAAUGCUCAUGAAAUCGUUGGGCGUUACAUUACUAAUAAGGCCAACUACCAAAUCCUCACCCGUCGAUGUGAGAUAUUACAAUCCACCCCCCCUUAUGGAGCCCGACGACCUUGUCGGCACAACCAGACAUCCAGCAAGGUUGGCUUUGAUACCAAAUGUCACAGCCCGGCCCAACUUGGCAAAUAUUAUUGACUUUGGGCCUUACCUCCAUCAAGAUAAUUUUUCUUAUUAACAUAUUUCUUGUUUAUCUUGGUGAAUGCAAGCUUUUUUUCUUUACUAGAAUCAUUGUUUCUAUUAAAAGAAUAUUCUAUAAUUGCCACAACAAAUUAGAAAAAAGAAAAUCAAAAUAGUAUGUUCAUAUUUUUAUGUGUGAUUGAAAGUUAAAAAAAUAAUAAAUAUGAUAAAAUCAUGCUCAAAAUAUAUUUAAAAGUUCUAAGAUUAAAAAAGUGAUUUAAAUUGAACUCUCAUGAACAAAUUUUUAUGUCAUAUAUAUAAUAAUUGAAAACAAUUAUUAAAAUUUAAAUAAAAUUUUAUAAAACAAGGCUUACACAUCUGACCUUGCUUUAUAUUUUUAUUAAACUCUACUCGAAUGCUGGAGCUCAAUCAGUUGUUCCUCUAUUUUUAUUAUCUCAUCAUUAGUUGUUGAUAAAAAAAAAACAAAAAACUGGAAACAUCCUCUCGUGGUUGCUAGGAGUUGGCAGUCACAAAAAUUUACAUGACUAGAUGAGAUAACAACAACAUCCUUGUAGAAGAGGUUGCCGAUGCAUUGCGGUUGCUGCUCAUUGCGAUGUCUUUGCAGAUGAAACCCACUAGCUGCUGAUGCAAAGCUUGUUGAAUUUGCCACAUGUUGAGCUUGAGCUUGCAUAAAAGCAUUAGUGUAGAUUAGUUGAGUCUGUUGCAGUGCAUACUUUUUUAACUGCUACUGCUACUGCCGCUUCGAACAAGACUUUGAGGAGAUGCAGAAGUGCAUUAGGUAACUUGGUGCCUAUAGAUGAUGAUGAUGAGAUGUGGUCCGAAUAAACACUUCCAUUACUAGUUGUUGGUGUUUCACUAUGAAUGGAAGCUGCAGCUGCAAAUUGUUUCACAGGCAUUGUUGAAACAGAGGAGUCUGUUAAAUAUAGCCAAGAGAACACAAUUGACUGCCCAACAGUUAAUGGGGUCUGUCCUCCAACCAUAUUGGCCUUCCUCUUUCCUUUCAUAUUUGAAGUGUCAUUUCCUCCAUUUUUCCCUUCUUUAGGCACACGGUAAUUCAUCUGUUGUGUUGCUUGGGCCGUAGUGAUGAAGUGAUAACCAUGCCUUGCUGCCGUUGGAGGGCUUUGGAGAAGAGCAUGAUUCCGAACCAGCAAUGAAACAUCAAGACCUGGGGAAGUUGUGGUUCCGUUGAUGGAGCAAAUGACAUUGCAAAAGGAGGAGGUGUUUGUGAGUAACAUUCUGAUUUUGCAUCAGCUGCCGCUACUAGUUCGGCAGGGAAUGAUUCUGUUGAUGAUUCUGCAGAUGGUUGGAUCUUGAUGAUCGCUGCUGAUUCCACCUAAUUCACUCCCAUGUGGUUUAUGCUGCUGAUUCUGCAAAUGCUUCUGGGAUGACGAGGAGCCACUAGAAAUACUUGGAUUUUGAUGAUGAUGUUGGCUUUGUUGUGUCUGAAUGAAUGGUUGUUGCUGUCGCUGAAGCUGUGAAGGAUGAAGCAUUCAAGAAGAAUAAAAUUGAUCCAUUGAAGAAAGACAGCCUGAGGAUGGGUUCCUUUGUAAGUUGUUGUGGCCCCCAACAUGUUCAGGGAUUGGAAUCUCGUACGCACCAUUCUGUAAAAUUGCCAGGGAAGUUUGGGUAGUUGAAGCUCAUUGUUGUAGCACCAGUUAUUGCUGAUGUCGUGGCAUUUAUUGAAGCAGAACUUUAGCUACUUGAAGAAGCUACAUUGCUAGCAACUGGCUGGUUAGAUAGAAGCUUUUACCACUGCAGUAGCUUGUUAUUGAUCCAUUGGGAAGAUGAAAGCGAGCCCUUGCUUGCAAAAUAUUACUAUGAGCCCUAGGGGGCAGAACUCGCUGAAGCAAAAUCUGCAAGGGCCUAAAUACAAAAAAAAGGACGUUAUGUACAAGUUGAAUAAGAAAUUGGAUAUCAGAUAGAAUUGAUGCAGGCAACAAGGAAAAUAUGGGGAGUCGCUAGCAAGGUCAUUUAUGUUACAAUGAUAUGUUCUUAUUUAUUGCUUUUCUGAAUAAGGGAUCAUGUUCUUAUAUCAUAUACAAGGCUGCUAAGUAUGGAAAGUAAUAACUAUUUACACAUAAAUUGGCUGGGAUCAUGGUGAUACAUAUUUUGUGGAGCUAAUGGAUUCUAUCCUCGUGAUGUCAGCAAUUAAUCUCAAUGAUAGUUCAUGCCAACACUCUCCCUCAAGUUGGUGCACAGAUGCCUUUAAUGCCCAACUUGUCUAGCGAGUUAUAAAACAUCUUGCUUGAAACAACUUUUGUGAGAAUAUCCACUAGAUGGUCUUCUGAUAUUACAAAUGGGAAUUGAACUAUCUUGGCCUCAAGCUUUUCUUUGAUAAAAUAUUGAUCUAUUUCAACAUGUUUUAUCUUGUCAUGUUGAACUGGAUUUUGUGCAAUUUGUAUAUUUGCUUUAUUCUCACAAAACAACCUCAUGGUUGGCCAAGAUGAGUAGCCAAUUUCUUCCACCAACUCCCUUAACCAAAGAAGCUCGCAAAGUCCUUUGGCCAUGCCAAGAAACUCAGUCUCUGCACUAGAUAAUGCCACAACUUUAUGUUUCUUACUUCUCCAAGUGACUAAGUUUUCUCCAACAAAAGUGAAAUACCCAAAAAUAGACUUUCUAUCAACAAUGUUUCCGACUCAAUCUGCAUUUUUAUACCUAUCAAUGCUUAGGUGGUUAUACUUCAUGAACAUAAGCCCUUUUCCUAGAGAUGCCUUCAACUAUCAUAAGAUCCGGAUCAUAGCUUCCAUAUGCUCUUCACUUGAGCUAUGCAUAAACUAACUCACCAAGUUCACAACAUAGGUAAUGUCUAGUCGAGUAUGAGAUAAAUAAAUCAACUUCACAAUUAACUGCUCCUAGUUUGUGGUUUUGGACUGUUGGUGUGUCUGCUGGUUUACAAUCAAGCAUACCUGUCUCAGCUAGUAGGUUAAGUACAUACUUUCUUUGUGAGAUAAAUAUCCCUUUACUUGAUCGAGCCACUUUAAUCCCCAAAACAAAUUUUAGUCCUUAAAGGUUUUUCAUUUCAAACUCAUUCGUUAGAUGUUCUUACAAGCUCAAGAUCUCCUCCUCAUCAUUUCCUAUAAUUAUCAUAUUUUCGACAUAAAUUAAAAGGCAGUUACCAUUUUCCCUCGAUGUUUUAGGAAUAAAGUGUGAUAUGAAUUUCUUUGUUUGAAGCUGUACUUCUUUGUGGCUAAACUAAACCAUCCAAACCACACCCUUGGUGACUAUUUCAGACCAUAUAGUGCCUUCUGCAACUUGCACACUACUCCAGCAUAUGAGGUAGCAAAGCCUGGUUGGACAUCCAUAUACACUUUUUCUUUAAGGUUCCCAUGAAGGAACACAUUUUUGACGUCGAACUAUUGGAGUGGCCAAUCUAAAUUCACAGAGAUUGACAGCAAUGCCCUGAUUGUAUUUAAUUUUUCCAUGGUGAAAACUUCCCCUGAUAGUCAAUGCCAUAUGAUUACAUAUAUCCUUUUGCGACAAGCCUUGCCUUGUAUCCAUCAGCCUUGUAUUUAAUAGAGAAUACCUAUUUACUUCCUAUUGCUUUCUUCCCUUUUGGUAGUGGCAUGAUCUUCCAUGUUUCAUUCUUUUGUAAAGUUGCCAUUUCUUCGAUUAUUACUUGAUUCCAUUUUGGAUUACUCAAGGCUUCUUGCACCGUGUUUGGGAUGUGUUCAGAAGACAGCUUUUGCACAAAGGUCUUGAGUGGCUGUGACAAUCUUUGGGUACUGACAUGAUUAGCAAUUGGAUAUUUAAUUUUCUCCUCUCUAUGGUCUGGUGAGUAUCGACUUGGUGGCUUGCUGCGGUUGCACCUAUGAGGUAAUUUGUAGCCAACAAAACUAUCUUUAAUAUUAUUAAAAGAGAGAUUUGGGAACUGUACCUCAGGAUUAUUCUUAGGACAAUGGUUGUUUGAUACUGAACUGAGAGGGGGCUGUUCUUGUUCUUGUUCAUUCUCUGUCUUGUUAUUCUACCCAACUAUUGUGUUUGUGUCUCUAAACCAUGGCCAGUUCUCCCAAUUACAACCAUGGUCUAUAUUCUGCUCUUCACCAAUCAUCUCCCCCUGAAGAGAAGAAUGAGAACCUGGCUCUUGAAAGAAGUAUUCAGUUUCUAGAAAUGUAACAUCCAUUGUGAUGUAAAGGCGUCUUGUUGCAGGAUCAUAACAUUGGUAGCCCUUCUUAUGCUGUGUAUAGCCCAGGAAUAUACAGCGGACUGCACAUGGAUGAAGUUUGGUUCUUUGAUUUUUAUGAAGAUGAACAUAAGCUACGCAUCCAAAUAUCUUUGGUGGAAGCAUAAGUAUAGAAGGGAGAGGCACAUGAUGGGCGAGAGCUUGUAAUGGAGUACUAAAGUUUAACACUCUAGACGACAUUCAGUUCAACAAGUAGACAACAGUUGUGACUACAUCUGUCCAAAACUGUGGAGGUGCAUUUGCUACUGUUAAGAGGGCCCAAGUUGUUUCCAGGAUAUGUCUGUUCUUCUUCUCUGCAACACCAUUCUGCUGUGGUGUUUGGGAGCACAUUGUCUUAUGGUGUAGCCCACAUGCCUGGAAGUACUCCUGCAACUCUUUAUUGUCAUACUCCCCACCAUUGUCAGAACGGAGGAUCUGAAGUUUGGCAGAGAAUUGGGUCUUGAUCAUAUUAUGGAAAGAGCGAAAAAUCCUUGCUACCUCAUUCUUACUUUUCAUCAAAUAUAGCAAUGUCAUACGUGUGCAGUCAUCCACAAAAAUCACAAAACAUCUGAUGCCUGAAGAAACUGAAACAGGAGCUGGUCCACAUAUGUCCGAGUGAAUUAACAUAAAUGGUGUCUCACACUUUUUGAAUUUAUUGGAUAGGAAACUUGAUGACUUUUAGCUAAAAUGCAGGUUUUACAUUUUAACAUUGUAUUGUCUAAGUUGGAAAACAAACUAGGAAAUAAAUGUCUUAAGUAGGACGGGUGUCCCAAGCGGUGAUGCCACAACCAGAUAUCAUGUUCUUUGUUACCAAGAUGACGAGCAUUGUUCGCCUGAACAACACUGAAGUCAUCAAUGUAGUACAACCCCCCUUGUUUAGUACUACAACCAAUAAUCUCCUUAGUUAGAAUAUCCUGAAACAAGCAAAUUUUAGGAUAGAUUAGUGGGCAGCAGUUCAAAUCCUCAGUAACUUGUCCUACCAAUAAUAAUUUAUUGGAAAGAGUUGGAACAAGUAGAGUGUUUGAUAAAGAAAAAGAGGAUGACAGUGCCACUUCUCCAGCCCCAGUAACUGGAUAUUUUUCACUGUUUGCAUUGGUUAUGCAUGUGAUCCAUUUUGGUUGAGUCGUUUCAAUAAAGUCUUGUGGAUUGAAUGUCAUGUGAUUAGUUGUCCCAGAAUCAAUAAUCCAACCGUGGUUCCUGAUUCAUUCUGGGCUAGGGAAUAAUUUGCUGCUGCUGGUGAAAAAUCCUCCUGAGAUAUAAGAGAAAGGUGAGGUUUGAUGGAAGAAAAAGAAGUGCUCUCAGCGCUGACAAGUGUAGCCCGACCACUUUCACGCUUUUUCUUUGUCUUGAGUUCAUGCCACCAGUCCGAAUAUCCAUGGAGCUUGAAACAGGUUUCCUUAGUAUGUUUCAUAUUCCCACAGUGUACAACCACCUCCCCCAGCUUGUGUUUUUGAUUUCAUGCCUAGCUUCCCAUCUGUUACCAUCUGAAGAGAAGGUUGCUGUUGUGAUUUUUGUCCUCCUUUUGAUAUCAUGGCCAUGCUGGAAAUGGUAUCUGCUUUUGAUAGCAUCACCAUUUGUCUAAGAUCUUCUCAUCGGACAUGGGCAUAUGUCUGUUCGAUUGUUGGAAAAGGGUGAAGUUGAAGCACAUCAGUUUGAAUCUUGUCCGAGCGAUCAUCAAGUCCGUCUAAGAAAGUAUAAACUCUAUCUUCCUGUAUAAUAGAGUUAUAUUUCUAUAUAUCAACUUCACACUUCAUGGGAUUUGGAUGCCGAAAAUCAAUCUCUCUCUAAAGACCUUGAAGAGUGUUGUAAUAUGUCUCAAUUGACCCUUCCCCCUGUUUGAAUCUUGUCACCCUUCUCUUGAGAUCAUAGACUUGUGAGGUGUCAGAGCCAUCAAAAUACGUUGUGGCAAUAGCAUCCCAUACUGCCUUAGCCAUUGGAAAUCUGAUGUAAUUUCCAAUUAGCUUUGGAUCCAUGGAGUUGAUUAGCCAUCCUUUACCACUGCAUUUUCAAUUCUCCACUUUCUGAAAGUAGGAUCUGUCUCUGUAGGUUGUGGAAGAUCUCCAUUCAUGUAUCCCAACUUGUCUUUACCAGAGACAUACAUCUCGACAACUUGGGACUAGAGUCCAUAGUUCGUGUCAUUUAACUUGUACCGAUUGGUGCAGCAACAGAUUCAUGAGUUGCUACAGUUGUUGUCUGACUCAACAUCUGUGAUAUUCUGGAUUUUAAGUCAGCAAGGGUUGAAGGAUCUGCUUGGGAGUUUUGUAUUGGGGAGGUAAGAUCUAUCAUUUUCUCAAUCUUCCAGAAUUCUAUCUUCUUUCCCUUUCUUUCUAUUGGUUCACAGAAAGAAUCAGACAGGUCCUAGAGUUGACGCACUGAUAUCAUGUUACAAUGAUAUAUUCUUAUAUAUUGCUUUUCUGAAUAUGAGAUCAUGUUCUUAUAUCAUAUACAAGGCUACUAAGUAUUGAAAGUAAUAACUAUUUACACAGAAUUUGGCUGGGAUCAUGGUGAUACAUAUUUUGUGGAGCUAAUGGAUUCUAUCCUUAUGAUUUCAGCAAUUAAUCUCAAUGACAGUUCAUUCCAAUAAUUUUUUGGAUGAAAGGCUGUUUGGCGAUGCUGCGCUAUAGUAAAGAAAAAAAAAAAAGCCCUCGAUCACCAUCGUCACAAAGACAAGCUGAGGAUUAGCAGAGUCACAAGACAUGCUGAGAAUUAGCAGACUCCUUCUGUGAUUGCUAGUAGCAAACAAUGGUCGAAUGGGGCUGACAAUAGCUCGCAGCCCUGCUAUAAGAGUAGUUGUUGAUUAAUUGAAUGGAAGCAGGCAAGAACUCACAAACAAUUCUAUCAACUUUAGUCAAGUUUCUUUCAAUGGCAAGCUCGUGCCAUCCAUCAUGCAGUUGCAGGAGCAGACUGUUGAAACUUAAACUCAAUCCAGAAGGUCAAGGAAGGCAACCACCGCCCAGCCAGCCACCAGCUGUCACCGACCAGCCGCCAGCCACUAGCUGCAGCCGCCAGCCGCCUCCACACCUACAGCUGCCAGCCGCCUCCACACUUGAAGGUUGAAUUUUCUUGUUUUGAAUUCGUGUAUAAAUAAAGUGCUCAGCUUAUGUUAUUAUGUGUGGAGAUAAUAGAGAGAAACACUAGAGAGAAAGAGAGGGCGUGUAUUGUUGUUAAGCUUUUGUGUUAAUUAAUUGUAAGCUUGUGUUCUUGAAAUAAAACCUUGUGUUUUAUCCCCUCUGAGUGUUUCCAAGCCACCACCAGUGGUUUCUCCCACCAACAAUUGGUAUCAGAGCCCCGUUCGUCAGAAAACAGAAGAGUUUUGGGGUAUAUUUGAAUUUUCAAAGUUGUCAAAAGCAAGUUUUGAUCAUUCCACAGUGUAGAGCUCCUCUAUACGAGCUCACUGGUGUAAAGAACAGCUUGAUCGGAGUCCGCGGUGAGCCACACACGCCGCCUGAAGAUCCGGUGACUGUCGCCCACGCGCACCAGAGGUUGAAGACGAGUGUCGUCCACGCACGCCAUAUUUAAGCCGUUUAAGCCGCCUAAGCCGAGCCAUUUAGCCGAGCCUCCAUCCCAGCCACGCCGAGCCACAAGCAGAGUCGUACCACCGAGCUAAGCCGAGUCAUCAGCCGAGCCUCCAAGCCUUUCCGUACCGAGCCGAGCUGAGCGGAGCCGCUCCGUACGCACGCCGAGCCGCGCAGGUAGAAUAUUCCCGGUUCGAUCCCAGCGAAUCGCCCGUCGUACAUAAUUGGUUUUUUGACCGGUUCACCCAUUUUCUAACUCGAUUUGGACCAUUCCAGAUCGAUCUACAGUGUCCGUUUGGCCAAAUUCAGCUCCCAGAAGGUGAUGUAGUCAUUCGAAGAGCAAAAUGACUACAGAAAGUACACAAACACUCAUCCUGAAGCUAACCAAAGACAACUAUGAUAGUUGGUGCAUCAGAUUGAAGGCAUUCCUUGGUUCACAAGAGUGUUUGGAUAUUGUACACUAUGGUUAUGAUGAACCGAAGUCCAAAGAAGAAGAUGCUUUACAAGAGGCACAAAAGCAAGCCCUGAAAGUCAACAGAAAGAAAGACAACAAAGCAAAGACCAUCAUCUAUCAAGGUGUUGAUGAAGACACGUUCGAGAUCAUUGCUUCCGCUGAAACAUCAAAAGACAUAUGGGAGGCUCUCUAACAAAAAUACAAAGGUGCUGACAGAAUCAAAAAGAUUCGUCUUCAAUCUUUACGAGGAGAAUUCGAAUUAUUGCAAAUGAAGUCCUCAGAAUCUAUUUCUGAUUAUCACACAAGAAUUAUAGUGAUAGUCAAUCAGAUGAGGAGAAAUGGAGAAGCCAUCAUAGAUUCUCGAAUUACUAAGAAAAUUUUGAGAUCCCUAGAUCCAAAAUUUGAUUUUGUUGUUGUCGCCAUUGAAGAGUCCAAAGAAGUGGACAAGUUGACAGUUGAUCAACUUAUGAGUUCUUUGCAAGCUCAUGAGCAGAAGAUUGUAAAGUGAAAUGGAGAUAAGGCAAUUGAGCAUGCCUUACAAGCAAAGCUGUCUCUCAAGGACAGAUAUGAGCAAGGGGAGACUUCAACAAGUGGAUAUACCACUCAAGCAGGAAGUCAACGAUCCAGAGGAGGAUUUUAGAGAUUCCAAGGAAGAUGAUCUUGGAAUACAAGCUUUAGAGGAAGAGGUGGUAGAAACACCACCAAAGGAGGUCAAGGACAACAAGCAUUCACUCCUAGAGGAAAAGGAGGUGGUUAAAAUAACCGUGACAAAAGGAAUAUCCAAUGUUAUAGUUGCAAUCAAUUUGGGCACUAUAACACUGAAUGCCGAAGGAAAGCUCUGUUAGAGAUACGUGAGCAAGCCAACUAUGUAGAGAAGAAUGACAGAGGAACAGCUGCAUUACUUGUCCAACAAGGACUUGGUGAGAAACAGGAAGAUAUAUGGUAUCUAGAUACUGGAGCUAGCAAUCAUAUGUGCGGCUACCGAGAGUUAUUUGGUGAUCUAGAUGAGACCAAGUAAGGUCUAGUUACUUUUGGAGAUACCUCAAAGGUUCCAUUCAAAGGUAAAGGCAGCAUCCUAAUCAAGUUGAAGAACGGCGAUUCCAGCUACAUCGCCGAUGUGUAUUAUGUCCCAGCCAUAAAGCAGAACCUGAUCAGCUUAGGUCAACUUUUGGAGAGAGGUUAUACUUUUUACUCGAAGAAUUGUCAUCUGGCAAUUAGAGACAACAAUGGGAGAUUAAUGGCCUACUGGACAAAAUAGGUACUUCCUCACUUUUAUUGAUGAUUUUAGCAGGAAAACAUGGAUAUACUUUCUGAAGAGGAAGUCAGAAGUAUUCAAUUGUUUUAAAGAUUUUAAAGCAAUUGUGGAGAAGCAAAGUGGCUACAUGAUCAGAACCGUGAGAUCUGAUCAAGGUGGAGAAUAUACAGCAAAUGACUUUGAAGCCUUUUGUACACAACAAGGCAUCAGACAUCAGACAACACCAGCUUAUACACCACAGCUGAAUGGUGUAGCUGAGAGGAAGAAUCACACGAUUCUUGACAUGGCAAGAAGUCUGCUCAAAGCAAAGAAGUUGCCCAAGCAAUACUGGGCUGAAGCUGUAUCAUGUGCAGUGUAUCUACUGAAUCGCUGCCCAACCAGAAGUUUGCAAGGUGUCAUUCCAGAAGAAGCAUGGAGUGGUCACAAACCAAGUGUUACUCAUCUACGAGUCUUUGGUUGUGUGGCAUAUGCAAAGAUCCCAGAUGCAAGAAGGACAAAGCUCGAUGAUAAAAGCGAGAAAUGCAUCUUUGUCGGAUAUGGUGAAAGAAGGAUGGGAUACAAGCUGUAUAAUCCCAUCACGAAGAAGGCAAUUAUGAGUAGAGAUGUUAUCUUUGAAGAAGAUAAAUCUUGGGAAUGGAAUGAUGAUCAAGAAGCAGUCAAAUGGAUCACACUGAUUUGAUCCUUGAAGGUGAAGAAGUACCAACAGUACUUGUAGAAGAACCAAUUGUGCCAGCAGCUGAACCACAAAGUCCGGUACACAGUUUCCCUGUAUUCAACAGAGGAACACCCAGGAGCAUCAUCAUCAACACCACCAUCACAUCCUCAUCAGAAGGACCAAGAAGGAUGAAUCUUGAAGAGUUGUACGAUACCACUCAGGUCAUGGAAGAUACAACUUUUUUGUUUCUUUGCAGAUAGUGACCCAUUAAGCUUCAAUGAAGCUGUCACAGAAGAGAAAUGGAUAAAGCAAUGGAUGAAGAAAUACAUGCCAUUGAGAAGAAUGAUACCUGGAAGCUGACUUAUCUACCAGAAAACAAGAAAGCAAUAGGUGUCAAAUGGGUCUACAAGACGAAGAAGAAUGCAAAAGGAGAAGUGCAAAGAUACAAAGCCAGAUUAGUGGCUAAAGGCUACAAACAGAGAGAAGGCAUUGACUAUGGAGAAGUAUUUGCUCCAGUAGCCCGGCUAGAGACAAUCAGACUGAUGAUCUCACUAGCUGCACAACAUAGAUGGAAGAUCUAUCAACUCGAUGUGAAGUCAGCAUUUCUGAAUGGCUUCCUAGAAGAAGAAUCUAUGUUGAACAACCACUUGGAUACAUUGAAGCUGAAAAUGAAGGCAAAGUAUACAAGUUGAAGAAAGCUCUCUAUGGUUUGAAGCAAGCUCCGCGUGCUUGGAAUACCAGAAUUGACAGGUAUUUUCAAGAUAAUGGAUUUGAAAAAUGUCCAUAUGAACAUGCAUAUAUGUGAAGAAAGGAGCAGAUGGCAGCAUCUUAUUUGCGUGCCUAUAUGUUGAUGAUUUGAUAUUCACCGGCAACAACCCUACCAUGUUUGAAGACUUCAAACGAAGCAUGGUACAGGAGUUUGAAAUGACUGACAUUGGUCUAAUGUCACAUUUUCUUGGCUUAGAAGUAACGCAGAAGGAAGAAGGGAUUUUUGUAUCCCAAAGCGGUUACGCCAAAGAUAUUCUUGAAAGGUUCAAGAUGGAAAGCUGCAAUCCGGUAUCAACUCCAGUUGAGAAUGGAGUGGAAUUGAGGAAGAGUAAGGUUGGAAAUGUUGAUCCAACUUACUUCAAAAGCUUAGUAGGAAGCUUAAGGUACUUGACAUGUACCAGACCGGAUAUACUCUACGGAGUCGGACUCAUCAGCAGAUACAUGGAGACACCAGACCAGUCUCAUUUGAAUGCAGCCAAGAGAAUUCUUCGCUACAUCAAAGGCACAAUGAAUGAAGGUAUGUUUUAUACCUCAAGUAAAGACUUUAAUCUUGUAGGCUACUCGGAUAGUGAUUGGGGUAGAGAUUGGAUGAAAGGAAAAGCACAACAGGGUUUGUCUUUUUCAUGGGAGACACAUCUUUCACAUGGUCAUCCAAGAAGCAAUCGAUUGUAACAUUAUCAAGCUGUGAAGCUGAGUAUGUUGCUGCCAACUCACGUAUGCCAUUCAAUAUGGUUAAGGAAUAUGCUGAAGUUUUUGGGAUUUCCUCAAGAAAUCCUACGGAGAUUUAUAUUGACAAUCGAUCAGCAAUCGCAUUGGCAAAGAAUCCAGUGUAUCAUGAAGGAGCAAAACAUUGAUACACGUCAUCACUUUAUCCGGGAACAUGUGAAGAAUGAAGAAGUCCAACUGAUAUGUUGCAACACAAAUGAUCAAGUUGCAAACAUCUUCACAAAGCCUUUGAAGAGAGAAGUAUUUAUCCGAUUAAAGUUCAUGCUUGGCAUGAUAUCUCUCGAUUGAGUUUAAAGGGGAGAUUUGUUGAAACUUAAACUCAGUCCAGAAGGUCAAGGAAGGCAACCACCGCCCAGCCAGCCACUAGCUGUCACCGACCAGCCGCAGCCGCCAGCCUCCUCCACACCUACAGCCGCCAGCCGCCUUCACACUUGAAGGUUGAAUUUUCUUGUUUUGAAUUCGUGUAUAAAUAGAGUGCUCAUCUUAUGUUAUUAUGUGUGGAGAGAAUAGAGAGAAACACUAGAGAGAGAGAGAGGGCGUGUAUUGUUGUUAAGCUUUUGUGUUAAUUAAUUGUAAGCUUGUGUUCUUGAAAUAAAACCUUGUGUUUUAUCCCCUCUGAGUGUUUCAAAGCCACCACCAGUGGUUUCUCCCACCAACACAGACAUGGGUUAACACACACAUAUAAUAUGCUUUCUAAGUCUCGGUCUUUGAAUUAAAAGCAAAAUCAGAAAACAACAAACCCCAACCAAAGCCAAAUCAAACUUAGUCGACACAAAUCCGCUCCUCAAAACAGAGAAACCUCUCUAUAAGAUUCUUCCCCGCUCCCUUGGAUGACUGUGUCCCUGUCUUCUCUUCCACUACUGGUCUCUAUUUAUCUGCCCUUUUCUUUAUUCUAGGCCUCUCACAAUUUCACUUUUCUCCAUGCGGUCAAAAAUAGGAAGACGGUUCAAAUGCCUUUAUAAGAGAGAGAAGUUUAAGUUACUGUUAUCAUGAGCUUUGGUUAGAAGUUUAAAGAUUAUUUCACCUGUAUAAACUCAGAAUUCUGUCUUGCAUACAUACAAAAACAAAAAAAGCUUGCAGUUGUAAAACAAAUACUGAAGAGCCAUGCAUACCUGCUAAGACCAUCGGUGAUGCUGGCCUGCUAGGUGGAUGCUGCACUGUUAGUGAAGGAGUAGAAGGACUGCUAAGUUGGUGACAAAAAAGAAAGGCAAUGUGGUGUUCUUUUAUAACCCCACCAGGGAGCGUUUCCUGAUUACAAAAGAAAAAAAAAAUCCUCCUACUCUAUGAAAAUAAGGUCGGCCACGUGCACAAGCUUUUUUUCCUCUUCGAAAAUAACAUGGUAACACAAAAGAAAAGGAAACAACAAAUUUUCUAUAAAUAGAGUGCCUUAAUUGAGAGAAAAGGAGGAAAGGAUUCUUGGAGAUACAAAUUUCAUUCAAAACAAGUUUUUUGGGCGGUCUUCAGAACCAUCAAAAUAUAAUUCUGACUUAAUUAUCACAAACAAAAUAAAUUUGUAGUAUAUAUGAUUGUGAAAUCUAGGUCGAACCUAAGGGAAAAUUCAUUUCAUCUUCCUACAAUAUACUAAAAUAAGAAAGAACGGGGGGUUUGAAUGAAAAAAAAAUCAAGAAACAAUAAUUCCAAAAAUAAUAAAUUGAUAUGUUGUUAAAUCAGUUCAAGGGUCCACACAUCCAUUCUUAUAAUUCUAUUGGUCAUUGAAGUAAAAUAAAUAUGCUUUCAUGUCAUGCAAAUAAAUUUGAUAUCCCUUAAAAUUGAGGGAAAUAAAUGAGAUUACAAGUAUAUUAAUUAGAAAAAGCUUUCUAAUCAAUUUCUUACCAUUAAGCGAAUGUAAUAUUAAAAGCAAUUUGCAUUUAUUCGGUAAUAGUCUAGGAAUAAAAUAUGUGCAUUUAUUCUAAGCAAACGUUCAAAAGCUUGACAAUUUAACUUAGUUUAUUCUUCCCUAAUAAAUCAAGAUGAGAGUUGCAACAAUCAAAUUUAUUCUUUUGCUUCUUACUCUAAUCCCUAAUAAGAAUUACGGAUUGAAAGAAACUAGAAAGCAUACAUGCCAUCUCAAAACAAUUCAAUAAGCUUGAAUAACAAUCAAUAGUAUGAUUCUGAACAAGGAAAAAUAAAUACUUGAAUCAGAAAAAAUUACAAUGAUAACAUUACUUCUCACAACUUGCUAAUGGAGAUGGUGUGUAUCCCUUUUGAACCAAAUUCAGGAGUUUAGUUCAUAAUUGCUGGAAAAUUGACAAAGCAGAGAAGAAAUGAAUGUUUUUCGAAUCCUGUUUCAGCUAUGUUCUGCUCUAUUUAUCCUCUUCCUUGGCUAUAGAAUUUCUUCAGGAUUAUUAGGCUAAUUAUAAUUAUUCAUGAUACUUAAUUUGUUCAUUUUUUUAUCUGGUCCUUAAGGUUGGAUAAAUCUCUCAGAAUUUGUUUUGAAAACUAACUCUGUUGCUAUCAUAUCUCUACCGUAAUUCCAACUCUGCAGCAACUUAGACUUUGUUUCUGACUUGGAUUCUUGCAAUAUCCAACUAUCACAGUUGUAUUCAUUCGUUCAUUGCAUGUUAGAGGCUUGAUCUAAAUCUUUUUUAGGUCCUAAGGCCCACCGUUUUUAUCUUAGACUCUCAAUCAUAGUAGGAUGCUUGACACCGUUAGUUUCCUGAUCAGAUCAAGAGACACAUCUCAUCCUUCAAAUUGCGUUCGGAUUUUGGUCCUCAAAAUGAUCUUAUUUGACUUGGAGUCCUUAUCAAAGUUAUAGUCCUAAAUGCGUAAAUGAAUUUGGGCUUUUUAAUCUCCUGAUUUUGAUAUUUGAAAAUCAAGAUAUUCCUGUUUGAAUAUCUAGUGUGAAAGUAGAGAAUCUUGUUGUGAGUAGGAUUCUGACCCGAGUUUGCAAGUCUAAUUAGAGAUCCAAAAGAGAUCGGGUUUUUACCCAUAAUACCUUCCUGGAAAGCUUGACAUGUGUAAUUCAACUUAGAUUCAGCCCACGUUCUCAUUUGGGAACACUAACUUGACGAAAAACCUAUCAUAAGAAGCUAGGUCUAGAACAUAAAAUUCAAAAUUUCUUAUCAUAAGCAAUCAAUUCAUAGUCUUUUAGGCAUGCCAAAAUCAUAAAAAUAACUUCCAAUAAACUUAGAUAUUCUCAAAAUACAUUAAAAAUCAUAGUGUAAAAGGAGUAAAAACAUAUGUAUAUUUUGCACUUAUCACUCGUUAAGCAAGAAAGCUCUCUGUUCAAGCAAGCAAGCUCUGUCAAAAGUUUUCAAGCUUCCUUCAUCUACGCUUGAAGUCUACAAAGAAUGAAGCUUUGUUGGAUCAAGCCUAAAACGCCCCACAAGAGUUCUUCAACAACACUUUGAAAACAAAUCAAAGGUACUCUUCAAAGUAUCAAAUCACCAAAUCUUGUUUUGCAAUACACGCCCAAAUUCCCGUUCUUGCAAAGUAUAAAUCUUGGCUUGAUUCGUCAAAUAAAUCAAGUCACCAUAUAUCAACUCCAAGGGAAGAAUCAUAGGAUUGUCUUUUUUUUUUGAAAAGAAUACUUAGAUAGAGAUUGUACCUGGUCAUAUAUUUAAUAAAAUCAUAUAUUUGUACAUGUAUGCUUGUUUAAUUUCAGGUGCUCAAAAUUGUGUAUAUAUAGAGAUGAUGACAAACUGGAUGUUGGGCUGGCUAAAUUUGUAGUGGGAUGUUGAUUUAUGAUAAAAUUUGGGAGGUUUGUGGUGUUUGUUGCAUAUAAAAAUAGAGAAAAAAGAAGAAAUGGGAGAGAGAGAGAGGAGGGUCCUUUCAUUCCUUUUCAAUGUAAUUCACUCGAUAUAUAUCGAGGAAAUAUUUGCGUUGGUGUUUACUGAUUGAUACUGCGAGGGUAUAUUCAAUCAGAAAAAUUUACCGCAAUUUACUAACAAAAAUAUUCUAUUAGUGUAUUCAUUUGUGUUUGUCAAUUUUUUGAUUGUGUUAAUAGUUAGGAGAUGAUAGAAGAAAACACAUAGAUUUGACUGAAUAAACCCUAUUAGAGUUGGAUUUUCAAAUCAAUUUAUCCAAAACUUCACUUUAUAAAACCACUUUUGAUAUCUUAUCAAAUAGAGAAUCAAAAGAUCCUAUCUCUCUUAUUCUUAGAGCACUUCUCUAUUUGAAAUUCCAUAUCCAUAAAAAUCCAUCUUACACAUCCAUAUUAGCUAUAGAGGAAACUUGAUCUUCAGGUAGACUAUAUAGUCUAGGAAAUUGAACUGCAAGACAAGAAUCUAUCAGCCAGACAUCAUUCCAGAAAUGUUGACCUCAUAGGUUAGCCUUAUUGUUGAUCGUUUCAAUAGAGAAGUGUUGUAACUAUAUUUAUCUGUGGAAGCCUAAGGUUGUCUUGUUUAACUACUUUGUUUUCGCUAUUUUUUUUUAAAAACUUUUAUGCAUUGACCAUCAUGUUGGAGUCUUCUAAUGAAGAAGUUAAAAAUGAUAUAAUCGAUCUUCAAGUUCAGUUUCUCAUUGAUAUCUUCCUAAUUUAACAUUAAAAAUGAGAAAACUAUAAAGAAAACUCCUACUAAGCCUGUCAUGACUAACUCUUUCAACUUGUCUCAAGGUGUACGCAUCAAAAAGAUAUCUUUUAAUGAUGAAGACAUGUUGCUUGGAUCAAAACUUCAUAAACAACUUUUUUUUAUUAAAAGAUAUGUCAAUGAAAACAUGGUGAACUUUAUCUUGGUGGAUGAUGGUUCGAAUAUUAAUAUACUAUCUCUUAAGAUUAUAAAUGAGCUCGGGAUUCAUAUUUAUGUUUAUAUAUAUAAAAUAAUGUUGUUUUGACACACACACAUAAAAUUAAGGUUAAUCCAAGUUGAUCUGGGACUGAUAAAAAAUCAUGACACAAAUUUUACCCCGAGUUAACUCCCAAAUCGGGUCUAAUGAGGAUUGUUUGGAAAACGAUUAUAGAAAACCACCAAUAUGUAUAAGGAAAUCACUAGGAAAUUACUGAAUGGUUGUGUUUAAAAAUCAAAAUGGCACACAACAAGUCAAGCAUACGCGUUCACGACCUUUCUUGGCUAGUAAUGCUAUAAUGAAGAGAGAGUGGUAUAUCCACUUUCUCAUCAAUUACAACAAAAAUAAACAACCAGUCAAUAUGGUCCACGCAAAUUGUUUGGUGAGGUUACAUGCCAAUAAAACUAAUUGGAAUAUUUUUAAUGUUUGUAAAACUGUUAAAUGUUGUAGUGAGCUAACAUUAUGUUUUCUUGAUUUUGAGAUACAGAAAAAUAUUAUAUUUAGAAAAGUUUUGGAUUAAUUAAAUAGGUUAUGAAAAUAUAAUUGCUUAGUGGUAUAGAUCAUGAAAAUAUGAUUGCUUAGUGCUUGUUAAAUGGUAUAGAAGUAUCAGGUUAACAAUUAGAUAAUAAAGUUAGAAGUUGUUAAUUUAAGUAUUUUACAGGGCUACUGUUUGAUUCAAAAAAUGACUUGAUUAAAUAUAGUUUUUUACCCAAAUUUUAGGAUUUUAUUAGUCCAAGCACUUAUUUGUUGAGGCGAAACUGAUCCAAUUCAGAGUUGAUGUUUAUAUCGAUCGAUCAUAAAAGAAAAAUUUUGAUUCAUUCCGAUUAAACUUCCUUCCUAUUAAUCUGGAAGUUCUUCUCAGAUAUAAGGAAAUGUUUCAGUUCCAAAGCCAAAGAUCGUAGUUCUCGAACGAGCAAUCAAAAAGAUUUUGGAGCAUCCUCAGGUUUAGGUAUUGUUUGUCCACUGAUUGUAGUACCAAACACUUCUUGGCGAGCUCUAAUAUGAUCAGAUUUAUAAGUAAGCAUCUCUUGUAAAAUACGAGAAACACCAAAUCCCUCUAGAGCCCAAACCUCCAUUUCUCCUACUCGUUAUCCCCCUUGUUUGGCCCUUCCUCUAAGGGGUUGUUGUGUAAUGCCCACUGGAACGUCCAUGUAUUUCUCAUAUUUACUGUUGUACAUAAGAAAUGAGUCUCGAUUUUUUUUUUAUUGCAAAUUUAGAAGAUGUUUUCUUUCACUCAUAUAACUAUCUAAUUUAGUUCAUCAAUUUAAAUGAUGAAUAAAAAAAUUAAGAUAUAUAUAUUCAAUUAAUUUCACCUUCUUCCUAAUAAAGAAAAAGGGAAUAGGGAAAAAUUUAUGUUUCAACGCAUCGCACGUAGAGAUAUGGAUAAUACACAGAGAGUUUAUGGUAUUUCAUAACUAAUCAAUUGAGCGACAACUCGUAGACCACCUAAAAAGGAAUAUUUAUUAUUUGUUUAUACAUAGGAAAAGCUUGUUCUCUCUGGUUUUUAUUAUCAUAAACGGUGCAUUAAUCUAGUUUUUAUAGAAAUAGCUAUGAUGAAAAUAGUAAAGAAUACGUGGACUAUAUGUCAAUAAUGCCGGGGAUGAUUUCGAGGAUUAUUAUUAUAAAUUAUAUAAAAGGAAUUGCUAUUUGGAUUAUAUAUAUAUAUAUAUAUAUAUGAAUGAAAAGGUAAUUAAGACUAGUUUAAGUGUUGGAGGGAUUUUAAUGGGUUAUAUGCUUGCGAAUAGGUUUUUUGAGCUAAGAUUUCAGACCUCCGUUGUUUAAGUAAAGAAAGUAAGAGCUUGUUUGGCUACGUGUUAGCGUUCACGUUUCUUCAAAAAUACAGGAAAAAGUCGUUUGAUUACAGAUUGUUAAACAAUCAAAACACAUAGGUCCCACCAUUUAUAUGCGGCAGGACCACGAUGUUUUGGAAGCAGUAAAAUACUGUUUUUUUUACAAGUUUGAACCUGUGAAACACACACUGUUCACGAUUGAUUGCAUUGUUCACGUGAACAAUGCAAUUCACUUGCACUGUUCACGUGAAUAUUUUUUUUUCCAGUGUGUUAAUUUAUUUAACAGUUUUUUGUUUUUUUAAAAAAACUAGUUUAGAUUUAAUUAAAUUCACUCGCAUUGUGAUGUGAACAAUAUUUUUUUUUUCCGAAAAACUAGUAUAGAGUGAAUUAAAUUCACUUGCACUGUAAUAUCAAUUUUAUACCUGAUAAUAUUUUAUCUAAUUUUAUUACAUGCUCACAAAAUUAUAAAAACUGUAGUUCUUAUCAGCUAAAUUUUGUACGUAAUGAAAUUAUAAAUAGUUUAAUGGAAUAAUAAAAAAUAUUUUAUCUAAAGUAUUAUUUAUUUCAUGAUGUAAUAGGAGUAGUUAAUUCUACAAUAUUUAAAUUUAAAACCAUCAAUAUUAAUAUAUAUUUUUUAAAAUUAUUUUAUGACCUCAAUUUCAAAAACAUUCUUAACCAAACACAUUAAACUACUUUUUUUUUCAACCUCAAUUUCAACCACAGUUUAAACCAAACACCUAUUUUUUAAAACCUACCUCAACUAAAAGUACUUUUUAUAAAAUAAUUUUUUUAAAACCACAACCACAACAGCUACAACAAUACCAAACACACUCUAAGUAAAUAUUUAAACACCCUAUUAUUUUUAAAUAGAAUAGAUAUUUUUCUAAAUUGUGCAUGUUUCAUCUACUAAAGGUAUUACAUUCUAUAUAUAUAAAGAUCAAGCAAUGGCUAUGUUUAGAUUGGUUUAGAAUUUCUGUAAGAAUGUUUUAUAAACUGAUUUAUGAAAGAAAACGAAAGAUGCGUCUUUAAUGUCUCCAUUCUGCACAUGUAAAUCAUUACGUUUCAUUCUUAAUGACCAGGCAAAGUAUAGAGAAGUUAGUAGCAGCGAGCAAGAACCCUGAGCUCACAAACCACAUCGAUAUUAGAAAUGCGAGGAAUCAUUAGCAAAAGUAAAAACAAAUAAUUAAUGACAUAAGCAAGUAUCGGUCAACUAAUAUACAUAGACAUCUAUUUUUAAUUCCUCCAGAGGUCAGUAUAGGUCAGUAUAGGAGUUUACUUGGCCACCCUUCUGUCUAAAAAUUGUGGCUACGAGCUUCAUGGUUAAUUUUCUUGAACUGGAAGAACCCUUCAUUUAUGGCUAUGUUCCAAGAUAUAUAAGUGAAUUGGUUGCAAACCAGGGGAGUAUCUGUGUAAACAUUACAAUAGCAUUUACUCUGAGUAAGAACACCUCUUUGCAUGUGCUGUAAUUGACAAUAUUCAUGUAUGAAAACAUUUGAACGGGAAUAAAGAAAAUAAUUCAUCAAACAGUAUGAAUAAGGAAAUCAGCAGGAAAUUACUGCAUGGUUGUGUUUAAAAAUCAAAAUGGUACACAGCAAGUCAAGCAUGCGCGUUCACGGCCUUUUAAUGCCUUAACUCAUCUUGGCCAGUAGUGCUACAAAGAAGAGAAAGUGGUACAUCCACCUUCUCAUCAAUUACUUGAGAUUUGUGGAAGAUAAGAAAAUGAUUGCUAUUAUCGACAAUUUCUCUGUUAUAUAUAUAUAUAUAUAUAUAUAUAUAUAUUUGGUGGAGUUUCAUGAAUCCUUUCCAUUAGAUAUUCAAUAAUUUAUAUAUUCAUUUUGGAGAAGUAACUCAUUUUCACACCCCAGUUUCAUGAAAACGAAGACCACUCAUCAUGGUGUGGAACUAACUAAUAUACUGUUCCCGUCAUGGGGUCACUCAUUACUAUCAGAAGAAAUUAAACCAUUUUGGUGUCCAUUGUUUUGAUGCACUGAAUACCAUCUGGACCUGUUAACUGCCAAGAACAUCUAUUUUCCUGGCAAUCAAUUUGAAGAUGAAAACUCGAAUGCACAACUGUAACUGAGACUAGUUUUUCAAGAGACCUGCAAUUGAUUUAAAAUUCUUUCUUUCAAGGGCUCACAAGAUUCUGCAUGCAAAUGGAAUGGACUAGUUCCGAGUUGUUGAAGUUGUUUUCUUGACCUUGAUUGUGAAUUGUUCUCCAGCAGCUUGAUCCUUCUCUCUAUCCAAGGCAAUUUGUAUAACGUCGCCGGCCUUGAGGUCCUUUGAACGAACAAAUAAAAACCAAUCCCCAUAAAGGGCUCAUGAACCACCUACUGGUACUGGGGCUCUACAACGAAAUGUCCAUACUUGACCAUCCUCGUCUUUAAACUUCAAAUAUGCUUCAUGGCCUCUCGGGAAAUCGUUUAUACAAUUUUCUGAUAGCAGUAGCCUUCUCUCAACAUCAAUAUUGUUGAGUUUCUUCAUGAAGUUUUUUUCCAUUGCUUAUUUCGAAGAACUAGAAGAGCAAUUGAUGAGGCAACUUGCCCUUUUCAAUCUUCAACUCAUCUGACAGCUCUUCCGUGGUGACAUUGGAUCUCACAUACAACAACUUCAUGGGCUCAAUUUCAAAUUGGAUUGGCAAUCUUUUGAGACUGAGUGUUCUUUAGAAAGCUAAUCAUUUUGAUGGUCAGUUUCCUACUCAGAUAUGCUUGUUAGAAGAUUUAAGCAUUUUGGAUGUUUCACAAACAAAACUCUCUGGUCGUCUACCAUCCUGUCUAUCCUGUCUGGGAAAUUAUUCUCUCUCAAGGGAUGAUGUAGAACAAGUAGCGGAAGCAUACAUGCUCAAGAGGGAUCACCCGAAAUUCAAAGGCAACUGAAUUUCGGCAGCUGGGGCGUCGAAGUCGGAAUGCCACGAAACUCAUCGAGUCAAUGCGUUUUGCCAUUUGCGGAGGAAGUCAGGGCAUAGCCCCUGUUGUCCACCAGUUUUUGGCCAAAUUCCAUCGUUUCGGCCCCGAAAUCGUCAUUUUUGCCAUUUUUAGGAAAAUUUCGUUUUCGCCAUGACUCUUGAUUUCCGAGUCUGAAUUGACUUUCGUCAAUUCCUGCUUGCUCAGGGGUUAUAGGCCUUUCAUAUUCUGCAUUUAUCUCAAAUUUUCCAUUUAUGGUAAAUUUAAUGUUUUGUGUCGUUUCCUUAUCCGUCAUGGGUUAGGUUAGAGUUUUGCUUUAAAUACCAUUGUAAAGCCUCUGACCGGGGGUACCUAUUGAUUAUUGAAUAAAAAACCUUGAGUUUUCUGAGAGUUUCUCUCGCUGUAAAUCAUUUACGGAAUAUUGACGUUGGUCGUAUUCAUUUACUGUUUUCUGCUGCGUCAAUUGGUAUCAGAGCACGGAUUUGCCGAACUCGAUGGCGAAUAAUGAAGCAGGAGACAAAAACUCUAUUGGCGGAGACCAUGGAGUAGAGGCCUUGUGGGGCGGUAGUGGAGGAGACGUGGCAACAAGUAGCGCAGAUUCACGAGAUGCUUGCUGCCAGGAUUAACCUCAACGCCAAUAACAGGCCACCAGUUAAUAGGGCUCGCGCCGAAGGAAUUGCCAGAGGCCAACCUGUUCAUAGAAGAUGCAAUCCAGCACCUCGCAUCCAACUUGACAGCGAGGAUGAUUCAGAUGAAGAAGAUGACAUGGGGUACGGUUUACCUCCACCUGCGAGAUGUCCGAGGGAGCAAGAUGAUUAUCGCCUGAAAGCAGAUCUGCCCAGUUUCAAUGGGAAUCUGCAAAUUGAAGAUUUUCUUGAUUGGGUUACCGAAGUGGAGUGAUUCUUUGAGAUGAUGGAGAUACCAGAAGAAAAGAUGGUGAGGUUUGUAGCCCUUCUGAUUGAAGGGAGGGGCUGCAGUAUGGUGGGAUCAAUUACAGAAGAAUCGGCAGCGACAAUGAAAGACGCUUGUAAGGACUUGGCGUAGGAUGAAGCAACUGAUGAUAGGGAGGUUUCUGCCACCAGAUUAUGAACAAUAUCUGUUUCAAUUACUUCAAGACUGCUCACAAGGAUCCAUAUUUGUGUUUGAUUAUACUGCGGAGUUCUCUAGACUCUUGGAGCGAAACAAUCUUAACGAGACAGAGGGGCAGCGCAUAGCCAGGUAUAUGAAUGGAUUGAAAUCGUCAUUGUGAGAUAAGAUUGGGUUACAGGUGGUUUGGACUGUGGAGGAAGCUUAUAAUCUGGCAUUGAAGGCUGAACUGAUGGAGCGAAGAGGAGGAAUCUCAGGGUUUCGUCGAAACAAUCUAGAGUCUUCGUUUAAUACCAGAGACAAGGGUGGCAAUAGCAGCCAAGCAGGCAUGUUGAAUCAGAACAAAGAAGGAGGCAGCAGCAGCAGCUAAGCAGCCCAAAGCAACAUGAAUAUACCCAGAAAUCCAAAUCAGAACAUGAACACGAACUUGAAUCCCAACCCUUACGCCAGACCUGCACCUGGAGUCUGUUAUCACUGUCGGAAACCUGGGCAUCUCUCUAACACUUGCCCAGAUCGUCGCAGACCUGUCAACUGGAUCGAAGGGGAUCCAGAGGCUGCUGGAGAUUAUGCAGGGGAGGAUGACUGUUAUGAGGGGGUAGAGUUCGCUGAGGAGGAUGGAGAACGAGUCAACUGUGUAGUGUAGCGAAUAUUAUACACUCCAAGGCAAGAGGACGCAGGACAACAGAAUAAUAUCUUUCGCUCAUACUGCACUGUGAGCCAGAAGGUGUGCGACUUAAUUGUGGAUAGCAGGAGUUGCGAGAACUUCGUUGCAAGGGGCCUAGUUGAACACCUAAAGCUACCAACCGAGAAGCACCCGACUCCAUACACUAUCGGCUGGAUCAAGAAAGGACCUAUAGUGAAUGUAACUGAAAUCUGUCGCAUUCCUAUUUCCAUUGGAAAAAUAUAUAAAGAUGAAGUAGUUUGUGAUGUGAUUGAUAUGGAUGCUAGUCAUGUGUUGUUGGGUCGGCCGUGGCAGUAUGAUGUUGAUGUUACCUACAAGGGUCGGGAUAAUACUUAUUUGUUCACGUGGGGGUCACAUAAAAUUGCUAUGGCUCCUUACAAAAGGAAGGCCCUGUCCGGUAAGGCUUCUAAAGUGGAGAAGCAGUCAUUUUUGACAGUGUCCAGUUCGGAUACAGAGUUUGUGCCAGACAUCAAGGGUGCGCCAGAGUUCUAUGCGCUCGUAGUGAAGGCCCUCGUGGUGGAAGGGGAAGUUGAGGCUUCGGUCACAGUCCCUGACAGGCUGAAACCAUUGAUAGAUCAGUUCAGGGAUAUCACUUCAGAAGAGUUGCCGAAUAAUCUACCGCCCUUGAGGGAUGUCCAGCACCAUAUAGACCUCAUACCAGGGGCCAACUUGCCAAAUCUGCCUCAUUAUCGGAUGAGUCUGAAAGAGAACGAGGUCUUGCAGAAGGGUUUUAUCCGCGAAAGCAUGAGUCCAUGCGCGGUUCCUGCGUUGUUAAUGCCAAAGAAAGAUGGGACUUGGUGUAUGCGUGUGGACAGCCGAGCUAUCAACAAGAUAACCGUCAAGUAUCGCUUCCCAAUUCCCUGCCUAGAUGACAUGUUGGAUCACCUUGAGGGUUCAAAGUUAUUCUCAAAAAUUGACCUCCGCAGUGGAUAUCACCAGAUUCGAGUCAGACCGGGGGACGAGUGGAAGACAACAUUCAAAAGCAAAGACGGGUUAUAUGAGUGGCUAGUUAUGCCGUUUGGGUUAUCAAACGCGCCCAACACUUUUAUGCGCGUGAUAAAUAAGGUAUUGAGGCCUUUUAUAUGGGGAAAUUUGUUGUCGUUUAUUUCGACAAUAUCCUUAUCUAUUGUAAGACCGCGGAUGAGCAUGUGUAGCAGUUACGGGAUGUGUUGGCAGUGCUACAAGAGAACCAACUAUUCCUUAAUCUAAAAAAGUGCAGCUUUAUGACGGAUAGCUUGUUGUUUCUGGGUUAUGUUGUAAGUUCAGAGGGGAUUCAUGUGGAUGAAGAGAAGGUUCGAGCAAUUAGAGAAUGGCCUGCACCGAAGACCAUGGGUGAAGUUCGGAGCUUCCACGGAUUAACCACUUUCUACCGCCAAUUUAUUUGGAAUUUCAGUACUGUCAUGGCACCGAUAACCGAGUGCAUGAAGAAAGGCAAAUUUCAGUGGGGGGAAAAGGCAAAAACAAGCUUUGCGUUGAUAAAGGGGAAGCUAUGCACCGCGCCAGUAUUGGCCCUACCUAGUUUUGAGAAGAUUUUCGAAGUUGAAUGUGAUGCGAGUGGCGUGGGAAUUGGGGUUGUGCUAUCCUAGGAGAAACGACCAGUAGCCUUGUUCAGUGAGAAGUUGAGUGAGGCUCGUCAGAAGUGGAGUACGUAUAACCAAGAGUUUUACGCGGUGGUUCGAGCUUUGAAGCAUUGGGAACACUAUCUAGUGUAGCGGGAGUUUGUUUUGUACACUGACCACCAAGCUCUGAAAUUUAUUAAUAGCCAGAAGCACUUGGAUAACAUGCAUGUCAAAUGGGCAACUUUCCUUUAAAAGUUCCCUUUUUUCUAUUCGACACAAGUCUGGUGCUUUGAAUCGGGUUGCCGAUGCGCUGAGCCGUCGUGCCAAUCUGCUGGUGACAUUGGCUGAUGAGAUAGCGCGGGGUUUGAGUGCCUAAAGGAGUUGUAUCAGGAGGAUGAGGAUUUCAAAGAAAUCUGGGCGAAGUGCAUUGAGAAACACCCCAUCAGCGAUUUUCAUGAGAGCGAAGGUUUUCUGUUUCACGGAAAUCGUUUGUGUAUACCCCGGAUGUCGCUGCGAGAGAAAUUGAUAUGUGACCUUCAUGGGGGUGGAUUGAGUGGACACUUGAGUAGGGACAAAACAAUGGCUAGCUUAGAGAAACGAUAUUUCUGGCCGCAAUUGAAGAGAGACGUCAGCAAUUUUGUAUAGAGGUGCUAUAUAUGUCAGGUAUCUAAAGGUCAGUCACAAAAUACUAGUCUCUAUACACCUUUACCUAUUCCUAACAAUAUUUGGGAGGAUUUGUCUAUGGAUUUUGUGCUGGGGUUGCCUCGCACCUAGCGAGGGGUGGAUUCUGUUUUUGUGGUGGUUGACAGGUUUUCAAAGAUGGCUCACUUCAUCCCUUGCCGAAAGACCUUAGAUGCUUCGCAUAUAGCCCGGUUAUUUUUCAGGGAUGUGGUCCGACUUCACGAAGUGCCGCAGUCAAUUACUUCUGAUCGCGACACGAAAUUCCUUAGCUACUUUUGGGUGACUUUAUGGAAGAUGUUUCAGACUUCGCUGAACCGAAGCACAACCGGCCACCCGCAAACUGAUGGGCAGACAGAGGUGACAAACAAAACUUUGGGAAAUCUGGUUCAUAGCAUUUGUGGGGAUAAACCAAAACAGUGGGAUCAUGUGUUGCCACAGGCUGAGUUUGCUUACAAUAGUGUUGUUCAUAGCGCAACGGGGAAGACUCCUUUUGCUAUGAUAUAUGUGACACCACCGAGACAUACAGUGGACUUAGUUCGUCUACCCAAGGGAGGCCCAGGAUUUAGUAUGGCAGCUGAGAACUUGGCGACACAAGGUCAAACCGUGCAGGAGGAAGUCAGGUAGAGGUUGGAAGCAACAAAUGCAAAGUACAAGGCUGAAGAGGUGUUUGAAGAGGGAGAUUCCGUGAUGGUUUUCUUGCGCAAAGAAAGGUUUCCCGUAGGCAGUUACAACAAGCUGAAGCCCAAGAAAUAUGGUCCGUAUCAGGUUUUGAAGAAGAUCAACGAUAAUGCCUAUGUGAUUGAUCUUCCCGAAACCAUGGGCAUUUCCAAGACUUUCAAUGUUGCAGAUUUGUUUCAGUAUUAUGCAGAGGAACACUUGUAUCCUUAUCCCGAUCCGGAACCUAACUCGAGGUCGAGUUCUUUUCAAGUGGAGGAGUCUGAUGUAGAACAAGUAGCGGAAGCAUACAUGCUCAAGAGGGAUCACCCGAAAUUCAAAGGCAACUGAAUUUCGGCAGCCGGGGCAUCGAAGUCGAAAUGCUGCGAAACUCACCGAGUCAAUGCGUUUCGCCGUUUGCGGAGAAAGUCAGGGCAAAGCCGCUGAUGUCCACCAGUUUUUGUCCAAAUUCCAUCGUUUCGGCCCCGAAAUCGUCAUUUUUGCCAUUUUUAAGAAAGUUUCGUUUUAGCCAUAACUCUUGAUUUCCAAGUCCGAAUUGACUUUCGUCAAUUCCUGCUUGCUCAGGAGUUAUAGUCCUUUCAUAUUCUGCAUUUACCUCAAAUUUUCCAUUUAUGGGAAAUUUAAUGUUUUGUGUCGUUUCCUUAUCCGUCAUGGGUUAGGUUAGUGUUUUGCUUUAAAUGCAUUGUAAAGCCUUUGACCGGGGGUACCUAUUGAUUAUUGAAUAAAAAACCUUGAGUUUUCUAAGGGUUUCUCUUGUUGUAAAUCAUUUACAGAAUAUUGACGUUGGUCGUAUUCAUUUACUGUUUUCUGCCGCGUCAAGGGAGAUUAAGAGAGAGUAGUAGGUGCUCAUGAAUCAAUCAUUCCAUACAAGUCCAUGGACAAGCAGUAUUCUGAAACAAUGGGACAACCACUAGCUAGUAAGGAGUAUCGCUAACGAGGACGGCAGUUUUCCAUCCAUCAAUAUAGAAGAAGCAAUAGAAUUUACAUCUAAAAGAAUGUGUUAUCACUACCAGAAUUUCUGUGUUUAAAAAUAAAAAUGGCACGCAGCAAGUCAAGCAAUAUCCGCGCUCACGACCUUUCUUGGAAAGAAGAGAGUGGUAUAUCCACUUUCUCAUCAAUUACUUGAGAUUAUGGAAGAUAUGAUACAAGAGAUAAGAAAAUGACUGCUAUCAUCGACAAUUUCUCUGUUAUAUAUAUAUAUAUAUAUAUAUAUAUAUUUAUUACGCGUAUUUCGUGAAUCCUUUCCAUUAGCUAAUCAAUAAUAUUGUAUAUAUUCUUUUUGGAGAAGUAACUCAUUUGCACACCCUUGUUGUAGUUUUCCAUUCAUUUUCACACCCCAGUUGCCACCCUGCUUUUCUUUCCAUUCACGCACACAGAUAGUGCAUACAAGCACUACGACAAUAGUUGACUCCCAGUCAAUACGGCCGACGCAAAUUGUUUGGUGAUGUUGCAUUCCAACAAAACUAAUUUGAAUAUUUUUCCCAACCUGGCAAAUAGACUAAGGGCUCAACAAUAAAAUAAAAUAAUAUUCAAAUCCCAAAACAUGGAACUUGAACAAGUAUAAAUAGGACCUCUAUGGUUGCCCAAAGGCACAUAACAAACAACAAUAUUCUACGUAGUAGUAAUUCAUAGAAUUUUCUAAGAUGAUGAAAAGAAUGGGGGCUUGGAUGUUGCUAGCAUUAUUGACUUUCGUUGGCGAAUGGUCUGGUCGUUGUUAUGGUUGUUUGGAGGAAGAGAGGAUUGGUCUCUUGGAGAUCAAAGCUUUGAUCGAGCCAGAUGGCUUUUACUUGAGACAUUGGGCGGACAAUAAUAAUUGUUGUGAGUGGUAUGAGAUCGAGUGUGAUAACACUACAAGGCGAGUGAUCCAACUCUCUCUUGUGGAGUAAGGGGUGAGAGCUUGGGCGAUUGGGUUCUCAACGCAUCUUUGUUUCAGCCUUUUAAAGAAUUGCAAAGUCUUGAAUUGAGAUAUACUAGAUUGGUUGGUUGCUUGGAGAAUGAAGGUUAGUUCAAUGUUUCUGCACUUAAUUAUAAUAAUAAAAUAAAUGAAGGUUGGUUGGUGUUUAAUGUCAAUUAUCUUGCUUUGAUGAUUCUCUUUCAGGCUUCCAAGUCCUAUCAUCAAAACUGAGGAAACUUGACCUAAGUUAUAACCGAUUUAAUAAUGAUAAAAGCAUUUUGUCAUGCUUGAGUGGGCUUUCCACUCUCAAGUCUUUGGAUCUAUCAUCUAAUGAGUUGACAGCUGGAUCAGGAGGUAGCUUCUAUGGUAACCUUUUAAUUAUUUAGCUUUGAAACCUUUUAUUUUCUCCUUCUCAUAUCAUUUCUCUCUAUGCGUUUAAUUAUUUCCUUCCAAUAUGCUCUUGAGGAACCUCAUGCAGGUCUCAAAGUCUUGUCAUCAAGGUUGAAAAAGCUGGAGAACCUUCAUCUAAGUUGGAAUCAAUACAACGAUAGCAUUUUUCCAUCUCUUACUGGAUUUUCAUCCCUCAAGUAUUUGGAUCUUUCAGCCAAUCAGCUGACAGGAUCAGGUAUAAUACACAGUUUCUACCUAAAUGUUUCACAUGACAUUCAGGAUCAGGUAUAAUACACAGCUUCUACCUAAAUGUUUCACAUGACAUUCUCUUAAUUAUAUUUUUUCUUUAUCAACAAAAAUGAGGACGACUUUAUAUCUACGUAAAGAGGCACUUGGAAUGAGGUCCAAGAGGCAUAUAUUUUAUUCUUAUUUUGGCCCUUUUAUGCCAAAAGUGUUUUAAUAUUUAGAUUAAAUUAGCAAUCAAAAGUUCACUUCAAAACUCUCCUAUAAAUAUAUAUUUUAUAUUUAUCUUUUUAAAUAAAUAUAUUUUUAUAUAUGUUUCUUCUAUCUUGAGAUACUUAGUCGAACACUAUUUUUUUUUAAUUUUAAUGCAUUUGAGUUUUAAUGGGUUUUGAAUAACAUAAUAAGAAGGUCUCUCCUAGAAUAUUAUAAUUAAGAAAAUUGUAAUUAUUAAAACUUGGAUCUUAACAUCAAUUAAAAAAAAAACUAUCCAAUACAAAUCACUCGUGUUUUAUCAAUAAAGAGAACAACAUAAAACCCACAUAUUUGAUAUUUAAUUCUUGUUUGUAGCCAUUUAUUAUUUCCUCUCUUUCUAAUCAUGGUUUUAUAUUAUUUUGGACCUUUUUUUAAUCAAAAUAUUAUUCUGCGGUGGAGGAUAUAUUGCCUUAUGGUCAUGGUGAAUGGUGAAAUAUUUGGACUUUGAGAAAUAAAACGUGAAAAAGUUUAUAAUUCUUUAAUGCCAUGGAUAAAAUUGGGAAAUUACUUCCUAGAAAACAGAGGCAGUUAGGAACAAAUUAUAAUUACUAAAUUAGUGACAACUAAGCAUCUUACUAACUAAAUAGAUAGAGGAAUUAAUUUACGAUUAUUAUUCUUGUUUUAAUUACUGAUGAGGUCUCAAUUAUAAGUUUCUUUAUCUUGUUUUGUAAGUCUAUCAUAACUUAGCUUCCAUCUUUUUAUGUAUAAUUUGAGAAUCAUAUAUGAAAUGAACAACAACAUCUCAUCAAUUCUAAUUAUCUUUAGUUUCUAUCUAUUAUGCAUAUCGUGAGCUCAUAAUUACGACUUACUCUUAGAAACAACUCUCUUGCAGGUUUUGAGAUCAUAUCAUCACAUUUGGGGAAACUCGAGAACCUGGACCUGAGCUAUAAUAUAUUCAACGACAACAUAUUCUCACAUCUGCGUGGACUUUCUUCUCUCAAGUCUUUAAAUUUAUCCGGCAAUAUGUUGCUAGGAUCAACGACUGUCAAUGGUAAAGUUGUGAAAUCCUAGAUUUUUCAAGCAAUUUGUUGUUUAUAUCCAAAAAUCAUCUCACUAUAAAAGUAUCAGUUCCUUAUCAUAGGUUUAAGAACUCGAUCAAGAUAACACUUAAUUCCACUAAUUACUUGAUUGCCUGUUUUCAAUUCUACACAUCAUAGGUUUAAGGACGCUGGAAUUCCUACAGACAUUACCAAUAUCCCUGAAGACCCUUUCUCUCAAGGAUACUAAUUUAAGUCAAGGUUAAUCAUAGUUUAGUUUGUUAAAAUCAUAAUUAAUAAUAUUGAAUGGAAUGGCCAUUCUAUACCACCACUAUUUUCAUCAGUUCUUUUUUCUUCUUCUUCUUCUUUUCACAGGGACUUUCUUCAAUUCUAGCACCCUUGAAGAAUUGCAUCUAGAUAAUACUUCUCUCCCAAUAAACUUUCUCCAGAACAUUGGAGCAUUGCCUGCUCUUAAAGUUUUGUCUAUUGCUGAAUGUGACCUCCAUGGCACCCUACCCGCUCAAGGUAAAUUAACAACUCUCCAUCCGCCUAUAAUUACAUCAUCAAUAAAAGAUUCUUUCAACUUUGUUUUGACUAUUUUGAGAUAAAUUAUACAGGUUGGUGUGAAUUGAAGAAUCUGAAGCAGUUAGAUCUCGCUAGAAAUAAUUUUGGAGGUUCACUCCCAGAUUGUUUAGGGAACUUGUCAUCUCUACAACUAUUAGAUGUUUCUGGAAACCAAUUUACUGGAAAUAUUGCCUCCAGUCCUCUUACCGACCUCAUAUCCCUUCAAUUCCUCUCACUAUCAAACAACCUCUUUGAAGUUCCCACUUCAAUGAAGCCUUUUAUGAACCACUCAAACCUCAAGUUCUUCUCCAGUGAGAACAACAAACUUGUAACAGAACCUGUUGCCUUUGAUAAUUUGAUUCCAAAGUUCCAACUAGUCUUUUUUCGCUUGUCAAAAACAACGAAAGCACUCAAUGUAGAAAUUCCUGACUUCCUCUAUAACCAAUACGACUUAAGAGUCCUUGAUCUCUGCCACAACAACAUCACUGGAAUGUUUCCAUUGUGGUUGCUUAAGAACAAUACACGAUUGGAGAAACUAUAUCUGAGCCAGAACUCCUUUGUUGGCACUUUGCAGUUGCUAGAUCAUCCAUAUCCGAAUAUAACAGAAUUAGAUAUAUCAAACAACAACAUGAACGGUCAAAUUCCAAAAGAUAUUUGUUUGAUCUUUCCAAAUCUAAAGAGUUUAAGGAUGGCUAAGAAUGGAUUCACAGGUUGUAUUCCUUCUUGUUUAGGAAAUAUUAGCUCUUUGUAUCUUUUAGAUUUAUCCAACAAUCAAUUGUCCAUAGUAAAACUAGAACAACUAGCAACAAUAUUUUUCAUCAAGCUGUCAAACAACAAUUUGGGUGGGAAAAUAUUGACCUCGGCGUUCAAUUCUUCUACCCCAAGAUGUCUCUACCUGAGUGGUAACAACUUUCAAGGUCAGAUAUCAGAUUUUCCAUUAUAUGGGUGGAAAGUGUGGAUUGUAUUGGAUUUGAGUAACAAUCAAUUUUCAGGCAUGCUUCCAAGGUGGUUCGUCAAUUCUACACAAAACUUAACGUAGUUGAUUUGUCCAAAAACCAUUUUAAGGGCCCGAUCCCAAGAGACUUUUUUUGUAAGCUUGACCAGCUUGAAUAUUUGGACCUUUCUGAGAACAACUUGUCUGGAUAUAUACCAUCUUGUUUCAGUCCACCAUCUCUAAUCCAUGUGCAUCUAUCUGAAAAUAGAUUAAGCGGUCCAUUAACAUAUGGAUUUUAUAACAGCUCUUCUCUAGUUACGAUGGAUCUUCGAAAUAACAGCUUCACUGGCUCCAUUCCAAAUUGGAUUGGCAAACUUUCAUCAUUGAGUGUUCUUGUUAUGAGGGCUAAUCACUUUGAUGGUGAGCUCCCUGUUCAGUUAUGCUUGUUAGAACAAUUAAGCAUUUUGGAUGUUUCACAAAACCAGCUAUCUGGUCCACUACCCUCCUGUUUGGGCAAUCUUACUUUAAAGGAAAAUUCCCAGAAAGCGUUGGCAUAUCCCCAAGGUUAUUUUGUACUAGAGUCCAUAGAAAAAGUUUAUUAUGAAACAAUAGGUCCACCACUAGUGGAUAGUAUUUUCAACUUGGAAAAUCAUGUUUGGAUUAACUUUACAGAAGAAGUGAUGGAAUUUACAACUAAAAAUAUGCAUUAUGGUUACAAGGGGAAAAUUCUCAGCUACAUGUCUGGUAUUGAUCUCUCCAAUAACAACUUCGGAGGAGCAAUCCCACUAGAAUUUGGAAACUUAAGUGAGAUACGGUCAUUAAACUUAUCACACAACAAUCUCACUGGAUCUAUCCCUGCAACAUUCUCAAAUCUAAAGCAGAUUGAGAGUUUGGAUGUUUCUUACAACAACUUGAAUGGUGCCAUCCCUCCACAACUUACUGGAAUUACCUCACUGGAAGUUUUUAGUGUGGCGCACAAUAACUUGUCAGGUAGGACACCCGAGAGAAAAUAUCAGUUUGGGACCUUCGAUGAAAGCUCUUACGAAGGAAAUCAUUUCUUGUGUGGACCUCCAUUGCGAAACAAUUGUAGCAAGGAAGCAGUGUCGUCGCAGCCAGUGCCCGAUGAUGAACAAGGAGAUGAUGGUUUCAUUGACAUGGAGUUCUUCUACAUCAGUUUCGGUGUAUGUUACACAGUUGUGGUGAUGACGAUUGCAGCUGUUCUCUACAUCAAUCCAUAUUGGCGAUGCAGGUGGUUGUACUUCAUUGAAGACUACAUAGAUACUUGCUACUAUUUUGUGGUGGCUAGUUUUCGCAAGUUCUCCAACUUCAGAGGAUGAAUUUGUUAUGAUUGUAUGUCUAGCUAUUGGGUGCUUCAUUUGUAGUGUACUGUCUCUAAGCUCAGCCUUUCUAUUUGAUUAGUUAUGUGGGCUAAAUAUAUAAGCUGGACUUGUCAUUCCUGAACCAUUAGGAAGGGAACUGAUUUGGAUUGGUCAUUGCCUCGGAUGUGAUGACUCUUUUAACUCUCAAGACUUGUCCGAAAAUAAAUUGCCAAAACCACUACUAAGUAGAAACAAAAUAUUCCAUGCCUGUGUGACAACACUUACAUUUGCCUUUGUUUCAAGGGCGACCUUCUUCAACAGCCUUCCUGGCCGUUUCUAGUAGCUUCUUUGCUCUGAUCCUCAUUUCCUCUGAUUCUUCACCCAUCAUAAUUUGACUCAUCUACAGCUUCACUUUUAACAUGAUCUCCAUGCAUUCUAGGCCAUUCCUUAACUCCAGUCACCAACUUUUCAUUAUAAAAUUGCUCAGCAAUUAUUGCCCUUAUGCCUUCAAGAGUUGAGUUCCAUCCUCAAUGAGUCACAAAUGCCCCUAUUGCUACAUGAUCAAGAAUCAAACCAAAGCCAGUUGUCUUGGAAACUUUAAUCUCUGUUUAUCAAGCCUGUCUUUUUAACAAGAUUGUCUUUCUUUGGCUCAUGAGGCUGCCUGUCGCGCCGAAGAUUUGCCCGCAGCUUGUAGGAAUCAAACCAAAGCCCCUUUUAAGAAAAUUUAAUGACCAAAAGGAAGAAAAUCAUAAAAAAAUCUAGUUAGAUCAAAGGAGAAGAUAUAUUAUAUAUUCAUAAAAAGCUUAAAGUAGACAAACAUCAAACAUUGAUUCAACAUGUAACAAUGCAAGUAGCAAGGUAAAAGUGCUACUCAUAUCAACCAGGACUUGUUAUGAAGGAAUAAAUAUUUUGGAGCUUCAAGGGUGGUUUUUCUUUAAUUUAUGUGGAACCCAUUAGUAGAAAAGCAAGCUAUGAAGGCUAGGCUAAGAGAAAAUUGUCUACAUUUACCAUCUCAUUAUAUCAGGGACAAUGAAAGAGGAAAAACAUUUUCGCCAAGUCGAGAAAGAGCGAAUGUAAAAGCUGAUGUUGGAUUGCGCAAGCAUAAAUGGAUUCAAUUGAUUUUCAUGGGACUGCAAUUGAGGAACUGGAGGCUGUCCUAGCUGUAGAUUAGGAAUAGUCCUCCUGAAUCUGCUUGGGUUUAGAAAACUUACAAUCUGCUUCUCAUAGGAACCCAAUUUCUCCUUGAAACUGGGUGUUGUGAUGUUUUUAGAGACCUGUAAGAAUGUUAUCAAGCUCUCCAACAUGGCCUUGAAUACCUCCAGCUUUCCAAGCUGUUCUGACUUCGGUUGUUGCGGAUGAGAGUCAAGCUGGAAAGCAAAGUUAACAUACACGAGAAUUAAAAAUUGCAUUGAUCCUUUGUAGCAAAACAUUAGUGAAAAAAAAUGUUUCUAUUCAAAUUCUUCUGUUGUGGGGCGGUUGGGGGGAGGGGUAGGUGAUUAGUGCAGAUGAUACAGUGACAGGCAAUGCUGACGAGGAAAACAAAUUAAUACAAAAGCUCGACGUGGGGAAAUUGCAGAUAAUCAUGCAUGGGCAGAUAAUCUGCAAGAAAUUGCAGAGACAAUUUACCUGCUGUAACUUGGCAGCAAUUGUCUGGUACAUUUCAUUUAUUUCAUGGAAGUACAAAUAACCAGCAAAACACUAUCAGUCAUAUGCUUGAUUUCUUCAGGUGCCAGUCAGAAAGAAAGUAACACAAACAAACUUAAGGGAAUUGAUAAAAAUAAAAUAACAAAAAAAGGGCAGAGGACAACAUAUAUUAGUUGAGAUAAAAAUAGCAGAGUGGAAUUAAUGCUGGAAACUCAAGAGGAUGUCGAUAUUGAUGGAAUGGAAAGAUGCAAAGGGCUGUUUAAGUACACCUUUAGACAAGAUUCAGGGGUUGGUUAAGUUCAGUUACUUUGUCUCCCUGCAAACUACUCAUCAUUGUUUUCUGCUGUCAUAGCUCAAGUAAAUGGAUGUCACAACUUUAGCAACGCUUCUUAUCAAAUAUGCAGUUAUGACAUGAGACAUUCAGAAUUUCAACCUCAUUUUCUAUAAAAUUCAAAUAUGGUAAUGAUUCAAUGGAAUAAGUCCCACUUAUUUUCUUUUCCUUCCAUUGUCACAUGUUUCAGAACAAGUUGAUUGCAAUCGUGCAAAUAACUCUUCACUUAACCAAAAUAAACUUUAAGUCAUUCAGAUAUAGUGCACUCUUAUUUCUAAUUCUGUCUAAUGCAGUAAGAAGUACGGACAAUAGGACUCGUUGGAAAUAAAUAAAUAAUUCACCACACAACAAAUAUAGGGGGAAAAUCGAAAGGGAGAGGUUUGCAAUAAAAAACUGCCGUGCCAGAACCAAGAAAGCAAUCCUCUUGACCUACAAAUCUGAAUAUUUUUACCUUCAUUCAUCUUAUCAAUGAUUAAUCAUUUCUUAGUUGCUGCAAUCAUGGAACUUACAAUGCUUCCUAACUAAUCCCAACCAUAGCUGAAUAAAAUUCCUUGGACCAAUCCCAGGAGACCUUUCUCCAUUGAAAUCUUGCAAGACUAUGGCAUACAUAAACUCCAUCUAAUGAACAGUAAAUCACAGAAAUUACCUUCUGAUAGAUCUCCUCUUGCUAAUAAGCGCCUUUUGCAUGUCCAGUCUGUGCUGUAGAAUCUAGGGAUGCCGCAAAAAUUUCAAUGCGGGCAACAAAAGAUUAGAAUUCAUGUAUUUCUGUGUGUUUUCCAUAUACAAGGGUAUUUCUGUAAUUUUCACACUUUCUGAAAAUUAUGGAAUAUUGCAAGUCUCAGUUUUAUUUUCCAUUUAGUAUUUUAUUAUCCCAAAGUAUAGCGAGCUUCAUUAGAUUUUUCCUAUUCUAGAUAGGACUAUUAGUAUUUUCCUACAGAGGAAUACAAGUCCUUUUCGGACUAGGAGUACUAGGAAUUCCAUCUAAACGUUAUGUAAUCAUUCAAACUGACGGACAGACCCUAUAAAUCCAGAAUGAGAGGUGAACAGCUGGUGCAAUGCACUGGAGGGUAUGAUGUGGUAACAAAUGCGUGUGUGAUUGCAAUGGUUUCAAUAGCAGUGGCAUUACUAAUGCCAAAAGUUGCAGCAGUAGCACAUAAAGCUACCUAAAAGAGCAUUGCUGACUAGAACCAUUAUGAGAGGUGAAAGGUUGGUGCAGCGCACUGGAGGGCAUCGUGUGGUGAUAAAUGCAUGUGUGAUUCCCAUAGCAGUGGCAUUUCUAAUGCCAUAAGUGGCAGCAGUGGCACAUAAAGCUACCAAAAAAAGCAUUACCUGGCAUUUGUCUCUGAGAAUUGGCAAACAUAGUGGAGGGAUUCCCUUGUCUCAUUGAAUUCCCCACUGAGUUCUGUGAAAAACCGGGGAUACUCUGCAUGUUAGGAUCCUGGACAACAGUGUUGGGGAUAGUCUGGGUUGCACCGCCGACAGGAGGCAGUGCCGCUUGUAAACCAGCAGAACUUUAAACUCCAUUAGAUGCCAUGCAAUUCUGCAUGUUCUGUUAUAACAACUGCUGGCGUCCUUGAGACUGAUCAGUGGACAAUAGGAUAGGGAGAAACAGCCCGUGAUUCUGAACUUGAGGGGGCAUACUAUGGGAUGCUGUUCAAGAUAAAAGGCAAAAAAGAAAACCUGUCAAAGAAAAAAAGAAGGCACUGAACAAGGAAGACAAAUGAAACAUCGGGCAGUUCACACAUUUACUAUUUAAUUAUUCCCAAAGUAUAGCGAGCUUCAUUAGGUUUUUCCUAUUCUAGAUAGGACUAUUAGUAUUUUCCUAUAUAGGAAUACAAGUCCUUUUUGUAUUAGGAACUUCAUCUAAAUGUUAUGUGAUCAUAUAAAUGCAGAAUGAGAGGGUGAACAAAUGCGCUGGAGGGUAUGAUGCGGUAAGAAAUGCGUGUGUAAUUACUAAUGCCACAAGUGGCAGCAUUGGCACAUAAAGCUACCUAAAAGAGCAUUGCUGACUUGAACCAUUAUGAGAGGUGAACAGUUGGUGCACCGCAGUGUAGGGCAUCGUGUGGUUACAAAUGCAUGUCUGAUUACUGUUGUUACCUAUUUUUUAUUCCCUGUAAAAAAAAAUUAUAUAUCAAAAAAUUAUAUUUGAAAGGAAUAAAAAAAAAAUAGGAGGGAGAAAAAAAUGCUAAAACGCUGAAAAAUAGUCAAAAUUGGUUGAGAAGGUUCAAAAAUACAAGAGGUUGAAUUUGACAGUUUAUCGUUAACUUAUGAGAGUCUUGUUAAUAAAAAAAAUUCAAUUUUUUUUUUAAAAAUAAAUAUAUUCAAACUCAGAUGUUUAUGAACUCAAUUAAAUUUUAUACAAGAUUUAAUUGAAUUUAUAGAAGAUUUGAUCGCAAGAAAAUUGAUUUUUUAAGUAAAUUUAGGCUUUUAUCGGUAGGAAUUAAAGUUCGGGGGUCCAAUUAUAAUUUUAAAGAGUUGAUUUGGUCAAAUCAGGGGCUUAAUUGCAUAAUUAUUAAAGUUUAAUGGCCAAUUAUGGACUUAAUUGAAACAAUUCGAAACGAAGGAUCAAACCAGAAAAGGCACUAACAUUAAGGGAUCCAAUUACAAUUUUGUCGGAGGGGUUGGAUUAUAGAACAACGAAAACUUCAAGGGCCAAAUUCAAAGAAACCAAGCGGCGUCGUUUCCACCAUUAAUGGUCUUCAAACAGCUGCACAUCUGUGACAAUAAUGGAAGGAAACGUUAGCAGCGAUUAUGGAAUUAUUCUUCAAUCAAUGGGGCGGGUAUCGCGGCUGACAUCCCUCGUCACCGUGAUGGAUGCCGGCUUACCAAAAUGGCUGGCGUCCUCUGGCUAUAAAAGCCAGAGGAAGAGCUGCACCAGUGGAGGGAGAAAGGGGAGCAGAGAACAGAGGUGACAGUGAGAAAAAAAAAAGAGUAGAACAGAGAAGGAACAGCAACGAGAAAAAAAAAACGGCAGAGGGAGAGGGGAACAUAAGGAAGAGAAAACAGAGGGAGGAAGAGCAUAAGAAACUAAAAAAACAGGAGCAAAAGGAAGAGAGAAGGAGAGUCUGCACGGCGAAGCAGAGGACACAGCACCAUCGCCGUCUUCACCUCUCCAUAACCAGGUAUGUGCAUUUCCCUUCUCAGUCCCUGCAACAGAAAUGAUGUAUGUUAGUAUGUAAGAAAAACAAAAAGAAAACUUGAGGGAGCCAAUACAUGAAAUUGUCCGCUUCAACACUCUGUUUUGUUUCAUUCUCGCUGCAAUAAGGAUGAUGAACAGUGCGAACGUAAUUACCUUCACCCUGUUCAUGCACGCGUAAAAUAUCACGCGUGCAUGGGCGGCUGGGGCUGGUCACUGGCAUGGGCCAGUGACCAGGCUGGGCUGCCUAGGUCCAGCCCUGCCAGGCAGGUUGGCUGGGCCCAGCCCAGUCAUAUGGGCCGGGUUGAGCCCAGCACAAAAAAAAAAUUUAUUCGUAAAUUAUUUCAAAAGAAUCUGUGAUUUUCCGCAAAUUUUCUACUGCAUGUUGAACAAUAUUGGUUUGUAUUUUUAUACUGUAAAGAUACAAAUCGGUAUUAAAAUACCCGGUUUUCGUAAAGACAUUAAAAAAUAAUUUUUUUUUAUGCAUACGGGCAAGUAUCUCUAAAAAAAUAAUCAUAUUGUAUCUUCAUAACAAUAAAAAAAAAAGGUUUUAGCAUGCAUUUUGGGCUUUAAUAACCAGUUUAUUAAAGUCACAAGAACUAGGUUAAUAUUUCAAAAAAUUCAAAAAAAAAAAUAUUUUCUUUUAAUAUCUAGGGUUAUGAUCUUAUACGUAAGACAUACUUCAGAUAUUAAACUCUUUUGUUGAAGUUAGAACGGUUAAGUUUUUUUUCCGAUAAGAUAAGGAUCUUUUUACCAAGAAGAAAUUUUUCUUAAUUACAGACGGACCAACAACUACAAAGCACGAUAAGACUUUAGAUUUAUCAGACAAUAAAACAAUGCAGCUUACCUUAGGUAGGGUAUAUUUGAGGUGCUAAUACAUUCCAUUUACGCAAUCAGUCCCCGAACCCGAUCUUUGAGACUAGUUAGGGUUCCUAGUGAUCAAAAUACCAGGUGGCGACUCCCAUUCUAUUUUUCCACUAAUAAAAGACAAGAAUUCCUUGUCUUCACACAUUUGCCACAUUAGAUAAGAUUUUGAGGGUGGAUGUUUUCCACGCGAUGCCGCACACGUGCGACAAUUACAAUAGUUCCAAUAGCAGUGGCAUUUCUAAUGCCAUAAGGGGAAGCAGUGGCAAAUAAAGCUACCGAAAAGAGCAUUACCUGGCAUUUGUCUCUGAGAAUUGACAAACAUAGUGGAGGGAAUCCCUUGUCCCUAGGGGUGAGCAAAAAAACCGAGAAACCGAAAAAACCGAAAAAAAAUAACGGAAAAAACCGAACCGAAAAAAAAAACCGAUUAAAGCGAUUAAAAUUUUGAAAAAACCGACCGGUUCGGUUCGGUAUCGGUUUUAGGCUUAUAAAACCGAAAAAACCGAACCGAACCGAACCGAAAAAAUAACCGGAAAAAAACCGAGCCAAACCGGAAAAACCGAGCCAAACCGGAAAAACCGAGCCAAACCGAGCCAAAACCGGAAAAAAUGAGCCAAAACCGGAAAACCGAGCCAAACCGGAAAAAACCGAACCAAACCGGUUUUCCCCCUAAAAAAACCGAACCGAACCGAAACCGGCCGGUUCGAACUGGUUUCGGUUCGGUUUCGGUUUUUUUUUCCAAAAAAAAACAAUUUCGGUUUGGUUACUUUUUUUGAUAAAAACCGAACCGAACCGGUUUUGCUCACCCCUACUUGUCCCAUUGAAUUCCCCACUGAGUUCUGUGAAACACCAGGGAUACUCUGCAUGUUAGGAUUCUGCACAACAGUGUUGGGGAUAGUCUGGGUUACACCAGAGACAGGAGGCAGUGCCGCUUGUAAACCAGCAUAACUUUGAACUCCAUUAGAUGCCAUGCAAUUCUGCAAGUUCUGUGAUACCAACUGCUGACGUGCUUGAGACUGAUCAGUGGACAAUAGGAUAGGGAGAAACAACCUUUGAUUCUGAACUUCAGGGGGCAUACUAUAGGAUAUUGUUCAAGAUAAAAGGCAAAAGGGAAAAAUAAAUAGGUCAUAAUACAAAUCUCAGAGACCUAGGAUCAACAUCAAUUAUUCAUCAACUUUUUUUCUCUUAUUGUCUUUGUAGAGAAAGUGACAUACAACCUUGUUAAUCUCAAAGAUCAAAAUUCUCUUAACAUAGGUCAUAAUACAAAUCCAAAUUUUUCUUUGAUGAAUAACCAUUCUAAUCUUUUUGAAGACACUAGGGGCUUUAUCAUAGACACCAAACAUGUAGCUUGAUUUUUUUAUGGUGCUUGACUUUCGACAUUUGCUAUGUCUUUUCUCAAUUAAAAACCUCUUUUGCCCCUCUUAGAAUUGAUAGGCAUUCUCCUUCUAUUCCACUUUUUUUUUUUUUUUUUUGCUUUUACAUAGCCUUCCUCAAAGUUUUCUUAGAUGACUCUCAAUCUAUGACUUUUCUCCUUCUAGCCCUUUCUCAAUCAUUAGAUUUUUGUUCUAAGCCUUUCUUUUAUCCAUUACUUCUAUCCCUUUCUCAUUUGCUUUCAUUUGCUCAAAAUAUCUCUCAUCAGCUUAAAAGUUUUUGAAAGAGCUUCCUUGCUUGGAAUUUUAGUUUGUAGCAAUGGCCUUCUAUAGUUUGUAAAUAAAAUGACGAAAUUUGAGAGAAUUAAUUUUUCUAGAAAUUUAUAGGAUAUAAUUAAUAACUUGACUUUAAUUUAAAAGGAUUAAUGGACAUCAUAAAAUUUCAACUAAUAUAUAUAUAUAUAGGAACUGCAUGGCCACAAAAAAAAAAAAAAGAGUAAGUAUUUUUAAUAUUUUAGCUAACCAAUGCCGACUUGGAUCAUUGAUGAGUUGUUUAUAUUGGAUGUAAAUAUAUUUCAAACAAUUAUCCACAUCCAAAUUAAGUUAAGGGUAUGUUUAUAAAAAUUAAAUUUUUGACGACCCUCCUUAAUUUUCAAUUGAAAUCUUGAAGGAUGACACAAUAAGUAUGUAUCAUUUUGUGACAAUAUUAGAGCAAGGUAAAACUAUAGAGAAAGUGAAGAAAAUAUUAGAGCAAAAGACAUUUUUCCAACCCACUAAUCAAUUCCUUCAAAGAGGAAGAUUCUCUAUUUCUUGAAAGGCUAAUUUUGCACUAUUUUUUUCUUGCGGAAUGCAUUCACACUACAUUUAAAAUUUAGGAAAACUAAAUCUAUGAUUUUUUUUAAAUUCAUUUUAUUGUUAUUUCUUUAUCGUCCCAUAUAUACCUUAAGUAAACCUUACUUUUAAUUAUUUCGAAUGAAUAAAACAUUUAGUAAAAUCACUUUAAUUAUUCUUUCAAUCUUCCCGUGUGAUUCACUGCUUGGUGAUUCUAAAGUCGCCUAUUUAAACUUUAGCACAUUAUACAACUAAAUUUAUUCUUUCACUCGGUAUUUAUUAUAUAUUCAAUUCGUUAAUCGUUAGAAAUACAAAAGAGAAAAAGACAACUAUAAAUAUAUUUAUAACCAGAAAAGUUAUGAUUAAUAAAUUAUCUUUUCUAGUUUUGUUAUAAAGUUAGUGAUUAAUUCUGUUUUAUUUUUAAUUUUUGAACUAUAAAAAUAUAGAUAAAUUUAAAAUAAAUAUCUUUUUACAAUAGUUUUUAAGUAAAUUUUGUACUUUUAAAAUAAAAAAUAUAUAUAUAAACAUGUUUUUUAUGUUCCCUCUACUUUUGUAUUUUAUAUCAUGGUAAUUAAAUGUUGCCUGGUUAACAUAACACUAAAUCAUAAUAAAAAAAAUUAAUUGUGGAAUGGCAUGGUAGUUGGAUCUAUUUUUUUUUAUGUGUGUGAUUAAAUUAAUUAUUUCGAUAAAUGAAAAAUGUAUUCGGGGACAAAUAAAAAAAAUAAUUUUAUUGCUAGAGAGGCAUGGGAGCCUUUAAUAUUUUGCAAAGGCAUUGGAACACGAUGCCAAGGAAAUGUAAGAUAUUCUCAUCAUUUCGAAGAAAAUUCUAUAUCAUGGAAAUUAAUGCAGAUGGUAGUAUAUAGUCUCAGGGACUAUCUCACGCAAAUUCUUAUCCAUUUUACUUGUUGAUUGUGUUAUAAAAAAUAGACUUUUUCGAAAAAAAAAGAAGAAGACUUAUUAUCAUGACAAUAACAAGAAGUAUUUUAGAAAUAAUAUAAUUUGUGGUUCAUUUUAUCAAUGAUAUUGUUUGAUUUUGCCAUUACCGUCAAGAUUAAGAUUAAUGCAUGAUUUUCCACAUGUUAUUUCCAUAAAGAAAGUAGCAAGUCUUCUUUAUCCGUCAUCGUAAUGAAAGUAGUGUUAACCUUUGAUUCAUAUUCUUAAUACCUUUGGUUUCUUAAGAAAAAUGUCAUAUAUAAAACUUCCAUUCGCAUCUAAAUUGAAACAGUCACAAAUUGAUAUAAUAUUAUUAAUAUUUAUUUUUAAUAUAUAUAUAUAAUGAAAUAUUUUAAUAAUUAAUUAAUAUUGUUAAGCCAUAUAUAUUUUUAUGUUUUUUUUCUUUAAUUUCAUCUCUUAAUAUUGAAUUUUCUUAUCCCGAUCUCAUGAUCCGGGUCGAAGACCUGGUGGGUUAACUUGAGUUUUUUUUAUGUUAUUACUUCCUCCCCUGUCUUGUAUAUAUUGUCCUCUGUUUUUCUUUUAUGCUAGCUAUAGCCUCUAAUUUUGGCUCUAGCACCUUUCUAUAAUAAUACUCGACUAUUAUUUAAAAAGAAAAAGAAAAAAGCAGAAGCACAAAUAACUCGACAAUUUCUCUAAUGUGCAAAGGAGUGUUUGACGUGCUAAGGAUAUAGAGCCUUCCUUCUCUCCUUCUGAUCAAUCGUCUUGGAGGGCCUAUGUUCUUGCCUUGAUCAAGACUCCUAUCUUAUCUUAGUUAUUCAACAAAUAUGAAGAAAUUUUCUAAAAUCAUUUCUUGACAUAAUAUCUUAGUUUUCAUUGUCUCUGAGAAUUAAUAUAAAGCUCAGCAUUUUGUUGAUGGUACCUGCUGCUUGUGGGCAGAGGUACAUUUAUUUCUGUUAACUUUCUAAUAUUAGAUCUUGCAUAAUUUAUUAAAUUUAUUUUAAUAUAUUAAAUAAUGUAAGGCACAAAACAGAUCAUAAUAGAAGACAAUAAAAACAAGUGAUAUAUUUGUUGCACAUGGCAAGUUAUAAAAUGUUUGAUAUACACUUUAGACAUCACAAAGGUUGAUCAUUGUCUUGUACACACAAUUUUUUUUUUAUAGGACUAUCUCAAUCAUGUGCUCAUAAUCAUGAGAUUAGUGUAUUUAUAUAAUUUUGACCCGUUUCCUUUUUCAAUGUUUUUUUUUCUAGUUUCUUCAUUCGAUAUUGGAUAUGAUUUUUUUGUUACCUUUUAUCAAAGCAUAUAGUUGUUUGAUAAAAAAAAAAAAAAACUCUACACUUAUCUCUUGAUAUUUCUAAUUUUUAUUUUGAGUCAUCGUUUAUGGUUUUUUCGCUUAUUAACACAUAUAAUUUUCAAUUUAUUUGACUAUAUUUAUAAAGUUUUUGAUUUUCACUUAAAAGUUUUUUAAAUAAAAUGAGUGGGCACUCAAAAAUUCAUAUACCUUAUCUUCCAAGCAAGAAGAGUCAAGAAAAGCAAUGGGUGAUGUUCUUUUCUCCAACUGUAAAUGGAUGAAGAGAUCAAUACAAAAAACAUGGACAAAAAUUGAUGUGGACCCACACCACUUUGAUUAUUUUUCUAUUGAAGUACUUGAUAAUCUAGUGUAUGUCCAUAAAUUUGUUUACAUUGGUUUCUCUAAUAAAAGUAUAUAAAAAAAUAUUCAAUAAAAUUAUAUUUUUAUUAAUAGAUUUGAACUAAAAAAAACCGUAUAUUUUCAAGCAACCAAGAGGCAGCCAUCCUUCCAAGAAAAUCAUUGUUGCUAAUAGAAAUACUAUAAACAAGAUGGCUGGAAUAGAACCGAAAAAUUCCAGUUUUUUAAAUUCAUGGAACAAGAUAAGAUUAUGAAGAAGAUGUAAUAUUUUUUAAUUUAUUCAAUUUUUUUAAAUUAAAAUAAAAUAUACCUGCCAUUAUAGACAUCACAUAAUUAAAUUAAAAACCAUAACUUUUAGAGCCCCAAGCGUACGGCCCCAUCUCGUGGAAAAAAUGCAUGAUGGCAAUAGUCUCAUAGACCAAUGUGCAGAUGGCAAUGAACUCAUAAAUGCAUGAUGGUGAUUGUCUGUCGAACCCAUUUUGAGGAAAAAAAAUGCAAUUAUAGGAGGAUUGCCACCAUUUAUAGUCAUAUUUUCACCGUUAGAGACAUACAGUAAUUUAGAGAGUUUUAUCAAGGAACAAAGAUAUUUUCGGAGAAUAACAUUUAUAGCGACACUUUUAUGCAAUUCAAUUUUUUUCUUUUUUUAGAUGAACGUGACUUUCUUAAGCUAGUUGUAGUAUAUAGAUUUUUUUAAAAAUAAAAAAUAGAAAUAUAAUUCGCAUCCGAGUAAAUACCUCCACAAAUAUAAUUUCAUUGAAAGUUGCGUCAUGUAUUAAUCUAAAGUCCGUUGUCCAUUAAUAAAUCGGUUGUUGCAUUCUAACACUUGAUAUUUAUUUUUUAUGCUUAAGCAUUUUUUUUUUUUGCAAACUAAUUAAAUUUAAAUUAAAGCAUAUUAAUUAUCCAUUCCCAAGCUUACAGGGUAAUGGUCUCAUGGACCCAUCUCAUAGAAAAAAUGCUUGAUAGCAAUGGUCUCAUGGACCAUUCCGCUGGCAUACAUCGUGGAAAAAUAGAUUGAUAAAUACUUUAGAAAGAAAAAAAAAAAGACUUAUUGUCAUGACAAUGACAUGAAGUAUUUUGGAAAUAAUAUCACCUGUGGUUCAUUUUAUAAACAAUACUAUUUGAUUUUGCCAUCACCAUCAAAAUUAAUGCAUGAUUUUCCACACGUUAUUUUCAUAAAGAACCACAAUUUUAAUGAUGUAGUUUUCAUUUUUUCUAAAAAAAAUAAUAUUAAAAUGAUACAAUUUUAGAUUAACUCUAGUUAACAUAAGAUAACUUGUCCGAACUAUGACCCAAAUCUUGAUCCGAGUAUUAGGGCAAUUUUUGACCUUAACCCUCAUCUAGUUUAAUAACUUUGGUUUUAAUGAAAGAGACAUUCUUAAGAAAAUGUCAUAUAUGACACAUUUAUUCACAUCCAAAUUAAAACAUUCACAAAUUGAUAUAAUAAUUAUUAAUAUUUAUUUUUAAUAUAUAUAAAAUGAAAGAUUUUAAUAAUUGAUUAAUAUUGUUAAACCAUGUGUUUUUAUGGUUUUUUUUCUUUAAUUUAAUCUCUUAACAUUGAAUUUGCUUAUCCUAAAUUCAUGAUCCAGGUCAUAGACUUGAUGCGUUAACUCGAUUUAUAUAUAUAUAUAUAUAUAUAUAUAUAUAUAUAUAUAUAUAUAUAUAUAUUAUGUUAUUACUUUCUCCCCUCUUGUAUUAUUAUAAAAAAAGAAAAAGAAAAAAAGAAGCAGAAGCAGAAAUAACUCGACAAUUUCUCUAAUGUGCAAAGGAGUGUUUGACGUGCUAAGGAUAUAGAGCCUUCCUUCUCUCCUUCUGGUCAAUUAUCUUGGAGAGCCUAUGUUCUUGCCUUGAUCAAGACUCCUAUCUUAUCUUAGUUAUUCAACAAAUAUGACGAAAUUUUCCAAAAUCAUUUCUUGACGUAACAUCUCACCCACCCCUUAUGCCCUUGCACAGACUUGCCCGCGGGGCAUCUUUUAUAUGGAAUAUAUAUACAGUUUCCAAAAGGUCUGAGGAAUCGAACAAAGAGGGCAAUGAUUGGGCAUCAAUCUUGAAACUUUUGCCUUUCAGUUUUUCCUCUUACGCUCUUCAAUAAAUGGGAAAGAGGAAACACCACGGAAAGGUGUAAACUGACAAGAAAUUCAAUGCUCACACUUUGAAUUUUAAUUUGCAUGUUUCGGGUCAUUGACAGCUAUGCAUUAAAAUCUCAUUUAUCGGGGAUCAAAAACUUGAUGGACAGAUUAAUGUUAAAUAGGAAUUUUUAUGGAGCGCAGUCACAGACAUAUCUAGAGAAGAUACAGAGUUAAGGACAUGUUUAUAAAAAUUAAUUUUUUUACGACCCUCCUUUUCAAUUGAAAUCUUGAAGGAUAACACAAGAAGUAUAUUGUAUCACUUUCUGACAAUAUUAGUGUAAGGUAAAACUAUAGAGAAAGUGAAGAAAAUAUUAGAGCAAAAGACGACAUUUUUCCAACCCACUAAUUAAUUCCUUCAAAGAGGAAGAUUCUCUAUUUCUUGAAAGGAUAAUUUUGCACUAUUUUUUUUUCUUGCGGAACGCAUUCACACAACAUUUAAAAUUUAGGAAAACUAAAUCUAUGAUUUUUUUUUAUAAAUUGAUCUUAUUGUUAUUUUUUUUAUCGUCCCAUAUAUACCUUAAGUAAACCUUACUUUUAAUUAUUUCGAUGAAUAAAACAUUUAUUUUUAAUUUUAUUAUAAGUUUUUUCUUAAUUUUUUAUGAUAAUUGAGGAAUAUAUAUAUUAAUACCGAAAAAACACCCAAGUUUAAAUGACCUGCCAUCAAAAUUAAUCAAUCGGUGGUUGCAUUAUUCUAACACACUACAUUAAGAUUUAUUUUUUUUCAAUUUGAAUACUUAUAUUCAUUAAAUGUAAUCAAGAAAAUAUCUUUAUUAGUUUUUUUUUUAUUAUUAGUGUUGUUACCCAUUUUUUGACCCACCUUUUUAAUAAAUUUUUUGAAAAAAUCCAAAAAUAGUGAAAAACAAUAAAAAUCCAAAAAAAUAUGUUUUUAAUAUAUUUGCAAUGUUUUUAGCAUUUUCAACGUCUUCUAAAAAGAAUUUUAAUUUUCAAUUGUUUUUUUCGAACGCGUUCGACUUUUCACGCAUCAUUUUAAAAUCAUUAUUUUUCUCAUAGAAUUGAUGUUGAUUUUGCUCAUUUUUUAAAAAAUACAAGAAAAAACAAGAAAAAUCAAAAUUUAUAUAAAAAAAAAAGUUGAGGGGCCAAUUUGGAGGCUUGAACAAACUUUUACCUAUAAAUAUAGGUUGAAAGCUCAAAGGAAAAGGGGAGGGGGGGACAAUUUUGUAAUCAGGGGGAGGCAACACAAGGGGGAAAACCCUAAAAAACUAAACAGCUUCCUCUCCCUCAUGAAGGACCAGCCGGCAGCCCCUGCUGGGUUUUGAUUUUUUUUCAGCCGCCGGCUCCCCCAGAUAUCCCCUUUUGGAUUUUUUUUGCUUCCCCUCAGCAGCGGGCACAAGCAGCAGCCCCUCUCUUGCAAAAAACACAAACCAGGGCACAUCCGUUUUCUCCUUCAUUUUUUUUUCCUCGGUUCCACCGAUCAUCCUCCACUCAAAAGCCAAACAAGCCCUUCCCCUGGUUUUGAAUUUUUUUACAUUGGAACCCCCCUCUUCUUCUUCUUCAGCCCCGAUCCAAACGGAGCCGUCCCCCCCGCUGGUUUUGAUUUCUUUUCUCCAGUCGCCGGCCUCCCCAUUUUUUCUUCUCACAGGCCGACACCGGCCAAACAGUCCCUCUCCCUUCUCCUCCAAAACCGAACCGAUCCCCUCCUGGUCGAUCCAUCCUAGCAGCUGCUUCUCCCCGCAGACCCGUGAUCAUCAACGCCGCCACAGACCCGAUUUCCUCAGCACCAUGACCGGCUAGCCUCACAGACGACAGCAACAAGAUCCACGGGCAACAGCAGCAGGCGAUCUUCCAUCUUCAACCGGCGACAGACCCACGGUCUCCCUCUUCAGUCGCAGGUGCCAUUUCUUCUUCGCCCUCCGAUCAGACCACCGUUUCUCUUCCCCUGGCCGGACAUCCAUCCCAUCGCCACCGUAGCUUCAGCGGCCACGGACGACCUGCAACCGGCAGAGAAUCCCCACAGAGAAGAAGGCGAAACAGAGAGGGGCAGAUCCAAAACGGCGGAGAGAGGAAGGACAGAAAAAAACAGAUCUGAAAAACUAAGAAAAAAUUAAAAUCAACUGCUUUACUUGCGUUUUUUGUGCGUUUGCAGGUGACGGUGGGUGUCACCACCGGCAGAGAAGGGAAGAGAAGGAGAAAACAGGGCAGAUCCGCCCGUUUCCGGCAUGGUCGGCCACUGUUCCUGCGGGUGGCAGAAGGGCAAUGCUGCAAUUUCUGGAGUUUAGAGACUAUUUUGUAAUUUUGUAAAUUAUGUAAUGUAAUUUUUAUUUAGUUUGAAUUGUUUUUAUAAUUUGUAAUGUGAUGUAUAAAAAGAACAAAAAAAAAAGAGAAAAUAAUAAUAGAAAAAGAGUUGUGUGUGUGUUUGGUAUUUGUUUUUCCUAUGUAUGUUGUUGAAUCAAAAGAAAAAAAAUGAAUUUAAUAUUUUAAUUUAUAUGCACAAAUAUCUAAAGGACAGAUAAAAAUCAUGUUGAAUUUUCCAUGGAAAUGUAGAACAUGUAUCUACAUAUAGUCUGGAAAAGUAAUAACUGAUUUAUCAAAGCCUUAGAAUUGGGCUAAAAUUUUCUUGAAAGUGUGUAUUUUUGUUUAUGAAUGUUUUUUUUAUUUAUGAUAAAAUUGCAAGAAUAAAGAAGAAUUUAAUAUUCUGAUUUAAUCACGGAUAAACAAUCAUGAACUUACAUGUAAGUUGUAUUUUCUAAAAUUCGAUGAAAGAACAAAAUUUUUAAAACUUCUUUAACACAUCAAGUCCACAAAGCAGCUUACCUCAGGUAGGGUGCGUUAGGGGUGAUAAUACCUUCCCUAACCAUAACCAGUCCCUUACCCGCGAUCUCUGACAAGACCAGUACAUCAGGUUUCCUAGUAGCCCUCAAUGAAUUACUAGGUAGCGACUCCAAAGAACCAAAUCAACAAAACAGAACGAAUAAUCGCCAGCCGAUGCCGCGAUCCGGAUUUUUUUGGGGUGCGACAAUUAGAAUGAUGACGACAUAGUUAAUUCUUUUUAGAUUAGUCUGGAUUGAUUUUACUUUAUUUUUAAUUCAUAAACAAUAAAGUUAUGUAAAAUGCUUAUCAUUUUUUAUUUAUUUAAGUACUCUAAUUGAUUUUAUUUUUCUAUUUAAGUACUUGAUAAACUAGUGCUUGUAUAUAAAUUUGUUUAAAUUAAUUUCUCUAAUAAAAGUAUAUAAAACAAAUUCAAUAAAACUAUAUUUUUAUUAAUAGAUUUGAACUAAAAAACCGUAUAUUUUCAAGUAAUCAAGAGGCAGUCUUCCUUCCAAGAAAAUCAUUGUUACUAACGCCAUUAACAUUUGAAUUAAUAGCCCCAUCUUAAUAUAAAUGUUGAUCAAUCAUUACUAAAUUGCUUCUGGUAUAAGUAACUAUCUCUUGCAAAUGGCAGCUAGAAGUUUCAAUUAGAGUUAUAAUUAGUGUUUUAUUUUUUCAAAUGUACCAAUAUGUUUUGGUUUUUGUGUAUUUUUACUUGUUUGUUCUAUAUAUAUAUAUAAUUCAAAAUAUUAAUUUAACAAACAUAAUUUCAAGUUAAAUUUAAAGAUAAACUAACUUGAAAUUAUGCAAUUUAAAUUUUAAAUAUAAGUAAAAAAAUAAGAGCUAAAUUGGUAUGACUCAAUCGAUUCAAUAAGCUCAAAAAUAGUCUGGACAAUUAAUAAAAAUAUAGUUUUACUUAAAAAAGUUCAAAAUGACAUAUUUUUUUAAAAAAAUAUUGAGAUAAGAACAUGUUGGAUCGAUUUAAGUCAAUAUGGGUUAACCUUAAAAAUCAAUGACUCAAGUCAUGAGACUAUAAUAACCCCAAAAAAAAAAAAAAAAAAAAAUUAUAAAUCUUAAUAUUCAAUAAAUCUAUUCAGCCUGAUGGGCAGUAAUUGUUUUGCGUGGUCUAGGAUUGGGGGUUAGGCGAGUGGGUUCUCAACGCAUCUAUGUUUCUGCCUUUUAAAGAUUUGCAAAGUCUUGUAAAAAUAAUAUCAUUUGUGGUUCAUUUUAUUAACUAUACUGUUUGAUUUUUCUAUCACCAUCAAAAUUAAGGCAUGAUUUUCCACACGUUAUUUCCAUAAAGAAAGUAGCAAGUCUUCCAUAUUUGUCAUUGUCAUUCAAAGUGAGUUGCCUAGUGUUAACCUUUGAUUCAUAUUUUUCCAAAAAAAAAAAAAACCAGCGUGGUUCAAUUUUAUAUAUAAAAAAAGUGACAUGGGUUCAACGUUAUAAGAAGGAAUACAAGUUUUCGGUUAAUUACUUUUAUGCAAUUCAAUUUUUUUCUACAAUGUGGUUUUAAUCAGCAUUGUUAAAUUUAAUUCAAGCCUAACAUUUUAAUUUGGAACCUAACCCGAUUUAGGUUUAGAAAAAACCAAGUGAGAGUUGACUCAAUCAAGCCUAGUUGACCAAAUAAAUCAACCCAUAACUUAGUCACCUCAGUCAGAAACUUUUUUUAACCACGUAGUUUUGAUUUUUUCUAAAAACAAAUCUUAAAAUGAUAUAAUUUUAGAUUAACACCAUUCAACAUAAGCUAACUUGUAUUAGGCCAAUCUAUGACCUAAACUCUUCUCUAGGUAUUAAAUCUAAUCAUGUUAAAUAAUUUUGGUUUUAAUGAUCGAGACAUUCUUAAGAAAAAUGUCAUAUAAAAACAUUUAAUCGCAUCCAAAUUGAAACAUUCACAAAUUGAUAUAAUAGUUAUUAAUAUUUAUUUUUAAUAUAUAUAAAAUAAAGAUUUUAAUAAUUGAUUAAUAUUGUCAAAUCAUAUAUGUUUUGUGGUUUUUGUUUUUAAUUUUAUCUUUUAAUAUUGAGUUUGCUUAUCCCAAUCUCAUGAUUCGGGUUGUAGACUUGAUGUAUUAACUCGAGUUUUUUUUAAUAUAUAUAUUAUGUUAUUACUUCCUCCCCUGUCUUGUAUAUACUGUCCUCUGUUUUUCUUUUAUGCUAGCUAGCCUCUAAUUUUGGCUCUAGCACCUUUCUAUAAUAAUACUCACUAUUAUAAAAGAAAAGAAAAAAAAAGAAGCAGAAGCAGAAAUAGCUAGCUCGACAAUUUCUCUAAUGUGCAAAGGAGUGUUUGACAUGCUAAGGAUAUAGAGCCUUCCUUCUCUCCUUUAGUCAAUCGUCUUGGAGAGCCUAUGUUCUUGUCUUGAUCAAGACUCCUAUCUUAUCUUAGUUUUUCAACAAAUAUGAAGAAAUUUUCCAAAAUCAUUUCUUGACAUAGCAUCUCACCCACCCCUCAGCCCUUUGUCAAGUCCACCGUCUUGGAGAGCCUAUGUUCUUGCCUUGAUCAAGACUCCUAUCUUAUCUUAGUUUUUCAACAAAUAUGAAGAAAUUUUCCAAAAUCAUUUCUUGACAUAGCAUCUCACCCACCCCUCAGCCCUUUGUCAAGUCCACCGUCUUGGAGAGCCUAUGUUCUUGCCUUGAUCAAGACUCCUAUCUUAUCUUAGUUUUUCAACAAAUAUGAAGAAAUUUUCCAAAUUCAUCAUUUCUUGACAUAACAUCUCACCCACCCCUUAGCCCUUUGUCAAGUCCACCGUCUUGGAGAGCCUAUGUUCUUGCCUUGAUCAAGACUCCUAUCUUAGUUAUUCAACACAUAUGAAGAAAUUUUCCAAAAUUAUCUCUUGACGUAACCCCUCAGCCCUUUCUCAAGUCCUCCGCCACUCUCGGUAAAUUAUACUAUAACAUCUCAUAUACAGUUUCCAAAAGGUCUGAGGAAUAGAGCAAAGAAGGCAAUGAAUGGGCAUCAGUCUUGAAACCACAAUGAUCCGAUGGACGAGAGCCGCUAGUGGAGAAUGAUUCAUGCAUCUCUGGUUUUGUGUGUUUCUCAUGCUCUUUUUCACUGUACAACAGAACUUUUGCCUUCUCAGUUUUUCCUCUUAGACGCUCUUCAAUCAAUGGAAAGAGGAAACACCACAGAAAGGUGUAAACUGACAAGAAAUUCAAUGCUCACACUUUGAAUUUUAAUUUGCAUGUUUCAGGUCAUUGACAGAUAUACAUUAAAGUAGACUUAAUGUUUAUUGUAUUACAAAAAAAUAGACUCUUUAGAAAGAAAAAGAAGAAGACUUAUUGUCAUGACAAUGACAAGAAGUCUUGUAGAAAUAAUAUCAUUUGUGGUUCAUUUUAUCAAUGAUACUCUUUAAUUUUGCCAUCACCAUCAAAAUUAAGGCAUGAUUUUCCAUUCGUUAUUUCCAUAAAGAAAGUAGUAAGUCUUCUAUAUCCGUCUUUGUCAUUCAAAGUGAGCCGCCUAGUGUUAACCUUUGAUUCAUAUUUUUCCAAAAAAAAUAGAGAGACAUUGGUUCAACUUUAUAAGAAAGAAUACAAGUUUUUGGUUAAUUACUUUUAUGCAAUUCAAUUUUUUUCUACAAUGUGGUUUUAAUCAGCGUUGUUCAAUUUAAUUCAAGCCUAACAUUUUAAUCUAGAACCUAACCCAAUUCAAGUUUAGAAAAAACUAAGUGAGAGUUGACCCAAUCAAGUCUAAUCGACCAAAUAAAUCAACCCACAACCUAGUCACCUUCGUCAAAAACUAGUUUUACUUUUUUUAACUACACAAUUUUGAUUUUUUCCCAAAAAAAUCUUAAAAUGAUACAAUUUUAGAUUAACACCAUUCAACAUAAGCUAACUCGUCCGAUAUAUGAUCUCAAUCUUGAUCUGAGUAUUAGGCCAAUCUAUGACCUAAACCCUCAUCUAGGUAUUAAAUCUAAUCAUGUUAAAUAAUUUUGGUUUUAAUAAAAGAGACAUUCUUAAGAAAAAUGUCAUAUAUAAAACAUUUAUUCGCAUCCAAAUUGAAACAUUCACAAAUUGAUAUAAUAGUUAUUAAUAUUUAUUUUUAAUAUAUAUAAAAUGAAAGAUUUAAUAAUUGAUUACUAUUGUUAAACCAUAUAUGUUUUUAUGGUUUUUUUUUUUUAAUUUCAUCGCUUAACAUUGAGUUUGUGUAUCCUGAUCUCAUGAUCCGGAUUGUAGAUUUGAUGCGUUAAGUCGAGUUUUUUUUUAAUGUGCAAAGGAGUGUUUGACAUGCUAAGGAUAUAGAGCUUUCCUUCUCUCCUUCUGUCAAUCGUCUUGAAGAGCCUAUGUUCUUGCCUUGAUCAAGAAUCCUAUCUUAGUUAUUUAACACAUUUUCCAAAAUCAUUUCUUGACAUAACAUCUCACCCGCCCCUCAGCCCUUUGUCAAGUCCUCCGUCACUCUCGGUAAAUUAUUCUAUAACAUCUCAUAUACAGUUUCCUAAAGGUUUGAGGAAUCGACCAAAGAGGGAAAUGAUUGGGCAUCAAUCUUGAAACCACAAUGAUCCAGUUGAGAAUAAUGGAAUGUGUUGGGUUGUGCCUUAGCCAACCUUCCUAUUUAUAUAGAGGCAGCAGAACACUGCUGUAACUGUAAUGAUUACAACAUCCUAUAUUACUUUCCUAUUCUGAUAGAUACAUGAGCAACUGUAAUGAUUACAACAUUAUAUAUUACUUUUCUAUUCUAUAAUAUGCCCCCUCAAGCUGAGGGUGGGGGAUUAACCCGAAGCUUGAACCAAAAAGCAGUAAAUGAUGCAACAGGAAGCGGUUUAGUGAAGACAUCGGCAAGUUGAUCCCGAGAGGGAACAAAACGAAUCUGAAUUUCUUUCUUGGCAACACAGUCAUGGACAAAGUGAUAAUCCACUUCAACAUGCUUAGUACGAGCAUGGAAGAUAGGAUUUACUGAGAGAUAGGUAGCACCAAGAUUAUCACACCAAAUGGUAGGAGCAGAGACUGAGGGAACCUACAAAUCUAUCAACAAGUAUUGAAGCCAAAUGACUUCAGCGGUACCAUCAACAAGGGCUUUAUACUUAGCCUCAGUAGAGGAGCGAGCAACAGUGCGUUGCUUGCCGGAUUUCCAAGAAAUCAGCGUCUGACCAAAAUAAACAAGAUAGCCGCCCGUAGACUUGCGAUCAUCAAUACUACCAGCCCAAUCUGCAUCUGUAAAGCCAUGUAGAGCAAAAGAGGAGCCUCGAGUGAUAUGGAAACCAUAAGAUGCCAUACCUUUAAGAUAGCGUAAAAUAUAUUUGACAGCGGCCCAAUGAGAAUCUGUAGGAGCAUACAUAAACUGACAGACUCUGUUAACAGCAAAGCAUAUAUCUGGACGGGUGAAGGUAAGAUAUUGAAGAGCACCCACAAUUUGAUGAAAUCGUGUAGGAUCAGAGAAUGAAUGAUCCAGUAAUAAAAUGACUUUCAAAGGGGAGACUGGAGUAUCAACUGGUUUGCAGGAAGUCAUACCAGCUCGGGUGAGGAUGUCAAAAAUAUAUUUAUGUUGACGUAGCAUUAAACCCAUAUCGGUAGACUGAACUUCAAUACCUAGAAAGUAGUGAACAACACCUAAGUGAGUUGUAUCCAUCAUCUUCAUGGAAAAUGAGGGCUCUGUAUCCAUCAUCUUCAUGGAAAGUGAGCUGGCCAGCGUCAACCAUUUAUUCAUGUUUUUCUACAAAAGACUUUGACUUGGGGUUAACUUGUCGGUUAAUGUUUUUUUAUAAUGUUAGAAAAAUCACUUUAAUUAUUCUUUCAAUCUUCCCGUGUGAUUCACUUCUUGGUGAUUCUAAAGUCGCCUAUUCAAACUUUAGCACAUUAUACAACUAAAUUUAUUCUUUCACUCGGCAUUUAUUAUAAAUUCAAUUCGUUAAUCGUUAGAAAACUUAGUGAUUAAUAAAUUAUCUUUGUCAGAGUUAACUGUUUUUAGAUAAGUCUGGAUCAUUAUUUCUGUUUUAUUUUUAAUUUUUGAACUAUAAAAAUAUAGAUAAAUUUAAAAUAAAUAUCUUUUUACAAUAGUAUUUGAGUGAAAUUGGAGUAAAAUUUAUACUUUUAAAUAAAAAAUAUAUAAAAACUUGUUUUCUAUGUUCCCACUAUUUUUGUAUUUUAUAUCAUGGUAAUUAAAUGUUGUCUAGUUAACAUAACACUAAAUCAUAAUUUAAAAAAAAAAUUGUGAAAUGGCAUUGUAGUUGGAUAUUUUUUUUUUGUGAUUAAAUUAAUUUUUUCGAUAAAUGACACCUGUAUUCGGGAACAAAUAAAAAAAUAAUCUUAUUGCUAGAGAGGCAUUGGAGCCUUUAAUAUUUUGCAAAGGCAUGGAACACGAUGCUAAGGGAAUGUAAGGUAGUUGUUGAUAGCUGGCGUCAACCAGAAAAUUCUAAAAUAUUCUCAUCAUUUCAAAGAAAAUGCUCUCCUGUACCCAUCUCGUAGAAAACAAUGCAUCAGAGUAAAUAGAUUUUUUCCUUUUUUUUUAGAUGAACGUGACUUUCUUAAGCUACUUGUAGUAUAUAGAAUUUUUUAAAAUAAAAAAAUAGAAAUAUAAUUCGCAUCCGAGUAAAUACCUUCACAAAUUAAUAUAAUAUGUUUUAAUAUUUACUUUUAAUAUAUAUAAAAUGAAAGAUAUUAAGAGUUGAUUAAUAUUGUUAAGCCAUAUAUGUUUAUAAAAGUCAUUUCUUUUAAAACACAUGAUAUGUUUACAUAUUUGCAAUAUGUAUGUAUUUUGAAUUUAAUAUUAAUAAUUAUAAAAUUUAUAUAGUUAAUAAAAACAGCUCCACUUUUGUUCUAUUGUCUUUCUUUCACUAUUGUUCUUUUUUCUUCUUCUUUUGAAAUGCCUUGUCUCUCUUUCUUUUCUGUUUUUCAUCUUUCAAUCCUUCAAGAUUCAAAAUACAUUGCAAUUUACGUUAGGAAUAUUGAUGAAAAAUUAAAUAUAACCAGAAAACAAAUACAAAAAAAAAUGAUUUUCUAGUAAAGCAUUUACAUUUCCAUUGGAAGAUGCGUCAUAUAUUAAUUUAAGGUUCGUUGUCCAUUAAUUAAUUGGUGGUUGCAUUCUAACACUUGAGAUUUAUUUUUUAUGCUUAAGCAUUUAAUUAUUAUUUUUUUGUAAACUAAAUUGAAAUUAAAGCAUAUUAAUUAUCCAUUCCCAAGCUUAAGGGGCAAUGGUCUCAUGGACUCAUCUCAUAGAAAAAACGCUUGAUCAUGGACUAUAUUGUGGAAAAAAUGUAGAUGGCAAUAUAUAGUCUCGAUGACCCAUCUCACACUGCAAAUUCAUAUCCUUCUUACUUGUUGAUUGUGUUACAAAAAUUAGACUCCUUAGAAAGAAAAAAGAAAAAGACUUGUUGCCAUGACAAUGACAAGAAGUCUUGUAAAAAUAAUAUCAUUUGUAGUUUAUUUUAUUAACGAUACUUUUUUAUUUUGUCAUUACCAUCAAAAUUAAAGCAUGAUUUUCCACACGUUAUUUCCAUAAAGAAAAUAGCAAGUCUUCUAUAUUCGUCUUUGUCAUUCAAAGUGAGCUACCUAGUGUUAACCUUUGAUUCAUAUUUUUUCAAAAAAAAAAAAAAAACAAAACAAAACAGACAUGGGUUCAACUUUACAAGAUGGAAUGCAAGUUUUCAGGUAAUUACUUUUAUGCAAUUCAAUUUUUUCUACAAUGUGGUUUUAAUCAACAUUGUUAAAUUUAAUUCAAGCCUAACAUUUUAAUCUAGAACCUAACCCGAUUUAGGUUUAGAAAAAACCAAAUGAAAGUUGACUCAAUGAAGCCUAGUUAACUAGAUAAAUUAACCCACAACUUAGUCAACUCAGUCAGAAACUAGUUUAACUUUUUUUAACUACGCAAUUUUGAUUUUUUCUAAAACAAAAUCUUAAAAUGAUACAAUUUUAGAUUAACACCAUUCAACAUAAGCUAACUUGUCCGAUUUAUAACCCAAAUCUUGAUCCGAGUAUUAGGCCAAUCUAUGACCUAAACCCUCAUCUAGGUAUUAAAUCUAAUCAUGUUAAAUAAUUUUGGUUUUAAUAACGAGACAUUCUUAAGAAAAAUGUCAUAUAUAAAACAUUUAGUCGCAUCCAAAUUGAAACAUUCACAAAUUGAUAUAAUAGUUAUUAAUAUAUAUAAAAUAAAAGAUUUUAAUAAUUGAUUAAUAUUGUCAAAUCAUAUAUGUAUUUUGUGGUAUUUGUUUUUUAAUUUCAUCUCUUAACAUUAAGUUUGCUUAUCCCAAUCUCAUGAUCCGGGUCGAAGACUUGAUGGGUUAAUAUAUAUAUAUAUAUAUAUAUAUAUAUAUAUAUUAUGUUAUUACUUCCUCCCGCUGUCUUGUAUAUAUUGUCCUUUGUUUUUCUUUUAUGCUAGCUAGCCUCUAAUUUUGGCUCUAGCACCUUUCUAUAAUAAUACUUGACUAUUAUAAAAAAAGAAAAAAGAAAAAAAAAAGCAGAAGCAGAAAUAACUCAACAAUUUCUCUAAUGUGCAAAGGAGUGUUUGACGUACUAAGGAUAUAAAGCCUUCCUUCUCUCCUUCUGGUCAAUCGUCUUGGAGAGCCUAUAUUCUUAGUUAUUUCUUAUCUUAGUUAUUCAACAAAUAUGAAGAAAUUUUCCAAAAUCAUUUCUUGACACAACAUCUCACCCACCCCUCAGCCCUUUGUCAAGUCCUCCGUCCCCUUUUGCCCGAUGGUUGGGCAUCAGUCCUGAAACCACAAUGAUCCGAUGGACGAGAGUGGAGAAGGAUUCAUGCGUCUCUGCUUUUGUGGAUUUCUCAUGCUCUUUUUCACUGUACAACAGAACUUUUGCCUUGUCAGUUUUUUCUCUUAGACGCUCUUCAAUCAAUGGAAAGAGGAAACACCACAGAAAGGUGUAAACUGACAAGAAAUUCAAUGCUCACACUUUGAAUUUUAAUUUGCAUGUUUCAGGUCAUUGACAGCUAUAUAUAUAUAUAUUUGAAGUUUUUGAAUAUAAUACUGUAGCCACACAAUUCAUACGGAUAAGAUUUAUAAUUAUUCCAAGUUUAUUAUUAUUGAUUAUUUAUGCAUUUAAUUAUAUAUAUGAUAGUGAUGACACCAUGCAAAUACUUCUAAAUGAUUCUAAAUUAUGACCAGAGAACUAUAAUUAUUAAAGUCAAAAAGAUUUUACGCCAAAUCACAUGGAGUAUUGCAACAAUGUUAUUUUUUUAUAUAUAUAAAUUGGAUAAUUAGUAACCCUAAAUAACAUUCAAAUCCUAGAAUAUUCCAAAAAAUAAAAUAAAAUAAUAUUCAAAUCUCAAAACAUGUAACCCUAAAUUAUGACAAGGGAAGUACAAUUAUAAAGUCAAAAAAAUCUUACACGAAUAUAGAUAACAAUGUUGAAGUACUACAACAUUUUUUUUUUUUUUAUUUAUAUAAAUUGGAUAAUUAAUAACCAAAAUAUAAUUUAAUGCAAAUAGACUAAGUGCAAAACAAUAAAUUAAAAUAAUAUUCAAAUCCUAGAAUAUUCCAAAAAGAAAUAAAAUAAUAUUCAAAUCUCAAACAUGAAACCCUAAAUUAUGAUGAGAGAAGUACAAUUAUAAAGUAAAAAAAAAUUUAUGCAGAAUCACACACGAAUGUCGAUAACAAUGUUGAAGAACUACAACAAUUUUUUUAUUUUAUUUAUAUAAAUUGGAUAAUUAAUAUCCAAAAUAUAAUUUAAUGUAAAUAUACUAAGUGCUAAACAAUAAAUUAAAAUAAUAUUCAAAUCUCAAAACAUGUAACCCUAAAUUAUUAUGAGAGAGGUAUAAUUAUAAAGUUUGUUCUAACCCAAUUUUUUAUUCACUAAGAUUUUAUUGAAUGUUAUUUUAUUUCUAUUAUUAUUCAUAAAAAUCCAAAAAAAUUAAGAAAAAAGUUUAAUAUUCAAAUUAUAUUUUUCUCGAGUCAACCGCAUCUUUCCAUAGAAAACCGAGCCCGCCGGGUCAAUACAGGUCAAACCAUGUCGACCAGGGUAAAAAAUGAGUUUUCAUGACGUUUCGGGUCAAAACUGUCAUUUUCGAUCAAAACCAUCAUUUUUUAUCAAAACCGAGCCCACCGGGUCAAUACGGGUCAAACCAUGUCGACCAGAGUAAAAAAUGAGUUUUCAUGACGUUUCGGGUCAAAACCGUCAUUUUCGGUCAAAACCGUCAUUUUUUAUCAGAACCGAGUCCACCGGGUCAAUACGGGACAAAUCGAGCCUGUUUGGCUUUGCAGCUGCGGCUGCGUUUUAUUUAAAACGCAGUGCGCAACUGUUUGGUAACAUAUAAAAUCAAUUUAAAACGCAAUGUGCAGCUAUUUGGUAACUUAAAAAUAGUGAACAGUGCAAUUCUCUUGCACUAUUCGCUUGCUUGCGAGAACUCUUUUUUUUUUUAGUGUGUUAUUUAAAAAAAAACUAGUUUAAAGUAAAUUUUAUACCUGAUAAUAUUUUAUUCAAUUUUAUUAAAUGCUAAAAAUAUUAUGAAAACUGUAGUUUUUGUCGGAUGUAUUUCGUACGUAAUGGAAUUAUAAAUGGUUUAAUGGAAUAAUUAAAAAUAUUUUAUAUAAUUUAUGAUUUAUUUCAUGAUAUAAUAGAAAUAAUUAAAUUCACAAUAUUUAAAUUAAAAAUCUUUAGUAUUAAUAUAUAUUUUUAAAAUUAUUUUAUAACCUCAAUUUUAAAAUUAAACACUCUUAACCAAACACAUUAAACUACUUUUUCUUUAACUUCAAUUUCAACCACAAUUUUAACCAAACACCUAUUUUUUCAAACCAACCUCAACUAAAAGUACUUUCUAUAAAACAACUUUUUUAAAACCACAACAGCUACCGCAAUACCAAACACACAUCAUGUCGACCGAGGUAAAAAAUGAGUUUUCAAGUUGUUUUGGGUCAAAACCAUUAUUUUUCGGUCAAAACCCGGUUCACCGGGUUGAUACCCAUCAAAUGUUUUUUUUUUUGUGUUCCAAUAUAAUUUUGUUUUGGUAAUUAAUUUUCUUUUUUUUAUUUUGCAGUUGAAAUAGGCUUUUUCUAAUACUAAUUUAAGUUUUUUUAGUUUUGCCCAUAUAAAUAUUUAUUAUUAUAUAUAAUAAAACAAAAUUAAUAAUAUAGGAAUUUAUUAUAGUAGGUGGGUUAGUUGCAGCGGUGCAUUUUUUUUCUUGUGAAUAAAUACGUUGUCCCCUGCUGAUUGGCUAUAAAUAGCCACGACAACAGAGGGGAAGAGGAGGAAGAAAGAAGAAAAGAAAAGAGUGUACUAUUCAAUAUUUUUUCUAGUUUUUCUUCAUGAGAGUAAGAUAUUGUUUUUUUUUAAAUUUUUUUUUGAAAAAUACCAAAAAUAUCCUAACCGUUAGAACUAAUAGUGUUAGUUCUGGACCUUUGAUGUAAUAGGAUACAAUAGGGUUUACCACACUAGAUUAAAACGUAAAUCCAUCUCAGCCUUUGAAAUAAUCUUCUAUUUUAUCUUGUCAUGCCACAUCACCCGAUGUACCUAGCUUUCGGUGCACUGCUCCACACCAGAUAAAAGCUCAGCUCAUCCGAAACGCGUGUGAGCCACACGCGCCACCAGUGCCAUUUUCAUAAGUUUUCGAAAAAUCCGAGGGUAUUUCAGUCUUUUACCUAUACAGUCGCACUAGGGUAAAUUGUUUUGAGAUUCUUAACAUUUUUUUUAUAUUUUUUAUAUAAGUAUUUGUAAAUUUUCUUGCAUGUAAAAAAUAAAAAAAACAAAAAUAAAUAUAAAAGGAAAAAUGACGCAGGUCCAACAUCCAUCUUAUCAUGUUAUUGUUUGUGGGUUCAAAGCCCAAUUCUCAAGAAGGGUUGUACCUAUUUCUCAAUGAUAUCAAAAUAUUUUUUGUUUUAUAAACGAAUAUUGUUUGUCGACACGUCUUUUUUUACAGAAAAAGACCGAUGUCAAAAAUUUUAAAUACCAAAUAUGGAUUAUAUAUGUCCAUAAUUGUUUUUUUUUUUUGGUAACUCAGACGUAAAUCUUUUUUUUAAGGUUAAACAUCAAUAUUUUAGAUGAGUCUUCUAUUUUUAGGGAUUGAUGCCAUUUUUAACAUGUCUCCUAUUUUUAGGGACCGACAUUAACCAUUUAAAAAAUAAUAAAAUUGCAAAUAAGCUCAAAAUAUAAUAUCAUUUGAAACAAAAAAAAACACACACACACAAGUAAAGGUAACUUUUCUCUUGAAGGGAUGAUUUAAGGGUGGUGUCUACCUUCCCUUAAUCAUAAUUAACCUAAUACCUGAAUCUCUAGGACCAGUGUCUAAUUUGGAAUUUCUAGUUCCUUCAUAUUACUAGAUGACGACUCCAAUAAAAUCUUUAUUUUCCCUAAUUGAAAAACAAAAUCUUUUUGUUAAAUAAACAAAAUAAUAGGAGUUGUCACCCAACGUCGUGUAUCGACAAAGUCAUGAAAACAAUCUUACGAAUGUCUACAAUAUUUUUAUUUAUUUAUUUUUAUAUAAAUUGGUUAAUUAGUAACCAAAAUAUAAUUAAAUACAAAUAGACUAAAGGCGGAACUGAACAAUAAAAUAAAGGCCGAACUGCACAAGAUAAUAUUCAAAUCUAUAUUAUCGACAAACACACCAUAAAGGAUGAAGUGUCAGACUUUGUCACUUUUAGGUUAAUUCCGUUGGAUCAUGUUGAAUUGUCAACAAUGGUGCGAGGUUCUCUAGGAUACUUAGACCUGAGUACUUGCACACAAGCCAACUGACGGGCAAAAGUUAUGUUUACAGUUUUGGAGUGGUUCUUGUGGAACAACUAACUGGGAUGAAGGCAAUUUCCUUCGAUAAGCCUGAGGGCCUUUAAGUGCUAAACAAUAAAAUAAAAUAAUAUUCAAAUCCAAGAAUAUUCCAAAAAGAAAUAAAAUAAUAUUUAUGCACAAGAUAUGCAGAUAAAGUCAAGGAAAUUAAAUGGCCAAAGUGUAGUAUAAAUAGGACCUCUAUGGUUGCCCAAAGGCACAUAACAAACAACAAUAUUCUACGUAGUAGUUCAUAGAAUAUUAUCUAAGAUGAUGAUGAAAAGAAUUGGGGCUUGGAUGCUGCUAGCAUUAUUGACUCUGGUUGGCGAAUGGGCUGGUCGUUGUUAUGGAUGUUUGGAGGAGGAGAGGGUUGGUCUCUUGGAGAUCCAAUCUUUGAUCGACCCAUAUGGCAUUUACUUGAGAGGUUGGGUGGACAGUAAUAAUUGUUGUGAGUGGUAUGGGAUCGAGUGUGAUAACACUACAAGGCGAGUGAUCCAGCUCUCUCUUAGUUGGUCAAGGGAUGAGAGCUUGGGCGAUUGGGUUCUCAACGCAUCUUUAUUUCGGCCUUUCAAAGAAUUGCAAAGUCUUGAAUUGAGAUAUACUGGAUUGGUUGGUUGCAUGGAGAAUGAAGGUUAGUUCAAUGUUUCUGCACUUAAUUAUAAUCAUAAAAUAAAUGAAGGUUGGUUGGUGUUUAAUGUCAAUUAUCUUGCUUUGAUGAUUCUCUUCCAGGCUUCCAAGUCCUAUCAUCAAAACUAAGGGAACUUGAUCUAGGUAUCAACCAAUUUAAUAAUGAUAAAAGCAUUUUGUCAUGUUUCAAUGGUAACCUUUCCACUCUCAAGUCUUUGGUUCUAUUACGGAAUGGGUUGACAGGAUCAGGUAGCUUCUAUGGUAACCUUUUAAUUAUUUAGCUUCGAAACCUUUUCUUUUCUCCUUCUCAUAUCAUUUUUUCCUAUGCGUUUAAUUAGUUCCUUCUAAUAUGCUCUUGAGGAACAUCAUGCAGGUCUCAAGGUCUUGUCAUCAAGGUUGAAAAAGCUGGAGAACCUUGAUCUAAGGUUUAAUCAAUACAACGAUAGCAUUUUUCCAUCUCUAACUGGAUUUUCAUCCCUCAAGUCUUUGGAUCUGUCGUACAAUCAGCUGACAGGAUCUGCUAGUAUCAUUAGUAAGUUACAUAUAAUUUCUACCUAACUGCUUUACGUGACGUUCUUUUAUAUUUAUUUAAUAAUCAACGAUAGCAUGUCAUCAUGUUUGAUUGCCGUAGCUUUCAUCUUAUCCAUAAAUUGUUUUUCUAUUAAGACAGGAAGAGAUUAAAGUCAUGAGCUAGCUAGAUCAAAACUAGGAUGAUUAAAAAUUGCAGAUACUUGCAAUCGAUCUAUCUUCUUCCUUAAUCUAUGCACUGUAUAUUUUUUAUGUAUAUCUUGUAGGUUUUCAACUCCAACCGAUGAGGCUGGGAAAGUUAGAGAACCUUGACCUGAGUUGGAAUCAAUUGAACAACAGCAUCUUAUCAAUUCUGAGUGGGCUUUCCACUCUCAAGUCUUUAGAUCUAUCAGGGAAUGGGUUGACAGCUGGAUCAGGUAGCUUCUAUGGUAACCUUUCAAUUAUUUAGCUUCGAAACCUUUUCUUUUCUCCUUCUCAUAUCAUUUCUAUGCUUUUGAGAAACAUCAUGCAGGUUUCAAAGACUUGUCAUCAAGGUUGAAAAAGCUGGAGAACCUUGACAUGGGUUGGAAUCAAUGCAACGAUAGCAUUUUUUCAACUCUAACUGGAUUUUCAUCUCUCAAGUCUUUAAUUCUUUCAGGCAAUCAGUUGACAGGAUCUGCUAGUAUCAUUAGUAAGUUAUAUAUAAUUUCUACCUAACUGCUUUACAUGACAUUCUUUUAUACGGUUUCGUAAUCAAGAAAAUUGAGGACUUUAUAUUUAUUUAAUAAUUAAUCAACGAUAGCAUUUCAUCAUGUUUGAUUGCGCUAGCUUUCAUCUAUGAAGAUUUAUAUCUAUGGAGCUUUGAUCUUAUCCAUAAAUUGUUUUUCUAACAAGACAGGAAGAGAUUAAAGUGAGCUAGCUGGAUCAAAACUAGGAUGAUAAAAAAUUACAUGUAUAGAUCAAUGGAUACUUGCAAUCUGUCUUCUUCCUUAAUCUAUGCACAGUAGCAUCUUAUCAAUUCUGAGUGGGCUUUCAUCCCUUAGGUCUUUGGAUCUAUCGUAAAAUAUGUUGACAGGAGCAGGUAUAAUACAUAGUUUCUACCUAAAUGCUUCACAUGACAUUCUCUUAAUUAUAUUGUUUCUUUAUCAAGAAAAAUGAGGACUUUAUAUCCAUGUAAAGAUGAAUUUUUUCACAACUCAAUUUCUAGGUCCAUAAUCGGCAACGUAGGAGUGGUGUUAAAAGAACACCCUAUGUAUAUACGAAGAACAAGUUAUUUAAAAAUACACAACAUUUCAUAAUUUUAAAAAAUAUUAUAUUAUUCAAAAUUAAUAAAUCCAAAUGAUUGUUCAAAACUUCUCUUUGAUAAUUAAAACAAGAACAAUAAUGAAUAACACUCAUUAUAUUAUCAUGAAAAAUGAGGACUUUAUAUCUAUGUGAUGAUCAAUUUAAUGAUAGCAUUGUAUCAUGUUUGACCAUCUUUAACAACUUUAUAUCCUUAAAUUGUUUUUUUUUUCCAAUAAGAUCAAAAUUAGAAUGAUUAAAAAUAUUUCUUAAUCUUUGAAGUGUACACAACCUAUUAUACAAUUAAAUAUGCGUUCGUGAGCUCAUUAUAAUUAAAUAUAGCAUUUUAUCAUUCUUUUUAUGUGUAAUUCGAGAAUCAUAUAUCAAUUGAACAACAUCUCAUCAAUUCUAAUUAUUUUUAGUUUUUAUCUAUUAUGCAUAUCGUGAUUAUGACUUACUCUUAGAAAGAACUCUCUUGCAGGUUUUGAGAUCAUAUCAUCACAUUUGUGGAAACUCGAGUCAUUAGAUUUGUCACAUAAUCAGCUGACAGGAUCUAUCACUAGUAAGUUACAUUCUCUUUAUCAAGAAAAUUGAGGAAUUUAUAUCUAUAUGCUUUCAUGUAUCAUUUUAAUAUCUAAGAUACUUUCAUCACUGAUUUGACUAUUUCGAGAUAAAUUGUAUAGGUUGGUGUGAAUUGAAGAAUCUAAAGCAGUUAGAUCUCUCUGGAAAUAAUUUUGAAGGUUUACUCCCAUAUUGUUUGGGAAACUUGUCAUCUCUACAACUAUUAGAUGUUUCUGAAAACCAGUUUACAGGAAAUAUUGCCUCUGGUCCUCUUACCAACCUCAUAUCCCUUAAAUUCCUCUCACUAUCAAAUAACCUCUUUGAAGUUUCCACUUCAAUGAAGCCUUUUAUGAAUCACUCAAGCCUCAAGUUCUUCUCCAGUGAGAACAAUAGACUUGUAACAGAACCUGCUGCCUUUGAUAAUUUGAUUCCAAAGUUCCAACUACUUUUUUUUAGCUUGUCAAAAACAUCGGAAGCACUCAGUGUAGAAAUUCCCGACUUCCUCUAUUACCAAUACGACUUAAGAGUCCUUGAUCUCUCCCACAACAACAUCACCGGAAUGUUUCCAUCGUGGUUGCUUAAGAACAAUACACGAUUGGAGCAACUAUCUUUAAGCAAGAACUCCUUUGUUGGUGCUUUACAAUUGCAAGAUCAUCCAUAUCCGAGUAUGACUGAAUUAGAUAUAUCCAACAACAACAUGAACGGUCAAAUUCCAAAAGAUAUUUGUUUAAUCUUUCCAAAUCUGUGGAGCUUAAGGAUGGCUAAGAAUAGAUUCAUAGGUUGUAUUCCUUCUUGUUUGGGAAAUAUUAGCUCUUUGGAAGUUUUAGAUUUAUCCAACAAUCAGUUGUCCACAGUAAAACUAGAACAACUAGCAACAACAAUUUUUCUCAAGCUAUCAAACAACAAUUUGGGUGGGAAAAUACCGACCUCGGUGUUCAAUUCUUCUACCUUAAGAUAUCUCUAUCUAGGUAGUAACAACUUUUGGGGUCAGAUAUUAGAUUUUCCAUUAUAUUGGAGGAAAAGGUGGAUUGUAUUGGAUUUAAGUAACAAUCAUUUUUCAAGCAUGCUUCCAAGGUGGUUUGUCAAUUGUACAUACCUUAGAGCAGUUGAUUUGUCCAAAAAUCAUUUUAAGGGUUCGAUCCCAAGAGACUUUUGUAAGCUUGACCAGCUUGUAUAUUUGGACUUUUCUGAGAACAACUUGUCUGGAUAUAUACCAUCUUGUUUCAGUCCACCACCUCUAACCCAUGUGCAUCUAUCCAAAAAUAGAUUGAGCGGUCCAUUAACAUAUGGAUUUUAUAACAGCUCUUCUUUGAUUACGAUGGAUCUUCGAGAUAACAACUUCAUCGGUUCCAUUCCAAAUUGGAUUGGCAAUCUUUCAUCGUUGAGUGUUCUUCUUCUAAGGGCUAAUCACUUUGAUGGUGAGCUCCGUUCAGUUAUGCUUGUUAGAACAAUUAAGCAUUUUGGAUGUUUCACAAAACCAGCUCUCUGGUCCACUACCCUCCUGUUUGGCAAUCUUACUUUCAAGGAAAGUUCCCAGAAAGCAUUACGGAUCUCAAUAUUCUUUUUCCAUCAUGUCCAUAAAAGCUUAUGAUGAAACAAUGGGUCCACCACUAGUGGAUAGUGUACAGCUUGGAAAAGGAUUUUGGCUAACUUUACAGAAGAAGUGAUAGAAUUUACAACUAAAAAUAUGUAUUAUGGUUACAAGGGGAAAGUUCUCAGCUACAUGUCUGGUAUUGAUCUCUCCAAUAACAACUUCAUAGGAGCAAUCCCACCAGAAUUUGGAAACUUAAGUGAGAUACUAUCAUUAAACUUAUCACACAACAAUCUCACUGGAUCUAUCCCUGCAACAUUCUCAAACCUAAAGCAUAUUGAGAGUUUGGAUCUUUCUUACAACAACUUGAAUGGUGCCAUCCCUCCACAACUUACUGAAGUUACCACACUGGAAGUUUUUAGUGUGGCGCACAAUAACUUAUCAGGUAGGACACCCGAGAGAAAAUAUCAGUUUGGGACCUUCGAUGAAAAUUGUUACGAAGGAAAUCCUUUCUUGUGUGGACCUCCAUUGCAAAAAAAUUGUAGUGAGGAAGCAGUGUCGUCCCAGCCAGUGCCUAAUGAUGAACAAGGAGAUGAUGGUUUCAUAGACAUGGAGUUUUUCUACAUCAGUUUCGGUGUAUGUUACACAGUUGUGGUGAUGACGAUUGCAGCAGUUCUCUACAUCAAUCCAUAUUGGCGACGCAGGUGGUUGUACUUCAUCGAAGACUGCAUAGAUACUUGCUACUAUUUUGUGGUGGCUAGUUUUCGCAACUUCUCCAACUUCAGAAGGUGAAAUUGUUACUGGGGAGACGGUCGUUCCUAGUUUGUGAUGAUUGUUUGUCUAGCUAUUGGUAAUUUGUAAUGUACUGUCUCUAAGCUCAGCCUUUCUAUUUUAUUAGUUAUUUGGGCUAAAUAUAUAAGCUGGACUUCUCAUUCAUGAAUCAUUAGGAAGGAAACUGAUUUGGAUCGGUCAUUGACUCGGGUGUGAUUACUCUUUCAACUCUCAAGACUUGUCUGAAAAUAAAUUGCCAAAACCACUACUGAAGUAUAAACAAAAUAUUCUAUGCCUUUGUUUCAAGGGCGACCCCACCUCAGUUAUUCAAUCAAAGCAUUGAAAUCAGAGCAAGAAGAUCCACCUUCUUCAACAGCCUUCCUGGCCGUUUCUUUGCUCUGCUACUCAUUUCCUCUGUUUCUUCACCCAUCAUAAUUUGAGUGAUUGCCUUCUCUAAGCCAUUCCUUAACUCCAGUUUUUAAAACAUCAGUCACCAACUUUUCAUUAUAGAAUUGCUCAGCAAAUAUUGGUCUCCUAAGCACAAAAAAAUAAAUUGUCCUUCUCAAACAUGCAGCUGUGACUUGAGACAUUCAGAAUUUCAACCUCAUUUUCUAUAAAAUUCAACAAUACUGGAUAUGGUCAUGAUUAUACUGGAUAUGGUCAUGAUUCAAUGGAAUAAUCCCCACUUAUUUUCUUGAGACCUUUUUCCAUUGAAAUCUUGCAAGACUAUGGCAUAAUGAACUCCAUCUAAUGAACAGUAAAUCAAAGAAAUUACCAUCUGAUAGAUCUCCUCUUGCCAAUCAGCGCCUUUUGCAUGUCCAGUCUGUGCUGUAGAAUCUAGGGAUGCUACAAAAAUUUCAAUGCAGACAACAAAAUGUUAGAAUUCAUGUAUUUUUGUGUGUUUUCCAUCUACAAGGGUAUUUCUGUAAUUUUAACACUUGCUGAAAAUUAUGAAAUAUUGCAAGUCUCAGUUUUAUUUUCCAUUUAGUAUUUAAUUAUUCCCAAAGUAUAGCGAGCUUCAUUAGGUUUUUCCUAUUCUAGAUAGGUCUAUUAGUAUUUUCCUAUAUAGGAAUACAAGUCCUUUUUGUAUUAGGAACUUCAUCUAAAUGUUAUGUAAUCAUAUAAAUGCUGAAUCAGAGGGUGAACAGCUGGUGCAAUGCACUGGAGGGUAUGAUGUGGUAUCAAAUGCGUGUGUGAUUGAAAUGGUUUCAAUAGCAGUGGCAUUACUAAUGCCACAAGUGGCAGCAGUGGCACAUAAAGCUACCUAAAAGAGUAUUGCUGACUUGAACCAUUAUGAGAGGUGAACAGUUGGUGCACCGCACUGUAUGGCAUCGUGUGGUUACAAAUGCAUGUGUGAUUGCAAUAGUUCCAAUACCAGUGGCAUUUCUAAUGCCAUAAGGGGAAGCAGUGGCACAUAAAGCUACCAAAAAGAGCAUUACCUGGCAUUUGUCUCUGAGAAUUGACAAACAUUGUGGAUGUUAGGAUACUCUGCAUGUUAGGAUUCUGGACAACAGUGUUGGGGAUAGUCUGGGUUACACCAGAGACAGGAGGCAGUGCCGCUUGUAAACCAGCAUCACUUUGAACUCCAUUAGAUGCCAUGCAAUUCUGCAUGUUCUGUGAUACCAACUGCUGACGUGCUUGAGACUGAUCAGUGGACAAUAGGAUAGGGAGAAACAGCCCUUGAUUCUGAACUUCAGGGGACAUACUAUGGGAUACUGUUCAAGAUAAAAGGCAAAAGGGAAAACCAUGUCACAGAAAAAAAGAAGGCACUGAACAAGGAAGACAAAUGAAACAUUGGCAGUCCACACAUAAAGUUAUGAGCGAAAGAAUUGGGAUGGAUUUGAUUGAAAGCAUAAAAGUGUCCUCUGACAAUUUUCGGGGGAUGGGGGAAGAAGAGGCGGCUGAAAACAAAAAUAAUAUGACAAUUUUCAGGGUGGGGGAAAGAAAAGGAGGAGGCAGAAAACAAAAACAAUCUGUAAUAUUCUUGCAUAACAUUCAUCAAUUACUCAACUUUUUGAUUAAAGCAUGCCAUACACAUAGCAAUAUGUUGCAAUAAAAUGCAAAAGAGUUUGAUAACAAUGUGACAAACAAAACAAAAGGUAAGAUGUUUAGAAAUUCAAUGCUCGGCAGCAUUAUUAUAUAUGAAAAAAAAAAAAAUACUUUCUCUUGGAAGAAAAGCAAGAAAGUGACGUCUUACCUCCUAAACAGGAAAAUCUUUAAAAUCUACCAUCUCAAUCAUAAAAUAUAAAAUACCAUGCAUCACAGUCCUUGUUGCUUAACAAGUUAAGGAUGAAACACUUCACAUGCAUUAUAGAAUUAGCAUCGUGGAGGUGAUCAUGAGAUUUUUCCAACAAGGCGAUAUACAUAGAAAUAUGCAGGGGGCAGGGGGCAGGGGGCAGGGGGCAGUGGGCAUGGCGUUUUGAGACCUGAUCUCCAUUGAAAGCAUCUCCAGAGAUAUUUUACGCAGAUAAUCAUACUGAAAUCAGAUAUUAAUAACAAAACAUUAGAUCUCAGAGCAAUCCAUGUUACAAGAGGAGGAAAAUGGAUAUAUGCUCUAUCAUUUCAUCUUUUGUGAGGAUAUACUUCUGUUUCCUCUCUUUUUAUUUAAUUAAUUAUUUAUUUAUUGAUUUGCUAUUUUCUUUUUGCACACUUCCCUUGUACUUGAACUUGUUCACUCUAAAUAAAACACUUGUCAAGAGAAUUAACAAAAAGAUGCGAACUCCCAAUCAGCCUUGCAUACAGAGUGAACGGUGAGGAAGUGUAAGCACACUACACACACAUUUGUACAUGCAUAAAUGCAUGUGUAUAUUCAUGUCAAGAGAAUAUCAUAAUUAUCGAACCUCGCAUAGGCAAAUACCUGAUUGGUGGUGGUAGUAUAAAUCUUUUCCUCAAAACAUAUGGCAAAUUUCUUGAGUUCUUGUAAUCCCUCCUGACCAGAAAACAAAAGUUGCCUCUUUAUUGUCUCCAUUCUGCACAUGCAAAUCAUUACGUUUCAUUUUUAAUGACCAGGCAAGUAUAGAGAAGUUAGCAACAGCAAGCAAGAACCCUGAAUUCAUAAACCACACCAAUAUCAGAAAUGUGUGGAAUCAUAGCAAAAAGUAAAAAACAAAUAAUGAGAUAAGCAAGAGUUGGUCAAGUAUUAUAAGACAUCAAAAUACAUAGACAUCCUUUCCCUGUAUUAUUCCAGAGGUACAGAUUAUAGGAGUUUACUUGGCCACCCUUCUGUCAAAAAAUUCUAGCUACGAGCUUCAUAUAUUAGUGACUUAGUUGCAAAGCAGGGGAGUCUGUGAAAACAUUACAAUAGCAUUUACUCUGAGUAACUUCUAUUCUUUUCCGUGAGUCAGGCCGCAAUUGAAUUCUCCAAUCACCCGUGUCCAUGACAGGUUCUCCGCCUGGGACAGUGGGCCAACCAAAAAGAAAAAAUAAAUCAUAUUGCAUGUUAGAAAAGACCCUAAAAAGAAAGUCAGAAACGGCAAGAAGAGCAAAAGCACAUCAAGAACAUGAAAAAUGGAAUAUCAGUUUAUUCAGACUUGAAUAGAUUUAAAAAGAACUUCCGUCUAAUAUCAUGUACUUUAUUAAAGAAUUCAGCCAAAUAUAGAUGCAUAACAAAUAUACACAACCAUUCAGGUCAAGGUGCUAGGAUCCUGGGUAUUCGGCCAUUCAAAGCAAAGAAUCUUCAUGGUGCUUCUAAACCAAAGAAGCAUUCCCUUCUAAGCAAGUACUUACUGUCAAACCCCACUCCCCUUCCCUCCUGUUCUUGUUAUUUAUGCAUAUAUUUACUUCUCUGAAAAAACAAAUAUUGUAGGGAGCAAAUAGUGUAAAUAGAAAGAGGAAAAUACCACAUCCCCAAAAGAAUAAAGAAAUAAGAAGAAGGCAAAACAAAGUCAUAAAACGAGGCCUUUCAAUCCCCAAUGAAUAUCAGCAGACUAAAUACCACAGCACAAAUAGAAGAUGAAGAGGCCAGAAACACUAAUCCAUCCCGAAGAGAUUGUCUAGGAUGUUUUAGUCUAGGAAAAAGACAAAGAAAACAACGAGCAUUAACAAUGAAUAUUUCAUGUUAUCAUCAACUCUAAAGAGCAGACUGAUAAGAAUCAACUUAACAAAUUUACAGGCACAUCUUUCUUUGAACAGACAACACAAUAACCCUGACCAUACUAAAUGCUCCACCCACAGUAGAAUCGGCUGAUUGUAUUGAGGGAAAGAAUCCCGAAUGAUUAGAUGAUAUGCUGUAAUCAUGGGAUUGAAUGUUUAUCUCCUAUAAUAGCUCCUAGAAUAUCUCCUAGUAUAGUGGAUCUAAUUGUAUAUAUAUGCUGUGCAUAUGUUGUUCUUCAAUAUUACGAAAUAUACAGAGAAUCAAUUAUAUUUUCAUUCUCUCUUUAUGGUAUCAGAGCAUUGAUUCUAAGAACCCAAAAAUACCUCAUGUCAGGUGACGAAGAUCAAAGGUUCCUUGAACAAAACAGGAGCUCAAUGUCUUUCAGGACCUCAGAAGCAUGGGAGAAUUCCAACCAUCCACUCUUCCUCCAUCACGCAGACCAACCAGGGGCCGUCCUUGUCUCACAAAUGCUGAUGGAAGAUAAUUACACAACAUGGGUGCAGUCAAUAAGCAUGGCACUUACUAUCAAAAACAAAAAGGGGUUUGUAGAUGGAACCCUCAGGAGACCGAUCCACAACUCUAAUGAGCAACAACAAUGGGAAAGAUGUGAUAUCCUUGUAAGAACAUGGCUGCUUGGAUCCGUGUCGAAAGAUAUCUCAGGCAGUGUCAUCCAUUGCAAGGAUGCAAGAGGUAUAAUUCCUUUCCUCCUUGCAAUUGUGAGGCAGCCACCACGGUCAAAACCUUCCUGGAGACACAGAAGACCAUGAAAUUUCUAAUGGGGCUCAACGAAAGCUAUGCACAGACCCGAAGCAAUAUCAUAAGUCUGGAUCCCCUUCCAAAUCUAAACAAAGCUUAUGCCAUGGUUUUACACCAUGAGAAGCAGGCAGAAACCUUCACUGGCAAAUUGAAUACAGCACCAGAAGCAUCUGCAUUCACAAUAAAGAAAGUGACCCGUGAUUUUGCGUCAACAAAUGGAGAAAUCAAAUUUUGUGAGAAAUGCAACAUGAACAAUCACAGCACUAAGAAUUGCAGAGCUCACCUCAAAUGCACAUAUUGCAACGGAAAAGGCCAUACCUAUGAUUAUUGCAAAAGGAGAAGGAAUGCUACUGCAGGUGGACAAGGAAGAUCAAAGGCCAAUCAUGUAGCUCCUCAAAAUCACAGCAAGGAUGAUUUACCAGAAUUCCCCUUUUCACGAGAAGAAUGUCAUCAACUUCUCAGCCAACUUUUAGCAAACACAAAGUCUGCAUCAGCCAACCAAGUCGGUAACAUUCCAAAUUAUGAGGAACUGUCAGGUAAAUCACACCAAUUUUCCCAAAGUGCUACAGAAAUGACAUGGAUACUAGAUAGCGGUGCCAGUGAUCACAUUGUUUGUAGCCCAACUUUCCUUACAUCACUUAAACCAGUCCACAAUCAUUGGGUCAAACUUCCCAAUGGCAAUUCCACACCGGUCACCCAUAUUGGCACAGUAGCCUUCUCUCAACACUUUGUUCUUCAUAAUGUGCUUUGCGUCCCACUUUUCUACCUCAAUUUAAUUUCUGUGAGCAAACUGGCAUUUGAUUCAUUCUAUAUUACCAUUUUUCUCAGACAAGUUUGCUUUAUACAGGACCUACGAUUGGGGAAGAUGAUUGGGACGGGCAUUGAGAAGGAGGGUCUUUACUGCCUCAAUUUGUCACCAACAGCAACAUGCAAUGCAGUAUACAUCAACACAGACACUUGUGGCAUCAAAGACUUGGUCACCCCUCAACUAAAAUAUUCAUUAUUUCUGUUUCUUGCCAAUAAAGCAUGUAUUUCCAGCAAUUGCUAUAUAUGUCCUUUAGCCAAACUCACUAGACAGCCUUUUCCAUUGAGCACUACACGUAGUGCAUCCUGUUUUGAUUUAAUUCACAUUUGAGAUUUGGGUGGUUUCAUGUUCCAUCUCUUCUGUGCAAAUAUUUUUACCAUUGUUGAUGAUCAUUCACGAAGCACAUGGGUAUAUUUGAUGAAACACAAAUCUGAGGCACGAACUUUACUCAUUCAUUUUAUUCAAAUGGUUGCAAAUCAGUUUAGCAAGUGUAUUAAGGUCAUACGUAGUGAUAAUGGCUCAGAAUUUAAAAUUCCUGAAUUUUAUUCAUCCAAAGGCAUUAUUCACCAAACUAGUUGCGUCAACACACCACAACAAAACGGUGUGGCUGAGCGCAAACAUAAGACAUUUGCUAAACGUUGCUAGAGCCCUUCUUUUUCAAGCAACUCUUCCAAAACACUUUUGGGGGAUGCCAUACUCACUGCCGCUUACUUUGAUCAAUAGGACACCGACUCCCAUCCUUAAAGGAAAAACACCAUUUGAAUGCCUUUUUCUCACAAAACCAAGUUACUCUCAUUUAAAGGUUUUUGGAUGUCAAUGUUUCGUGUCCACACACCCCACUCGUCCCAGCAAAUUUGAACCUAGGGCUCAUGAAUGUGUUUUCAUUGGGUAUCCACAUGGUCAGAAAGGGUAUAAGCUUUACAAUUUAACAACUAAAAACAUUCUUGUUUCAAGAGAUGUGAUUUUCUUUGAGCAUGUAUUUCUAUUUAAACCAAGUCUUGUUCCUCUCUCCCAGUCUCAUUCACCCAAUCUCACUCCUACAAUUUCUCACACACCUUCCACCCAUAUCCCCAUCCCUAUCCUCCAUCCUUCAAAUUCCCAAUCUUCCGAUGUUCCUUCCUCUCAUCAUCCUAUCCCAUCACCAGAUUUAAUUUCUAGUACAUCGACAGACAACAAUCCCCCCAUCCCUUCUGCCUACACUAACACACCUGACCCACCUCUUCCUCUCAUCUCCUCACCCUUACCAACCCAACCAUUACCCCCAAACCCACGCCGAUCUUCUCGAGCCACAAAACUUCCAACUGCAUUGCAGGGCUUUCAUAUUGAUGCAACCCUCCCCUCACACCCUGAUCGAUCAGACUCCUCGAUCGAGGUCCUUUCUCCAGGUCAGGCUCAUAGUAUUUCCAAUGUCCUCUCUUAUGCCAAUCUUUCUUCCCCUUACAGAACAUUUACUGCUAAUAUGACAAUUCCUAGAGAGCCUCUCUCUUUUUCUCAGGCCAUCCAGGACCCUAAAUGGAGAGACGCCAUGCAGCAAGAAGUCCAAGCACUUCAUGCUAAUAAGACUUGGAGUUUGGUUCCCCCUCCGGCUCACAAACGCCCCAUUGGCUGUAAAUGGGUUUUCAAAAUCAAGUAUCAUCCUGACGGCACGAUUGACCGUUACAAAGCCAGGUUGGUAGCCAAGGGAUUCAGUCAAGUUGAAGGGAUUGAUUAUAGGGAAACUUUUGCGUCGGUUGCCAAGCUCACCACAGUUCGCGUCCUACUCAAUCUUGCGGCCAUGCAGAAUUGGCAUCUUCAUCAAUUGGACGUCAAUAAUGCGUUUCUUAAUGGAGAUCUUGAUGAAGAUGUUUACAUGCAGCUCCCUCCUGGAUUCAGACGAAAGGGGGAGCAUCGGGUUUGCAAACUACAUAAAUCAUUGUAUGGCCUGAAGCAAGCUUCACGACAAUGGUUUCUUAAACUUUCCUCAGCACUCAAAUCAGUUGGCUUCACACAAUCAUGGUCUGAUUAUUCCUUAUUCGUCUGAAACCAUCAAGGGAUCUUCACAGCCUUGUUGAUAUAUGUUGAUGAUGUUAUUCUAGCAGGGAACAAUUUAGACGACAUCACAGAGACCAAACGCUUCCUCUCCAGCCGUUUUAAGCUAAAGGAUAUGGGACAAUUGAAUUACUUCCUUGGGAUAGAGGUAGCAAGAUCUAAGCAUGGGAUUUCUUUGUGCCAAAGGAAAUAUGCGUUGGAAAUUUUGGAGGACACAGGUUUUCUUGGUGCUAAGCCUUCACGUUUCCCAGCUGAACAAAACAUAACACUUACACAAGAAGAUGGGGACUUACUAGAAGACGCCUCUCAAUAUCGGAGAUUGGUUGGCCGUCUCAUUUACCUGACUAUCACACGGCCAGACCUUGCAUACGCAGUUCAUAUACUUAGCCAGUUCAUGGACAAACCCAGGCAGCCUCACUUAGAAGCAGCACACAAGGUAUUGAGGUACAUCAAACAUGCACCUGGUCAGGGGAUUCUUUUACCAUCCAAAGGGCCAUUGGAAUUGAGGGCAUAUUGUGAUGCAGACUGGGCUCGCUGCAAAGAUACUAGAAGAUCAACAACUGGCUAUUGCAUUUUCCUUGGACAUGCUCCCAUCUCAUGGAAGACGAAGAAGCAAAGCACAGUGUCACGUUCAAGUGCUGAAAGUGAGUAUCGUUCCAUGGCCACUACGUGCUGUGAAAUAACAUGGUUGCUAUACAUUUUGAAGGAUUUGAAUGUUAAGCAUGAGCAGCCAGUUAAAUUGUUCUGCGAUAAUAAGGUAGCAAUACACAUAGCCUCAAAUCAUGUCUUUCAUGAACGAACCAAACAUAUAGAAAUAGAUUGCCAUGUGGUGCGAGACAAAGUGCAAAAAGGAUUGGUUAAAUCAGAACACAUAGGGACCAAGGAGCAACCAGCAGACAUAUUCACAAAGCCACUGAGUUCGAACCAGUUUGCCACAUUACUAGGCAAGUUGGGAGUGAUCAAUAUACACUCUAACUUGAGGGGGAGUAUUGAGGGAAAGAAACCCGAAUGAUUAGAUGAUAUGUUGUAAUCAUGGGAUUGAAUGUUUAUCUCCUAUAAUAGCUCCUAGAAUAUCUCCUAGUAUAGUGGAUCUAAUUGUAUAUAUAUGCUGUGCAUAUGCUGUUCUUCAAUAUUACGAAAUAUACAGAGAAUCAAUUAUAUUUUCAUUCUCUCUUUAGAUUGCGCCUUUCUUCGAGUUGCGUUAACGAGCAGCGAUUUCAUCGAUCCGAUUAUAUAUCUUUUUAAUUUACUUAUUAAAAUUGAAUUUAUCUCUCUGGAUAAGAAUUUCAGUUAAAUAAAUGAAAACGCAGACGUAAAUUUUAAAAAUAAAAAACAUGAUAGAAAAGGAAGCACCUGGUGGAGAUUUGAAGCCUUAUUGGUUGAGGUGGCGGCGGUUUCCUAGAGCGGAGGAGGGAAAGAGAGCUCAGGUGGAGAGAGGUGAAGAAUGUCGGACCAAAGUGAACAGAGCUUGACAGAUGACUUUUUUUUUUUUUAAUAUGAAUAUUCUAGUUAACUUAAUAUACCUUUAAUAAUUUUACAUACCCUAAAAUUCACAAUCAUAUAAAUAUUUAUAUAAAUAUCUAAAAAAAAUUAAAACUCAAAUUAGUGAUAUGCAGUAGCAAUAUAUUAUUCUUUCCAGAUUCGCUAACAAACUAAAAGAAAUGUAUUCACUGUGCUGCUUUACUGUUCAUAACUAACAAACUAAAACUAAAACUAAAAGAAUUAUAUAUAUAUAAAAGAGUGCUCAUUAAAACACGGUGCACUGUGUGUGAAUCCUGUGGCUUCACAGUCUUUACCGCGCUUCCUCUCUGUUUUUCGCCUUUCUUCUCGCGCGGUGGGUGUUCCCGCGCUUUCUUCUCGGCUGCUUAGGCUCCCUGGCGUCUUUUCAUCGACUUUGUCUGGUGCAUGUUCAGAUUGAGGCGGGGUGCUACGCGCGCGAGGAGAUGUCAGCCAACGGGAAAUCACCUGCAUCGGCUGGGAUGGCUUCAUUGAAGCUGUCCUCUUGGUCUGUGGCGGGCCUACUCAUUAAUGAAAAAAUUAUUCUAACUGAGACAUUGUUUUUGUUUUUGUAAACUCUUUUCUAUUAUAUUUUUUUUAUCCAAAUUUUUAUAGAAAAUUAAUCAUUAUCUCAAUUUAAUUUUUAUUUUGAUUAUUGAUUUAUAUACAUGUUUUAUAUUAUGUGGAAACUUGAUCAUUAUAGUAAAAAGGAACAAUAAUUGAUUAUAUGUUGAAAUAGAUUUAAAAAACAGUUUAAUUUUAAUAGGAAAAGUAAAGUGUAUAUAUCUUCUGUUAUCUGUGUACUUAUUGUCUUGAUUCUACUGGGAAAUAAAUUUUAUGUUGCAUGGUAUUUUCCUUUGUUGUUGCGUUGAUAGGAAAAAAAAAACAAAAGAUGGGAAAAAAAGGUUGCAUAUCUGGAUAAUGAGAGAAUGAAUCUUAUUGUAAAUAAAUUAUAAUUGUAAACACUUAUGAGUUUAGAUAAACUCCUAGCAUUGAUGAUGUAUUGUUACCAAGAAGACAAAUCUUAAAAAAAAAAAAUCUUCAAGUGGUGUAAUUUGUUAAUGUGGAUUUAUCAAGGGCAUUAUAUUUUUCACUUAUAUUAGUAAAAGAAUAUAAUACUCAAAUACAGUUAGUACUUGAGGUGUGAAUGUAGGUUUACCGAACCAUUUUAGAAAUUAAGUUUGAAAUCUCUCUUUCCUUAUCUAUUUACUUUAAGUAUUUUAAUUAUAUUAUUGGUUAUUGUGUUAUAUGUGUUUAGUGUGUUUAUUUGCAUUAUUUUGAUAUAAUUAAUGCAACACUUAAUCCAUCCCUCUUAAAUGCUAUUAUUGUUUUAAUCCUAACAACGUAAGUAUCAAUCAUAUUUUUUUAUUAUAACUUUAGAAGAGUUCAUAAUGUUUUCUUAUGUUGAUGUCGAAAGAAAAAUAUUUAUAAUUAUUUGUAUUGUUAUAGUUUCUAUUGAAAAUUACAUUGUGUCUCAUAGAAAAACAAAUAAAUAAAUACACAAUUGCAAACUUAAAUUGUUUAUUAAAUUUUUUUUUGCAAAAUUAGUGUGUUAAAUUUUUUUGAUUCAUUUUAAUUAAUAUUAUUUGAGAUUAUAUAAGUGUGAUAUAUAAUUGCAAAGUUAAUUUUAUUAUUGAGAUAACAGAUGGAUAAAACUAUGUUAAUGAUUUCGAUGUACUUGUUAACCUACUAAUCUUUGUGGUAUAAAUGGCAAACCCGAUUUCUAAACAUUUUUCAUGCGGGGAAAAAACCAAAAUAAUUUGAGACGCAAUGUAAUUUUCAAAUAUAAAGCAUGAUGAAUUAAAUUCUCUCAAGAGUCCUAAUGGUAGUGGUGUCUGCAAAAAGAAGUUCAAAGAAACUUGUUUUGUUUGUAAAAAGUAAAAACAUCAUUGUAAGGACUAUUGUCACUGUAAAGGGAAAAAUACACAAAGCAAUAUUAAAAAAUUAUAUUCUAAAUAAAACACCUUAUAAGAAAAUUGGGCAAGAUAUCGUAUGAGUUAUUGAAUGUUCAAUCAUCAUCCUACAAAUAUAUUAAAGUGUAGGGGUGUUUAGAAAAAAUUACAUUCCUCCACCAAAAAAAGUUAAAAAUAUGGAUUGUAUUAUAUAAGAUAUGAAACUAUACUUGAAGGGUAUAGCGAUACUAAUUAGAUAUCCAAUAUUAAAUAUUCAAAAUCCACAAAUAGAUUUAUUUUUGUUAUCGGAGAAGCUAUAGCCUCUUAAAAAUUCUUUAAACAAGCAUGCAUAUCCAUAUCAAUGAAGGAGUUUGAGUUUACAACUUUAGAUAAAGAAAAGAAGUAGAAUAGCUUCUAAAACCUUAUUGAGGAUAUUCGAAUUUACAAUUGAAAGGGCAUAAUAUAUAUAUAUAUAUAUAUAUAUAUAUAUAUAUAUAUAUAAUAUAUAUAUAACUGCAAGUAUUGACAUUAUUGUCAAUAUUGUAAGAUAGUUAAUCUAAAAUGAGAUUAUUUUUAUUGACCAUAUAAAGUUAAAUGAUAAUAUCAUGGAUUCGCUAAUAAAAUGCUUAACAAUAAAGCAAGUCAAUAAUCAUCGAGGGGAAUGAGAUUAAGACACAGUUCAAUGAAUUGUCAUGAUAACGACCAACCUAGUUUACUGGAGAUCCCAAAUUUAGGUUCAAAGAGGCAACCAAAUCAUGUGUCAAUUCAAUAAUAUUCCUCUUACCCAUUCAUAUGAUAUAAAGUGUUAUCUGCAGCGAAAAUAGGAUAAGCUAAGCUUUUAAUGACUUUUAUAGCUUGAGAAAUUCAAGUGAGGUAUUACAUGAUACUCUUAAUAAGAAUCACCUAUGUGAGUGUGAAAACAAGGCCACUUCUAUGAAAAUUGAAAAUGCAAAUUCUCUAAGCUCUCUAAAAUCAAGACAUAUUUGAGGCUAAAAAAAACACAACCAUGAGAACCAAAAUUGUAAGAAAAUAAACUGUGUAAUCUCUAUUAUCUGGUUUCACACAAAAGGUUAAACAACUCAAGACAUCAUGUUCGCUAGUUAGCCAAGUGAAUCCAAUAGUUUUAAUUAUGGAAGGUUCAAGGCUAAAAACUAUCUUACUCGAUGCAAUGACUUUUCACUAUUAGUCUCUAUUUUUUUGCCUAAUUUGUAUUUUAUUCAGAUCAAACAAUUUUUAUCAUGUGGGGGGAUUGUUAGGGUGUGAAUGAAAAGUUGUGUUUGCUAAAAACUCUACUUGAAAUAAAAUCAUGUACUUUUAAACUAGAAAGUUAUAACCUUUUGCUUAAAAGUUAUGUUAAAAUUAAAUGUCAGAAUUACCUAUAAAAAGAGACAAUUCUUACAUGAUUUUGAUAAUGAAGAAACUUCUAGUUUUUCUAAAACUCUUCUCUUUUACAUUUCUUCGGUCAAAAUUCUUACGGAAAGUAACAUACAAAUUAUGGUUCAUCAUUUAUUCUUGGUUGUGCUAUCAAGAAUUAGAGAUUGAGCUUGAAAAAUAGUAUUACAAUCACAUUGCUAGCACAAAGGUAAUAAAUUGUUUUAUGAAAAUUUAUCGUCAAUUUAUUGAUUUUAAUUUGUGGCUAUCUAUACAAAAUAAAUUUCAUAGACCUAUUAAAAUUUAAAAUGGUAAUGAGAUUUCUAAAACUAUAAGUGAAUAUAUGGAAAAUAUUAAAAAAUUACUUUUUAUGAAUGUUAAAGCCAUGAAUAUUUUAUAUUAUACAUUGGGUAAAAGUGAAUUUGAUAUAACUAUAUUAUACAAAAACGCUUAGAGAUAUAUAGCAUGCUUUACAGGUAAUUCAUGAAGGAACUAAGAAGUCAAAAAAUUUAAAAUCAACAUGUUAUUUCAUACUAAAAUAACUAAUAGUUUAUUAGUUUGGAUGUUUUUAGUAAUGCUGAAAUUAUAGAGAAUUGAUCAUUAAGUUGAUUUUUUAAUAUGCGUAGAAAUCAGAUCAUUAUAAAUUUAAUAAACUAUUUAAAGUGUUCCAAUAGAAAGAAAAUGGGUGUUAUGAAUUUUAGUCUGCAUUUUUCUCUACUUUCUUUUUGGUUUUUUUUGUUUGUCCCUUCCUGGAAAUUUGCGCUCAGUUUUUGCCUUUACUCUUUGUUGAUUGUCUUUCUGUUUUUAGUUGCAUUGUUAGGCUAUAUGUGUGUUUAUUGAGGCCUUGGCUGCCUUUUUUGCUAUAGUUAUGAGGUUUCUUGGGCAUAGUCUUUUGGUUAGCUUCAGCCCUCUAUUAUCCAUUCUUUAUAGAGGUGGUGUUGUCUUUGUUUCGCACAGGGUGGCAUGUGUCUUGCAAGUAAGUUUACGUGGUUUUCGUUACAUGUGUCUCUUGCAUGCUAUGUGUUUGUGAAAAGUCUUCUGAGAGAUCGACCUUUUUUCUUCAAUUGUUUUGGUUAGGCUGGGUGCUUGAUUUGAGUUAGGUUGUUAAAGUUUUUUCCAUUUCUUUAUAAAAAAAACAUUUCUUGUGCUUGGGAACACAUCUUUUUGGCUUUAGAGAUGAUAGAAAGCUUUGCUUUUAAGGGCGACAUUGUUCUUUAUGGUUUUUUCGACAUGGGUUUCCUUAAAAAAGUUUUAGUUUUUGCUUGUUUAUUUAUGUUGCCCAUCCAUAUAGAUAUUACAAUAGGUUUUUCUAGAGGUAACUUGGGUGAGGAAAAAACUUCGUGCCACGAAAAUAAGAGGCUGGAGUUUUAUUUUGCUUUAGAUUCUUCCCUUAAUUCCAGCCUUGGUUUGUUUUCAGUUCUUUGGUCUUUCUUUUCAUUAGUCUUUGAUUUUUGUUGGAUUCUUGCUUUGUAUUAGGUUGUACGAGGAUUUUCCUUUUAAAAAAAAAAAAAACAUCUUGUGUUUAGGAACGCAGCUCUGUACCUUUGGAGAUGAUAGAAGGCUUUGAUUUUGAAGACUAACACUUUUUUUUAAGUUUUUGGACUUGGGUUUCCCUGAAAAAUAUUUUCUUUUUGCAUGUUUGUUUGUGUUGUUCAUACAUAUAUUACAGCAGGUCUUUGUAGAGGUCACUUGAGGAAAAAAAAUGUCAGGAAAAACGGAGGCUGAUGUUCUUUUGCUUUAGAUUACCUCAGUUUCAACCUUUGUUUGCCUGUAGGUUGAGGUUGAUAGGUUGCUUUCUCCCCUUUCAUUUUAAACUUUAUAUUCAUCUUUUAACUGUUUUUAUCUUACCUUUACUUAAUCAUGUUAUAACAUGAAGAGGAUGUCGAUAACAUUAUGUGUUAUGUAAGAUAGCAAAGCUUAACAAAACCAUGAUUUCUUAGCUUAGAUUUGACGUGUUCAUACUUGGCACUAAUCAAUGCAAGAUUGUCGUUUUCAAUGUCUUUAAAAAUGUCCCUGAAAACAAUCUCGAUAGGCUGCCCCAAUAGUGAGGACCAUCUAGAGCAGCUGCUGCACCAGACAUCCACUGCUUCGUUGAGCUCGAAAACCCCCUCCUUCAUCCAGCCCCAUUGCUCCAGCAAACAUCAUUUCAUAGUGUGCAUCGACCCCUCAGCACUAUUUCUGUAGCCAAAUUAAUAUAAUCACCAAUGACCCAUCAAAAGUUACCAGCUGAAAUUUCAGUUUUGGAAAGAGAUUUACGAAUGAACUGAAAAGGGUACCCCAAUUGUGUUACUCAAAUGAGAUUAAAAAAAAUAUAUAUAUAUCAAGUAAGGCACAUUGGAUUGUUUAAGGACACUCUUGCAACAAGUAUCAUUGAAACAUGAUUUUGACAUGUGAUAGUCUGGUCCAGUUGCUUAACAUGCCUCAUAUUUUCGCACAUGAACCAGCCGGAUACAUUUUUUCUUUGAUGUUCCUAUCACAAAAAAAAAUAAAAAUGAAAAACUAAAAAAAGCUUCACUAAUAAUAUCAGGCUUGACCCUAUAGCUUAUGUUUCAUCACAGCAGAUUAAAUAAGGUUCUAGAUAACAGGAUAUACGAGUUUACUUGGCCAUUCUAGUUACGAGCUUCGUGGUUAAUUUUCUUGAACCGGAAGAACCUUCCAUUUAUGGCUAUGGCUAUGCUCCAAGAUAUAUAAGUGAAUUAGUUGCUAACGAGGGGAAUUCUGAAAACAUUACAAUAACAUUUACUCUUGAGUAAGAAAACUUUUAUGCAUGCACUGUAAUUGACAAAGAAAAGAAGAGAAAUCCUUUUAAUUUAUGAAAAUGCAAUGAGUUAACCUUAUCUCACGCUGCAAUAUAUACUCUACAGUGCUCAUUGGCUACAUCUAUAUGAUUUUGGAUGUAGAGAUAUCACCAAAACAUUCAACUUUAUGCUGAGAAACUAGGAAACCAUACACUAUUGUGGCUAAUUGAUUUUUGUCUGCUGCUUUUGUACUUUUAAGAUUACUAUCACUUCAACCCUGUACAAGUUAAAACUAAUAUAAGGCCCCAAAUCGAACACCAUUCAUCUAAGUUCAGUAGCAACUCAAGUUUCAAAUUGAAACACCAGUGCUCAUAGCAAUAGAUUAACCUUGAAAUUUAAAGCGGAACAAGCUUCAUGCAGCCAUCCAAGAGGUCAUCAUCGAAAGAAGAUGUUACACAAGAAGUUCCAACAAAAAUUACUUCCCAGCACUUUUUAUUCCCUCGAGUUCCCAUCUUGUGAGAAACACGUGAAAAAUAAAAAAAGACAAAAACGAAAGAAUAUGACAUCCUGUCAUUGCUACCAAAUCCUCACCAGCUGCUGCUCUAGAUCCAUUACCAGCUGCAGAACCAGCAAUUCUGUAAAUCAUACUGACAACGGAGCCAAUGUCACCGACAGAUGCACUAAGUGCUUUGGGAGACAGAGAUUUCACCUGGGAAAAAAAAUUACAGCAUCACCAUCUCAUUCACAAAGAAGUUCCUUUCGUUUUCAGAAACCUCCAAAAUAAGCGUGGGGUGGAGUAAAACCAAAAGGAGAGCAUCACUAACCGCUUCAAUCAAGUACUCAAGUGGUUGCUCUAUAACAUUUGACUUGCCAGAAACAGUUGUCAAAGCACCGCCAUGAGCACCAUCAGGACUGGUAAAGUCUGCAAGCAAAGGUGAUGCAGAUAUCCCGGGAGUGCCAAUUGCAAGGGAGGGAGCCAGUGCUUGUGCAACAGAUGGUUGAUGUACAAUAUUUCCAGUAUUUAAGAGCGAGGAAAUACCAGAAACUGGUUUGUCAGAAUCUCCUGGCAUAGGAGAUGGAGUUUGCUGGUGUAAUUGCUGCUGCUGCUGCAUCUGUUGAUUCUGCAUUAAAUUCUGGUGUUGCUGCAAUCGUUUAAGCUGUUGUGUUUGUAGCAUCUGUUGUUCAUGCUGCUGCUGCUGCUGUUUUAGAUGCUGGUGUUGAAUCAUAUUGGAAUUCGACUGAAGGGGAAUAUUUGGCUGCAGCAUACUCGCCCCAAUUUGUGUUGACAAUGUGUUAACAUUGGUUGGUUGGGAAAUGCUCAUGAGAUUCUGUUGGACAGAUGCUACAGGUGUCUGCUGCAAUGAGCUCAGUGCAUUUCCUUGUCCAGAAUCUAAAUUGGAGCCUGGUUGUAUUGGAUUCAUCAUGUUUGAUUGUGACGUCGAAUCCCCAGAUAAAGUUGAAAGAGAAUUAUGCAGCAAGCUUGACAUGUUGUUCUGCUGCAUCUUUGGUACAGAACCUUGCAUAUUCAUUGAUUGCAACAGGGAUUCAGUUGAUUUUCAUGGGACUGCAAUUGAGGAACUUGAGAUUGGGGUUGCUGCAUAGGUUGAAUAUGAGGUUGGGGAAGUUGUCCUUGCUGUAGAUUAGGAAUAGGCUUCCUGUAUCUGCUUGGGUUUAGAAAACCUACAAUCUGCUUCUCAUAGAAACCCAAUUUCUCCUUGAAAGUAGGUGUGAUGUUGUUUUUAGAGACCUGUAAGAAUGUUAUCAAGCGCUCCAACAUGACCUUGAAUACCUUCAGCUUUUCAAGCUGUUCUGACUUCGGUUGUUGCGGAAGAGGGUCAUGCUGGAAAGCAAAGUUAACAUACACGAGAAUUAAAAAUUGCAUUGACCCUUUGUAGCAAAACUAGUAAAACAUAAGUGAAAAAAAUGUUUCUAUUCCAAUUCUUCUGUGUCAAUGCAUGGUUGUGGGGUGGUUGGGGGUGGGGGGGGGUAAUUAGUGCAGAUGAUACAGUGACAAGCAAUGCUGAUGGGGAAAACAAAUUAAUACAAAAGCUCAACUGUGGGGGUUUAUGAAUCAUGUGUGAGCAAAUAAAUCAGAAAAAAUUACAAAGACAAUUUACCUGCUGUAACUUGGUAGCAAUUCUCUGGUACAUUUCAUUUAUUUCAGGCAAAUACGUUUCCUUCAUAACUUUGAUCUAGGAAGUACAUAUAACCAGCAAAACAUUAUCAAUCAUAUGCUUGAUUUCUUCAGGUGCCAGAGUCAGAAAGCAACAUAAGCAAACUUGAGAGAAUUGAUAAAUAAAUAAAUAAAUAAAAUGGCAGAGGACAGCAUAUAUUGUUUGAGAUAAAAAUAGCAGAGUGGAAUCAAUGCUGAAAACUCAAUAGAGAAUAUAGUUAUUGAUUGCAUGCAAAGAUGCAAAGGAUUGUGUAGUUACCCCUUCAGACAAGAUUCAGGGAUUGGUCAAGUUCAGUUACUUUGUCUCACGGCAAACUACUCACCAUUGUUUUCUAUUGUUCUCACUCAAGUCAAUGGAUGUCACGACUUUGGUAAACACUUCUUAGCUUUAUAACUUUAGAUUUAUAACCCUUAUAUCCUAAUUACAACCACUCCUAUUCCCGUUUUAGUACCCUCCCAGGCACAAAAAAAUUGACCUCAUCAAAUAUGCAGUUAUGAAUUGCAACUACAGCCAUUAAACGAUUCAGAAUUUCAACCUCGUUUUCUAUAAAAUUCAACAAUACUGGACAUGGUCAUGAUUCAAUGGAUUAGGUCCGCUUAUUUUCCUUUCUUCCAUUGUCACAUGUUUCAGAACAAAUUUGAUUGUCAUCUUGAAAAUAACUGUUCACUUAACCAAAUAUAACGAUGACUAUUCAGAAACAGUUCACUCUUGUUUUCAAGUCUGUCUAUUAUAGUAAUAAGUAUUGUCAAUUGGACUUAUGGAAAUAAUAUAAUAAUAAUUCACCACACAAUAAAUGUACGGAAAUACAGGGAAAAAAUUGAAAGGGAGAGAUUUGCAAUAGAAAAAAUUGUCGUGUCAGUACCAAGAAAAUAACCCUCUUGACCUAAAAAUAUGAAUAUUUACCUUUAAUCAUCUUAUCAGUAAUUUAUCGUUUCUUCGUUCCUGCAAUCAUGGAACUUACAAUGCUUCCUAACUAAUCACAACCAUACAUGAACAGUAAACUAAAGAAAUUACCUUUUGAUAGAUCUCCUCUUGCCAAUCAGCACCAUUUGCAUGUCCAGUCUCUGCUGUAGAAUCUAGGGAUGCUACAAAAAUUUUGAUACAGCCAACAAAAGAUUAGAAUGCAUUUAUUUUUUGAAUGUUUUCUGCACACAAGGGUAGAAUCUAGGGAUGCUACAAAAAUUUUGAUACAGCCAACAAAAGAUUAGAAUGCAUUUAUUUUUUGAAUGUUUUCUGCACACAAGGGUAUUUCUGUAAUUUUCACACUUGCUGAAAAUUAUGGAAUAUUGUUGGUCUUGGUUUUAUUUCUAUUUAGUAUUUUAUUGUUCCUAAAGAAUAAGGAGCUUUAAUAGGUUUUCCCCAUCCUAGAUAGAACCAUUAGUAUUUUCUUACAUGGGAAUACAAGUCCUUUUUGGACUUGGAGUACUAGGAACUCCAUCUCAACGUUAUGUAAUCAUUCAAACGGACAGAGAGACCCCCCUCCAACAAGUGAUCAUUAUAUAUUAAAAAAAAAAAGGCUCAAACAAUUUAUCAUGGAAGAAAAGCACAAAAGUGACGCUUUACCUCCUAACCAGGAAAAUCUUUAAAAUAAACCAUCUCAAUCAUAAAAUAUAGAUAGCCAUGCAUCACAGUCCUUGUUCCUUAAUAAGUUAAGGAUGAAACACUUCACAUGCCUUACAGAAUUAGCAUCGAGGAGGUGAUCAUGAGAUUUUCCAGCAAGGUGAUGAUUUAUCAGCACACCAAACCUUAAGUGCCUCAGAGUUAGUCCACUUGCUAAUUUCUUUCUUCCCAUAAAAAUCAAUUGGCUGAUGAUUAGUAAUCCUAGUGUCAAAUGCAGUGGUAACAAACGAGUGUGAUUGCAAUGGUUUCAAUAGCAGUGGCAUCAGUAGCACAUAAAGCUACCAAAAGAGCAUUGCUGACUUGAACCAUUAUGAGAGGUGAAUAAUGGUUAGAAAGCUGCAAGGAUGAGAAAAACUUACUUGAGGACGUUUCUGGAAGCAAGGAGCCUGAUGCUUGAAGCCUUUGCUGCAGAUCAUGUUGUAAUGGAUUUGAUUGCUGUUGCAGCUGUCCAGGCUGUGAUUGAAUCUGUGCCAUCAAUUGCUGCUGUGGCAGCUGUGAGUGUGACUGCUUCCCUUGAUUCGGCAACAAAGCACUUCCACUUUGUUGUGCUUGCUGCUGCAGCGUAACCUUGGGCUGUUGCAGCAUGUGUAGAGAGUGCUGAUAAGAUUGCAUGCUUGAGUUACCAGUGACAUUACUUUGAGGGCCCAACUGUUGCUGAUGCAUGCUUGAGAGGUUAUUUUGUUGAGCCAUUAACUGCUGCUGCUGCUGCAGAUUUUGAAGGUAAUUCUGCUGCUGCUGCAAGUCCCCAACAAUGUUUUGUUGUCCAAUUAACUGAUUUUGAUUGCUGCCCCAUUAGCUGCUGUUGUGGAGGCAAUAGUGGCUGCUGCAUCAUUGGUGUUUGCUGCUGAUGAAUACCAGCAGACUGUUGAGGUUGUUGCUGCUGCUGCCUAAGGACUGAUUGUGGAUGUUGCUGGUGCAUUGGUUGUGUUGACUGUUGAACAGAAGAUGGUUGGUUCUGUUGAAGGCCAGAGACAGUUUGCAUCAUUGAAGGCUGCAUAACAGUUGAUGUUUGCAAACCAGAUUGCAACUGAUUUGGCUGUAACAAGUUUUGCUGCUGCUGCUGCCCUUGGUUGUGAG